UGCGGGCACACGGCCGGAUCGGAGGAGGACAUAUCAGCCGGGUUCCUGUUGGUUGUGUACUUGUGUUCCUGCCAGCGGAGAAGCAACCAUGGCCGAGUUAGUGAUCGGGCCACUGAUCUCCAUGGUGAAGGAGAAGGCAUCCAGCUACCUGCUGGACCAAUACAAGGUGAUGGAAGGCAUGGAGGAGCAGCGCAAGACCCUGGAGCGCAUGCUGCCAGCAAUCCUGCAAAUCAUCCAGGAUGCGGAGGAGAAAGGAGCCUCCCGACGAGGAGUAGCAGCUUGGCUCAAACACCUCAAGACAGCAGCCUAUGAGGCCAACGACGUCUUUGAUGAGUUCAAGUACGAGGCGCUUCGGCGAGAAGCCAAGAAGAAGGGCCACCACAGCAAGCUUGGAGUGGAGGUAGCAAGACUCCUAGUCCCCACUCGUAAUCCCAUUGUAUUCCGUUACAGGAUGGGCAAGAAGCUACGCAAGAUUGUGCAGACCAUCGAGGCCUUGGUCACCGAGAUGAAUACAUUUGGUUUCAGGCACUUGCAGCAAGCAAAGCCAUCAAGGCAGUGGCGACAGACAGAUUCCAUAAUCAUUGACUCCGACAGAGAUAUUCUUAGCAGAUCUAGAGAUCGGGAGAAGAAGAAAAUCGUGGGGAUGCUCCUUGAUCAAGCUAGCAACAUGGAUCUCAUGGUUCUUCCAAUUGUUGGGAUGGGUGGGAUGGGCAAGACCACCUUUGUGCAACUCAUUUACAAUGACCCUGCAAUCGAGAAGCACUUUGAGUUUCGGAGGUGGUGCUGCGUAUCAGAUGAUUUCGAUGCAAGUACCAUUGCAAGCAACAUCUGCCAGACCAACGAGAAAGGACGUGAAAAAUCAUUGCAGGAGCUCCAGAGUAUAAUAAUUGGAAAAAGGUACCUCAUUGCGCUAGCUGAUGUAUGGAAUCGGGAUGCUGCUAAGUGGGGAAAACUAAAGACCUGCCUUAAGCAAGGUGGCAAGGGCAGUGCAGUACUAACAACAACUUGUGAUGCAGAAGUGGCUUGCAUUAUGACCAUGGGUGUAGCUGAAGCCCAUAAUAUCGAGAAUCUGAGUGACAAGCAUUUAAAGGAAAUUGUCCAAAGCAGAGCAUUCAGCUUGCAAAAUCCAAAUAUUGAAGAGCAAGAUGGCAUUCUCAGUGGAUUUGUUCGUCGAUGCGUUGGAUCUCCCUUGGCUGCCAAAGCCUUUGGCUCUAUGUUGAGUAACAGGACUAGUAUAAAUGAAUGGAAGGAUGUAUUAGCUAAAAGUAACAUUUACCGAUCCUCAAGCUCAGCUUUGAUGACCUAUCCUCAGAUAUGAAGCAAUGCUUUGCAUUUUGUGCUUUAUUUCCUAAAGAUUAUGAGAUCGAUGUGGACCUCUUGAUUCAACUGUGGAUGGCACAUGACUUCAUACCUGUGCAGGAGGAUGACAAUCCAGAAACCGUAGGAAAAUAUAUUUUCGAGGAGCUAACUCAGAGGUCAUUCUUUCAAGAGGUCAGGCAAACACAUCCAAAGUGCUAUUAUGGAAGUCUUCGUAAGUCAACCAUAUGCAAGAUACAUGAUCUCAUGCAUGACAUUGCUCUAUCUGUUCUGGGGAAAGAAUGUGUCACUAUAGUUGGUAAGCCGAGCAUCAACAAGGUGUUGCUAAAUCCGACCCGCCACGUCUUCUUAUCAACAAGGUGUUCUCAUUUCUGGAAAGAACAGGUUACAAGUCUACUGGAUCAUCUAUUGAAGAAACAAACUGCAAUGGUCCACACGUUGUUUUUUACAGAUUAUUCUGACCCCCUUGAUAUAUCAAAGUACACUUCACUGCGAGCAUUACACCUUCCAGCAUAUAUAUUCUCAUGUGUAGGACAGGAGCAGCUUACAAGACACAUACAACACCUAAGGUAUCUUAAUCUGUCGUCACAUGAGUUCGAGAAACUUCCUGAAGGUAUAAGCAUUAUGUAUAAUCUACAAACGUCGUCACAUGUUCAGGACAGGAACAACUUACAAGACACAUACAACACCUAAGGUAUCUUAAUCUCCCACCUUCCCUCAAACAAUUAGGCAUCUGCAGCUGUGAGAAGCUCUGCUCUGUGUCAGGAGACCUGCGUGCACUCGAGGACCUACAUAUUUCUGACUGCAAUAAGUUACAGUCAGUCAAUUCCUUGGGAGACCACCCAUCAUUAGAAACACUGAUUCUUUCUCGCUGCCGAUGCCUUGCAUCUUUAGGAUGUGAUGGUGGUCGUGGGAGUUACUCUGCUCUUCAGAGCCGUAAGAUUGUAGACUGCCCAGCCUUAGACAUGAAGCAGUUUUACUAACGCCAUCAAACAGCUGCUUGACAGCUUUGAAAAUGAAGACGUAUCACACGUUCAUUCAAGCAGCUCUGAUGAAGGUAUACGACCUUUCACUUUCCUCUUAUUCAAUUUGUUUCCUUCAAAUUUCCCUGCUUUGCAUGCCCUCCUAUUUUGUUGACGAACUGGUUGAUAGAUGGGUUUGCGGGGUGGGAUUUUGGGGUUUCAUCUUCAUUCCGGCUUUUAGACGGUCCUUUCUCACUGAUGUAAACCCACAUAUUGUUGGUUUAUACGGCUAUUAAUUGGUUUUCAGUCUUGGAUGCAGUUGACGUGCAUAGAGAAAUUCUGGAAAUAUGUGCUACCCCUUGGUGUUGAGAUCAGCUGAUGCGGAAUCAUUGAAGUACUACUGAAACGACAUCCUGAUCGGUCUCAGUUUUGGAGAGCAAUUUGUGGUGAAUGGAAGCAGUCCCAAGGCUUGAAGAACUCAUGGAGUCGUGCUUCAAGAACUCAUGGAGUCGUGCUGUACCAUUCUCCACUGCUAGGGCCUAAACUAGGUACGUGGAAGGCGCACUGUGUUUUGUCAACAACACAAUUCCUUUAUAUAAGUUGGGAUAGUAAAAAACCAUGCCUUCGUCUGUGUUAAUCAAAUCUCAUUUAGCACAUAUAUGGGGGACGUGUUGUUAACUUGUUACCCCCAUGCUUUUCAUUUUUUCUGUGCAGACAUCACCCAUUUGUCCUUAAAUUAAAGCAUAAAGGAGGGGCACUCACUUGUACACAUGUUCUUAAGCACUGCAACGACUGCCAUUUGUAUACUCAGCUUCAUUGCAAGCCUUUGCUAAUGACGACAGGCCUUCAGUGGAUGACAAAAACGACCAAGUUUGUUUUCACGGCACUACUAGCUGCUGGUAUUCUCUCGUCACUAAUGUACAGAACUCCAUUCUGUCAUCCAUCAAAGCUGUGGACAAUAUGAUGUCACUCUUGUUUUAAACGAAACCGGCAGGAGAGCUGCCCCGCUAUAUUAAAAAGAAGGGAUGCCCGAAGGGCCAGAGAAGUGUACAUGAAAAAGAGUGUUAAAACCCCUUGACAAGGAAGAAAAAACUAUACACACUAAAAAGAGAAACGGUGCACAAAAACACCCUCAAGAAAGCUGCAAUAAACAUGCCAGGUGCUUAGCCCUGACCGCCACCCAAGAAGCGGCCUCCCCUUUUAUCUUUGAGAAAACUUGUAAUGAAGAGGAUUCUUUGUGGUCGAAAAUUCUUGCAUUCCUUUCAAUCCAAAGUUCCUAACAGACCAAAAUGAUUAGGCUCCUCAGCCCACUCCUAUCGACGCUUGGUGUCCUUACCCGCGCUGUCCACCACUCAUGCACCAAAGUGCACGGCUCCUAGUUUUAAGACCUUCAUUUGCUACCCAUGCAGCGAUCGCAUCCCAAAUGCGCCUGGUAAACCGGCAGUCAGUUAGGAGAUGCAUUUCAGACUCUUGAACCGUGCAACACAAAGCGCAUGUGUCAUUGUGAGGCCAAUUUCAUUUUGCUAACCUAUCUGACGACGUCCAUAUCCAAUUUUGGAUUACCAACCACCUGGAAAAUUUGCACUUCGGGAGCACCCACGGCUUCCACAUGAUCGCUUUGAAGUUUGUGAAGGUGGAGCCGACACGGUGUAUUGAUUAUUCUCUGUUAUUUUCCAUACAAUGUUGUCUGGGUUGUCUGGUAUGAGUUGAACCUAGACUACCACUGUCCACAAAUUGCAGAACUCCAUAAAAUACCCCAAUGCUAAAUUUACACUCGAUCGGACGUUCAUAUCGUCGUGGUCGACGUGCACCAGUCCUCCCAUCAGCCCAUCACGUGGGCUCCACUCCACUUUUCCCCUCGCGCUCUCUCCCCCCUCUCCAUUCCACUUCUCAUCCUUCUCUUUCUCGAUUUCUCCACGAGAUCCACCUAAGCAACUCUGCGCAUGGAGCUGUUUCGCCUAGCGUUGAGCACAACGGUGGCAGGCCUAGUGGCGGGCGGGGAAAGCAGCGAGGCUCCGCCUUGCAGCACACGGUGGCGCUCGAGAUCAUCCGACGAGGCACGGAUGUGGGCCUGUCGGUGCGCGGGGGAAGGAUCACUAGGACCAUCGAGGGCACCUCCGCGCCCCGACGGUGAGUAGCCGACGGAUCCUGGCGAGCUCUGCGGGGGUCGCGGUCGACAGCGAUCUGUUCAUUUUUUCCCUUCCUUUUUUCUCUUCUACUUUUUGUCUCAAAAUCUUUUGUCUGUAUAAAGUUUUUGUUUCCAUUUUUUUAUUUCUUUGCAUCGUGAAUUUUUUCUCCAUUAUUUUGCUUCAAAACUUUGUGGACAAAAUUUCUUUUUCAAAACUUUUCCAAAAAUUUUGUCUCAAUUUUUAUUUUCUGAGUUUUGUUCCCAAAAUCUUGCAAAAUUUUUCCUCCAAAUUUUUGUUCGCAAACUUUUGUUUCCAAGUUUUUCAAAAAAAUUAUCCUCAAACUUUUGUUUUCCAACUUUUUUUAAAAAAAAAUUCUCAUUUUUGUUUAAUGAGACGGGAAUCGCACGUGGGAAGCCGUUCCGACGUGUGGUCGGAAAUCGAUCGCACGGAAGGCUCCCACUAGUCGCGUGUAAACUUGCGUCCCCCAUAAAAUAAAUCUGUGUGAGGCUCGAGGCUGGAGGCCUAAUAAGGCCAGCUACAAGACUAUGCUUGAUAGUAGAGAGAAGUUUUGGUUGCUAGCAGUCGAUGCUGAGUUAGAGCCCCAAUGCUUGGUUAGUAAAAUAUUGCUCCAUAGCAGGAAACAGGCGUCGCUGGGCAAAGAGAAGUGCAGGAGAACCAAAAGGAAAUAGGUACAACUAGCUAAAGAAGCCAGCAGAGAGUAUUUAUGUAAGGUUUCUUAAUUUAUAGGAACCAAAGCACACUCAAACCAUAUUCCAGAAUCUUAUUACAUGCAGAACCUGAAGUAAGGGAGAUUGAAACAUAGGGCACGCAUGCAUGCCUUUAAUUACACUACUACCAGAAAUUAAAAUACGCUGCUGCCAGAAGUGCUAUAUAUUGAGAGGUAGCUGGUGCAGUGUCACGCCAACAUAUGACGCAUGGUAAUGACGGGGAGGACCUGGACGUAGUACUCGAUCCUGUAGGCAACCUUGAGUAUGAGAUCGGGUUGCUGCCAAUCGUAGCCGCCGUCGACGCCGCAGAGGAAGGUCUGCGCGAUCCUGUAGUCGAUCUUGUGCUGCUGGUUGUGCAACACGAUCUUGUACGCAUCUCGGAGAUGUUCUUUCAGACUGCUCACCAUCGACCUGGUGUUCUGGUCCCGCGACAGCUUCCAGGACUGGGGCUGCUGCAUCAGGUCGGCUAUCUGCUGUACGAAUUGUACCAGCUGCUGGAUCUCCCCCCUGUUCUGCCUCAGCGCCUUCGCCUCCUGCACGAUAGAAAGUGCGAGGCGCACGACCUCAUCAUGGUCGCCGGUUCGAGCCCCCUGCUGGUCUCCACGUUCUCCUGGACCUACCGACAACGUGCUGCUCCUCACUGCAUUCACGUCCCUGCGCAUGCAUGCCGAUCAUCUCUGGUUAAAUUUUUCGUUAUUUACGUACUCCAUAUAGGAAGUACUAUAUGAAUGUUUUAUAUAUCAGCACACGAUGAAUACCCGUCCGUGAUGUCCCUGAUUAUCAACUCAAUCACACUUUUAGCGUCGGAUGACAUAUUGUCCAUGUUAGUCAAGUUCCUGAUAGAUGACUUCAGCUCCUCUUUUUCAGUCUGAGAGUGGUCAGAGUACAAAAAAUCCAAAGCUUCCAUGCAUGUUAAAUAUUCAAUAAGACAUGCAUAUAGUAUGAAUAUAGUCAUAAUGAUCAUGUCAUGCAUAAGCUUGGUCAAAAACUAUUAAUAUAUCGCAAAAUCAGGCAACAAUGUUAAUCUACCGCUCCCUCCAUUCUCUUUAGAUAUUAAUCCUUUUCGAACACUAGUACAGUCUAGUAUUGUGCACCUAAAAUAGUCCAACGUGAUGUAACAUGGUGCUGUCUAUAAAUCGUCAGUUUAUGUUUUGAACUUUACUACCUUUUAUUUUUUUAGAUAAUGGAUAAAUAUCCGGCUUCACCCUCCUCUUUCGACCAGGCGGAUCAGUCCACAAUUAUUACAAAAGAAAUGAAUUCACACUAUGGUUUCGACCAAUCAAACCGACUCAAAGAAAUCAAUUCUGGAAUCAAAAGGUAGCUUGUCACUACCUUUUAUUUAUGUUGCAUUGUUCAUUGCCACAAAUUAUUUGCAAAUAUGAAUCUUAUAAUGCUAAACUUUUAUGGUACAAUCUACGUACAGUUUCUUUCUCAAGUUUGCUGUAGUUGUUUGCCGUUGAGUAAUAUGUAAUUCCGAUGGAUUCAAGAGUCUAGCUAGCUAGAUUUUGGUACCUGUGGAAGGCGCUUGCAAGCACCAUUUCGAAGCAGCUUCUCAAGCACGUUCAUGAAGAAGCGCUCCUUAUUGAUGCUUACAAUGAGGAUCAUGUUGGCAAUGUGGAACGACUCCAGGAUUUUGGAUAUCCGUGCAUCAACGGCGACGAUCUUGUUGGCUUUCUUUUUGGUUUUGAAGACAAGCGACCAAGUCCUCUUCUCCCUGCAGGACUCAACGAGCGCCUUCCCGUCGUUGAGCGCAUCUUCAAGAUGUUUCAGCAUGCUGUAGGUCACUGGGUCCGGCAUCCACUGGCUUUUCAGCUCCGUCAGGAGGAGGUUAAUCAUUUGCACGUGGUCUUUUAGCAUAGUACAUUUCUCCCUGUUGCGCUGAGCCGCCUCCGCCAGCCGAUUGAUCUGUUCCACGAUGCUCAUCAACGACGAAAUAAGCCCAAUUGCUUCGGCCACCCCAACCAUCUCGAUCGAUUGCGCUGCGCCUGUAUGCUUGCAACGUCAGAUUUGCACGUAUAUGAGUAUACAUGUCUACCCUCCGCCAUCCAAAAACAAUUGGAUGCCGACAAGUGGUAUUGACAAGUCUAUGCACAACACGCGAUGUCAUGUCAAAUUUUAGCUAAUUUUAGCUUUUCUAGAUUCAUAGAUAGUAUUAUGUAUCUAGACAUCCACUAUAUCUAGGUGCGUAACAAAAGCUAUGCAUCUAGAAAAUUCAAAAUGACCUACAAUUUGGGAGGGAGUACACCCUAAUAAAAAGAUUAAUGGUGGAGCCUGAAGCACAAUUUAUCGUAUAAAAAUAAUACUUGUAAAUAUAUAAAUUUAUUAUAAAAUAUAGAAACUCGAUUGACUAUCUUCUUAAUUAAUGGAGAAAUAUAGGCUGUGAAUUUUCAAAAGGAAAAGGAAAAAGUGUAUUUUUCAUCCUUCAAGUAUUGCAAAAGUGUAACAUUCCUCCUUCAUGUUUCAUUUGGUGCAAAUCAAGCCCUUAACUAACUAAAUCGGUUGCAUUUAUCAUCCCCACCUUAGUUUAAUAAUUGUUUAGUGUCAUAUAACAUCGCUUUAGGCCAUGUAAUCAUCUUACUAAUCAGUAUUUAGCCAUGUAUAAUAUUUAGUCAAUUGAUUUAAUAGUUUGGUGUGAAUCGGUUCCGUUAAUUUUUCCGAUAAAAUAGUUAUAUGGUAGUCAAUUUAGAGGAUUUACUUUUUUUGUGGGCUUUAUAUCUUUGACUUAACAUAUUACAUCACUAAGCAGUGAUUUAGAUGAAUACAUGGCAUAAACCUUCAUUAGAUGUUACUAAACCAAUUGAACUAACGUGAGGAUGAUACAUGCACUGAUAUAAUUAGUUAAGGGGUUAAUUUGCACCAAAUGAAACAUGAGGGAUGAAUGUCACACUUUUGCGGUACUUGAGGGAUGAAAAAUAAACUUUUUCCAAAGAAAUAACUUGAUCGAUCCUGGUCCCAACUAUUUUAUAAAUCUCUUUUAACAUGAAUUUUGUUGAGCUCGCAUGAACACAAAUUGUGGCAAAAUUAAAGAACAUCUACACCGUUCAAUAUACCUACAAUCCCAUACUGCAUGCAGCCAUUUUAUAAAUUUCUUUUGAUGUGAUUUUUUUAGUUCCUAACGCAGACUAUCCUUCAAGAGAAAAAAAUGGGCUAUGGAAUAUAUGAUUAUAUAGUACGAUAUCUCCUGUACAAUGUUAGUAUAUGAGUUGAACCGGUCUUGUACGACAAGAUGAUCCAAGCAAAUGGACUCAGUAGGUAAGGUACAGUUUUGUAGCCACACAACUUUGGUGUGCAAGGAUAAACAAACACUUCAAAUGGAUUCCGUUAAAAUAACUUGUAGGGGAUGCAAUAUGGCAGAUCUGCUGGAGAUGAUCUAAACUUACAUUCACAUAUAUAGGAUAAACGAACACUUCAAGUGUUAACCCUAGCUAAUGCUUGCAAACAGAAACAAUGGAGGUUCCUUGACAUUUGACUGGAUAGUAGUGUAUUGUAGAAAAAAGGGAAAUCAAUAACCUGCCAUACCUUCUCAAAGCUCCAACCAAGAAAUAGCGCUACCUCACCCAAUAGGCUGUGUCGCCUUGCUUCAGCACAAGGUAGCGAGCACACGGCUAUUUAUACAAAUAACAUUGUAUAAAUGAACGCAUGCAGAAAAGUAUACUUUGCCUAGGUACGCAUGGAGACUUGCUUAGAUUGACCUGGUUACCUGUACUGUACUCACUUCAUACUCUUGACAACGCAAUUCAGCUACCAAGGAGUACGACCUGCGUCGACGAGACGAAGACUUGUUUAUACUCAGGGCAACGCAAUUCAGCUACCAAGGAGUGCGACUUGCGUUGACGAGACGAAGACUUGGACCUCGUCUUCGACUGCAUGCAUGCAUUGGACUAAUCUAACCACGCGGCGACUCGCCCCGGCCCGUGAUGACCCUGUAUAUGGAAUAGUGUGCAUGGAGGAUUAUUCACUCACGCUGCGCUGCCGACAAUGAAAGUACCGCAUGCCCAAACAGUACGUUGCUCAUGGUUGAGUAAAUGUAACUAAGUACACCCAACGUCCUGAAAUAUACUUACGGUAUAUUUAAGAACGGAGCUGUACUUACGGUAAAAAAUCAUUGCUCAUGGUUGAAACUUCAAAACAGACGGUUUUUGCCCACCAGCAGCGAUAGCCGGGACCGUUUCCGCGCUCAUCGGUGCAAAUUGCGCAACUAGCAGGACGAGACAUGCACGCAAACAGCUGGUGAAACAUGCAUGCACCUAGCAUGGCUAGUCGUCGGGCAGCAACUAGCACGAGACUAUAUGUUCAUGCAAGUGUCUCAUUAAUCAUAGCGCGACCUAACACCAAAACACAUCAACCAGCAGCGUAUCUAGAUUUUCGACCUAAUGUUACUAAUACAGACUAGGCUAUCACCGUCAGCUUAUCACCACUGGUUUUCGGUGAAUCUGCGGUGAUAGAGUGUCACCGCCGGUCCAAUAUUUAGUCGUACUCAAUGUUCAUUGGUCAUUAUGUCUUUACUAGAGAACCGGGCUUCAAUCCCGACCCAUCAAUCCUGAAUGCCAAUGCUCCCGGUUCAGUGGCUACAUAUCACGUCCGGUUUCUAAACAAAACCGGUAGAUGAUCCGUGGGGCUAACAUCUCUCCUAAUCAGUGGCUCAAACCUGCUGUCAAGUCCGCUACUGCUUGCUCAUCCUCCCAUGAAGUUAAAGUGAAAUCCAGUUUGGCUUAAAUAAGAUUUAUAUUUUUUUGGCCUGUUAGCUUGAGCUUCUUCCAGCGGUUGCGGCUGUUGCUCAUCUUCAGAGUUACCAUCCUCGCUCUUCAUGUUCACCCUUCCCAGCCAUUCUCAAGUCACCCAGAGGGGGGGUACAAAGGCUCUCCGCUAGAGUUCGGAGGCCGGACAAUGCCCGUCACAUCCGCCUUCCAUGAAGGUUUUUGCUGGCAGCCAGGCAUUUCGAGGGUAACAGAUCAAGUGGUGGAAACCUUUAGUAGAAUGCUUAUCACUCAAUUGACUCACAUCUCUUUUGUUUAAGGAAACCAAGCCCACUACUACAAAAUUAAUAUCAAGAUAAUAUGUUAUAAAACUUAUUUGUGAAAACUCAAGAUAAGCAUGCACAGGAAUUUCAGGAAAGUGCCGGGUGCCUCACAACCAAGCUCAUUAAUACCAAAGAAAGAUCAACAAACAAAACAAAUGGACACAACGUUCAGAACCCAAUCAUUUGCCCACCAAGAAUGCCAUACCCACACCAGAACAAAUAAGAACAGAAGUUUAAAAGGGUAAAAAUUGGUUGAUGAUGCAUGGAACGAAACGUAUAGAAUGCUUAUUACUCAAUCGACCCACAUCUCUUUUUUUUUCUAGGAAACCAAGCUCUCAUUACUACGUUGGAACAUCUAACCAACCAAAUGGACGAAAUUGUUUAUUUGGCCUCCAAGAAUGCCAUACGACCUGAAUAACUGAAAGCGCUAACAAAGCCACUUAUUGUUGUGCAUAGCAGCUAAGCUUGACUUAUUUGCAAACGGGUGCGAAAUGCGAUACAAUAAUUCAUAGUUCUAGACGUCAUGAGCCACGCGUGGGAUAAGAAGAAGCUUCUCCUUACGGUGCACAUCAACCCCAUAUGACUCUGUCAUAUCGAUGCUUGUCGACCCUGGUGGAAGCUCGGCUUGCAGCUUGCAGCUUGUUCAUUGAUUGGGGAUUCUGCAUCAGCUCAGCCAUGGCGUAGUCGAGCGCUAUGUACGUUGUGUCUGUCCCAGCUUCGAACGUGUCCUACACGCAUGUAUCAACAAAAUUCAAUCAAACUUUAGCAAACUAGUCCAUGAAACAUGUCCUAUGUACGUCUUGUAAGGAUUAGCUUGGAAGCUUCAAAAGAAACCUUCAAUUAGUAAAAGUUUGAUUUUUUAAAAAAAUUUGAAGUUUAGUUGCAUACAUGCGGUCGGUAGAAAUGGAACUCUGCAUAUACAUACCAUCAGUAUUGCCUUGAUAUUAUCUCUGGUCAGGCCGUACUCUUGUUGAACGGAGAGCAACACGUCGAUAAAGUCCCCCUCGUCCUCACCAUCCAGCGUCUUGCUCUUGUGCUUGUCGAUGAGGCUGUCCAAAAGGUCAUCCCAUCUCUUCAUGUGCUUCACGGCCUUGGCCGACACCAAAUCAAACCUUGCCAAGCUCGGGAAGUAGUCAUCCAGGUUGAAUCCUCCCAGGAGCUUGGUGUUCGUCUCUAGCAGCUCCCGGAAGAGCUGGUUCCGGCCUUGUUCCCUGGGGAGCCUGCCCGUCAUGGCCUGGCACACAAUGUCAUUGGCGAAGAAGCCCAAGAUUUCGCUGACGUCGAUCGCCGUGCCCGCGGCGGCGGCGGCCCUCACCCUGGCUAAGACCAGCCGGACCUCCUGCUCGCGGGCGGCGCGGUAUGACCGGACCUUCGCUGCGGUGAGGAGGUGGGUGGUGAUGACCUUCCUGGCUCGGCGCCAAUACUCGCCGUAAGGCGUGAAGCUAACGUCAGUGGAGCCGUAGAAGAGGAUGUCAGCGACCACGGAGUGCGGUCGGGAGGCGAUGACGUGGUCGUGCGUGCGCAGGACAGCCUUGGCGGCGCGGGGGGAGGAGACGACGAGCGUUGGCACGGCGCCGAGGCGGAGGAGCAUCACGUCGGGCCCGUGCUUCUUGGCGAGGUCGCGGAGGGAGUGGUGGGGAAGGGAUCCGAUGAGGUGGAGGUGGCCGAUGAUCGGGAGCUUGAACGGAGGCGACGGUAGCUUCCGGAGCAGGUUCUCUGUUCUGGACCUUGGUGUUGCCAAGUGCACGGCGACGAGGAAGAGGAAGAAGAGGAGGGCUAGGGACUCUGGAGAUGCGUGUUCGUAUAGAGGUGCGCUAGCGCUGGAGCCGCCAUGGCUGAUCAACCUGCUCGUUGCAGUUUUUGUAGAGCUCGGAAGUCGUGAUCCGUCAGACAGCAAGAAGAGUAUGCUACCAUUUUUUUUCUUUUCUGCAUCACCGCCAGAUCAGAUCAGACAGGAUUUUAUGAGAGAAUCCUAUGGAAUCAUCAUCCUUUUUAGUAAACUUCACCAGACGCAGGAACGCGAGCCGAUUAAUUGGCAAGCUUUUCUCUCAGAAUAUGUGUUUGGUGCUGGAUUAAUUGGCGUGCAGGUUGAAGAAAGGCUGCUUUAUAGAUUAGCCCCCGAAGAAAAAGGAAAUUCCGACGGAAAGUUUGUGUCUUGUGGUUUUGCAAAAAGGACCCUGGAAAGGCUAGAUUCUCAAGUUCCAGUCCUACCCGAGAUCUUUUGCAAAUAUAACCCUAUAAAUUCUGUUAUUUGCAAGUACUUUUACGUGUGUCUUGCAAAUCUUUCUUGCUAGCCCCUGCCGUCUAUGGCUAAUUGCAUCUGGGUCCCUGCCACCUUGUUUGUCUCAUAACUUCUUCCUUCUAGCUCCAUUUUGAGUGAUUCUUUCGCUCACACGUUCGUCUUAACGAGUAGAUUAGUUUGGUACUGCUUUUAUGGUACUGCUUUUAAGUAAUAUUUUUGAUGAUUGGUGUACUGUUUUUAAUUAAAUGCAUUUGUUUGCUUGUAUGUGCUUGUGUGACGCGUAUAGAAGAAGCGUAGUUCGAGGAAUCCAAAGAGGAGGGAGACUGAAGACUCUGAGCAGCAGAAGGGCUUGGAGGAAGGCAAGUGUCCUUGGUCAUUCCCGUUUAUACCUAAAUGACAUGCAUUGAUUCACAAUAUUUAUUUAUCGCAAGCAUUAAUAUGAUGGGUUCCUAUUAAGGAUGAUGCCUAGUUUCUUUUGAUCAUACCUUGCAGCCAGGUUGUUCAAAUAAUCUGGAGGGUAGAUGAUGCUUAGUUUGCUCAACUGGGUUGGUAAAUAAACAAUAUGGUUAAUUUUAUUUAUUUACUCUAUGUUCCUUUAUGUUGAUUUAAUUACAAGACCAUAUGUUCUAAACGAACAUGGAGCGACCACCCAGGAAAAUAGUACAACCACAAGGACUACAUGGCUCUGGUCUUGGCUAACUAAUUAGAGGACUCUAGUGUUGGAUUGGUGUUAAGGGGGGGCAUGUCUCGCGGAACCUCGUGCAUUGGAACACACUAGGGAAGUCUUUGUUAAGGCCUCUAGCGUCCCUAUGCAAUCACACCUCGGAAGUGUGGUAUUGUGCCUACUUUUGCACAGCAUGGUUGAAUCCAAAGUUCACCUGAACUUUUAUGCGACUUGUGGGUAAAGAUGUACAACCUCUGCAAAGUGUAAAACUGUUAUAACAGCCGUGCUCACGGUCAAGAGCGGCCUGGACCCUCACAUGAUUAAUUUACUUGAAGAUGAUACUAGUGUGUUAUUUAUGUUCAUGCUUAUGGUAUAUCAAUGCUCUAUAUUAAUUGUGGGAUGGUAUAAACUUACAUUUGCUAGUGAUUAGGUGUUGAAUAAAAACUUGACCAACUAAAAGUGCUAAUCGCAGUUAACCUUGUCAGCCUUCCACCAUAUAAAGCCUUGCAUAUCAUAGAUAUUUCUCUCUUGCUGAGUACGACAUGUGCUCACGCUUGUGUUUUAUAUAUUGCAUCUACAACGUCCGGAUUGCUGCUCAGACCCGGAGAACUUUGAAGAUUACUGAAGUUUUUGGAGGAGUUCUAGGUGAGUCCACCAGUCAGCUGCCUGUGGAGUUGUUGGAGAUGCGCUGCCUAUAUUAGAGAUUUCUAUCUCAAUUCUAGUUACAUAAUUUAUGUAAUUCUCUCUCUACGCUAUAACACAGUAUUUGAUAUUUACUGAAGUCAUCGUAUGUUUGAAACUUGAUCCUGGCAUACAUAUGAUAGUCAUCUGGUUUUACAUUUAAAACCGGGUGUGACAGGAUGCUACCGAUGGCUCUGCAACUUGAUGCAAUUCAUGCACGCUGCUGGGUGGCACCCAUGGUGCGAGAUGUCCAGGAAGAGUGCAUUGGCACUGUGGCGGCGGAUCCGACCAGUAGCAGCAGCUCGCACAGGUCACGACAAUGUGCAUCAUCACAAAAAUCCGAGGCUGCCCGCGCAGGUCGAGCUUUUAUUUGCUUGGAUCGGAUAUUCCUUCCUACUAAUAUCAUGGCUAUCUGUGUGAGGCUCAUAGGCUGGAGGUCUAAGGGUAGCCAUAGACACUACUAUAGAACUGACCGAGGGCUGAUUAGGCUCAUAGGCUCAUAGGCUCAUAGGCUGGAGGUCUGAUUAGCUCAUAUUCUUUGUCUCACCCUAUGGGUAUCGUGGAGGCACGGCGCCAAGCUGGCGGCACGGUGUAGCCUCAAUUCAGAACUUUCCUAGCCAGGGCGUGGCCGAGGGCGAUUGGUUGCUCAACCUGAUGAGAACUUGGGUGGGUGCUCCUAGAUGGGAGAGAAUAGGGUGACGGAUGAGAAUGCAGAUGAGGGACGGGGCUCAGACGAGGGGUGGGUUGGAGACAUGUUUUCACUGUUGAACUCUUAGCGUCAAGAUGAGAGGUGAGAUGAGAUACCGGUAGGACCUGCUCUUACCAUGGCACUUCAGCAACCCCACCCCAACCCCGCGCGCAAGUCAAAAUUUGAGGACCAUAUGUACAAUACGUGUGCAAACAGAACCAUAAUUUUACUAGUAUCGAGGGAUUUUAGUUAUUUCUUCUAAAAAAUCUCUUGGGAAAUCGUAUUUUUGUAGUACAACAUAUAUAGAAAAUAAGUAUUACUCACAAAUAAACUGCCCUUUUCUUUAGUAUUCUUGGUUUUUGUUAUUAUUUUAUUUAAUCUUAAGAUUUAUAUAUGCAUAAAAAAGUAAUUUAGUAUCUUCAAAUAUGGAAACGUGGUCUUAGGAAUAGGGCUCAUAUUUUAUUCUUGAGCAUGCCUAGUGGAAAAAUACUAUCUAAAAAACCGCAAAGAAAUUUAAUACCUAAGCCUUCGAUCCACUCUACUUUUUGUAUACUAGUUUACCUGCAAUCCACUGGCUUGCACAUUAUAUUUCAUCAUACGGAAAUGUCUGAGAUUGUGAACGGAAGCAAUUUCAUCUGUCUGCAACCCUGCAUAGCAUGUGACAGCCCGGGCUGCGUGCCAAGAAACACCCAGAGCUCCUGACACAACCGCGUGAGCACCUUCUCCGACAUGCGCACAUGAGGACCGCAUGCACCCAUAUGCAAGGUUCACAAAUACGUGCGUGCUUAAACUAUAUAUAUAUUAUACAUAGUUUAUUAUAUUUUUGGCAGGGAUAUGAUAAUCAUUAAUUAUUACUUGUAAAGAUUGGAAACGUUACAAACGAUUGUAGAAAAAAUGCGAGUCACCAGGAAGGUAGGUAGUAGAGCAUGCCGUCAGUGUCUUUCCUGUGACCUGUGUUCGUGGUGCACAUGGCAGAAUGCACAGUCUAUACAUAGGAACCAGAAGUUGGCUUCGAAACCAAAUCACUCAUUAGUCCUUCAGUACUGCAGUGAACGCUAUCUAGCUAGCUAAUUUCCCCUUGAAAUCAGUUUUCUUGCGUGGCCAUGGGUAGCCUUCCACUUGAAGCCAUGAUGCCACUGAACCCCGAUUCAUUCGCUGGGGAGUCCAGUGCCGUGGUCGACUUCCUCGCCGACUACUACCGCAACGUCGAUAAGUAUCCGGUCAUGGCCAACACCCAGCCAGGGACCAUCCGUAAGCUUCUUCCGGAGGCAGCCCCGGAGUUGGUUGGUACUCAACAAGUCGUGGGAAAUAGUGUAGUGUAAGGCCAACCAUGAUACCCUUAUACUACCUAUACUACUCAUGUAUACUACCCAUACCACAGGCGUAGGUUUCAGUAGUAUGAAAUUAAUCUUGACCGUCGGAUAUGUUUAUACUAGUCAUUUUCGAACACAAGUAUAGUCUAGUGUUGUGUUCCGUAAAAGAGCUCAUAUAAUAUGUUAUAAAACUUAUUUGUGAAAGCUGAAGACAACACCAGGGGAUAAAUUCCAGAAUAGGUGAGAACAAAAAUUUAAAAGGGCAAAAUUUGUUGAUGGAUGGAAAUGCAUAGAAUGCUUAUUACUCAAUCGACUCACAUCUCUUUUUUCUAGGAAACAAAGCUCUCAUUAGUACUCUACGUUGGAAACAAAGCACUUAUUGUUGUUCAUAGCAGCUGAGAUUGACUUACAUAUAUUUAUUUGCAAACAGGUGUGAAAUGUGAUACAAUAAUUCAGAAAGCUAGACAUCCUGAGCCAUGCGAGGGAUAAGAAGAAGCUUCUCCUUACGGUGCACAUCCAUCCCAUACGACUCUGACAUAUCGACGCCUGUCGACCCCGGCAGAAGCUCCCAGUUGAAGUGGUAGAUGAGGUUGGCAAGAAUGAUUUCGAAAGUGGCGGUGGUGAAGUUUAUACCCGGGCACAUCCUUCGCCCAGACCCAAACGGCAAGAAACGGAAGUCGUUCCCCUGGAAGUCAGAAGCAGCAUCCACGGCUUCUUCCAUGAACCGCUCAGGCAUGAACUCCUCUGCAUUCUCCCAGUAGGUGGAGUCCCUGCCUAGAGCCCACGCGUUGACGAUUACACGUGUCCCAGAGGGUAUGGUAUAUCCCUCCACCUCCCAUUCGGCCAUGGACAAGUGGGGUAUCAAAAGAGGCCCCGGCGCGUGGAGCCGCAUUGACUCUUUCAUCACCGCCGUCAGGUAGCUCAUGCCGCUCAGGUCUUGUUCAGUGACCAGUUCCUUCCCCUUGGUUGCGCACCCCCGCACCUCAGCUUGAAGCUUGGUCAUCACCUUGGGAUUCCGCAUCAGCUCAGCCAUGGCGUAGUCUAGUGCUAUGUAGGUUGUGUCCGUCCCAGCUUCAAACAUGUCCUACAUGAAUAUAUCGGUAAGUAGAACUCCAAAUCAAAUUUAACCAAGCUAGUCCAUGAAACGUCUCAUAUGUACCUCUCGUGAAAAAUAAACAUACCAUCAGUAUUGCCUUGACGUUGUCUCUGGUCAGGCCGUACUCUUGUUGAACGGAGAGCAGCACAUCGAUGAAGUCCUCCUCGUCCUCACCAUCGACCGGCUUGGUCUUGUGCUUGUCGAUGAGGCUGUCCAAAAGGUCAUCCCAUAUCUUCCUGUGCUUCACGGCCUUGGCCGAUACCAAGUCCAACCUCGCCAAGCUCGGGAAAUAGUCGUCCAGGUUAAAUCCCCCCAGGAGCUUGGCGUUCGUCUCUAACAGCUCCCGGAACAGCUGGUUCCGACCUUGUUCCCUGGGGAGCCUGCCCGUCACGGCCUGGCACACGAUGUCGUUGGCGAAGAAGCUGAAGAGCUCGCUGACGUCGACCGCGAUGCCCAUGGCGGCGGCGGCCGUCACCUUGGCUAAAACCAGCUGGACCUCCUGCUCGCGGGCGGCGCGGUUGGACCGGACCUUCGCCGCGGUAAGGAGGUGGGUGGUGAUCACCUUCCUGGCCUGGCGCCAGUACUCACCGUAGGGGGCGAAGCCGACGUCGGUGCAGCCGUAGAACAGGACGUCGGCCACCGCGGAGUGCGGCCGGGAGGCGAAGACGUGGUCGUGUGUGCGCAGGACGGCCUUGGCGGCGCGUGGGGAGGAGACGACGAGCGUUGGCACGGCGCCGAGGCGGAGGAGCAUCACGUCGGGCCCGUGCCUCUUGGCGAGGUCGCGGAGGGAGUGGUGGGGAAGGGAUCCGAUGAGGUGGAGGUGGCCGAUGAUCGGGAGCUUGAACGGAGGCGACGGUAGCUUCCGGAGCAGCUUCUCUGUUCUUGACCUUGGUGUUGCCAAGUGCACGGCGACGAGGAAGAGGAAGAAGAGGAGGGCUAGGGACUCUGGAGAUGCGUGUUCGUAGAGGUGCGCUAGCGCUGGAGCCGCCAUGGCUGAUCAACUAGUGUGCACAACACACGGCUUGCUAGCGCAACAAGUUAGAACCAGCUCGUUGCAGUUUUUGUAGAGCUCGGAAGUCGUGAUCCGUCAGACAGCAAGAAGAGUAUGCUAUUUUUUUUCUUUUCUGCAUCAUCACUAGAUCAGAUCAGACAGGACCGACCAGAUCUGAUCUUUUAUGAGAGAAUCCUAUCGAAUAAUCAUCCUUUUUAUUAAACUGCACCCGACGCAGACUUUCUUUAUUUGCCCAUGUGCUAUUAUAUUAAUUUUUAUCUCGACUAUAUACCACUGUCCUCAUGUAUGUUGUGUACCAAGAGGAACACGAGACGAUCGAGAUUCCAAUAAAAUAUGUGUUUGGUGCUGGAUUAAUUGGCAUGCUUUUCUCUCAGAUGAGCUGCGUGUAGUGACAGCGGCGCUCGCAAUAGUUGGUCGGCGCACUGGUAGACGGGCAGCUCAUGGAUGCUACCGACGGCUCUGCAACUUGAUGCAGUUCAUGCACGCUGCUGGGUGGCACCCAUGGUGCGAUAUGGCAUUGGCAUUGGCACUGUGGCGGCGGAUCCGACCAGUAGCAGAAGCUCGCACAAGUCUAAAUGUAUCUAACUUUGAUGAAUUUUAAUUUCAAAUCUAUGGAGGCUUUUGAGCUCGAACUAAUUGAAAUGGAUCACACUUUAGUAGUGCUUUCAACAUAAAAAAUUGACACAAAAUUUGGCGGUGAGCAGUCUGCCUAGCCCAGGCAGAAAAACAAAGGCUUGAAACAAACAAGCCCUUGGUGUGUGCCUGAUAAUCAUAUGUUCGAAACUCCGAUCCUGUCGCCCUUGAUUAAAAUUCAUAGUAGAGACCUAUUGAGGAUUAGCCCUGGCAUCGAUCCGGCCACAGGAGAGACCGGGAGCCAAGAAGUGAAGUAAGUUGCGUGCGUGCCUGACGGCGAGGAAGCACCUCCAUUGAGCCACGAGGUGGAGUACGAGGCAGAGGCGAGAUGGGAUGUGUUGGGGACAGACUCACAUGACGGAGAGUGGUGCAUCUCCUACCUACCAUCUGCCAUUGCCGAGGGCCUUUCACCGUGCACCACUCCGGUUCGCUCUUUUGCGUCGCUGGGAGGAAAGGGACCGCCGAGCGUUGGGUGCCGCCACCGCUCCUGCGUAGUUCGCCAUGGCCACCUCCUCCGAGAGCGCCCUCACCAGCGGCUCCAGCGCUGCACCUCAUUCCAGGGAUGGGGCAGCCGCUGCUGGGUCACAUCCGCCCGGGGAUUGGGCCGUUGCCGGGGAAUAAGAGGAGCGCGGCAGAGAAGAAAAGGAGAAAACAGAGGAGCCGUGAUUGACAGGGACGGAGGAAAGAUGAUGAGUGCGUACGGUGGGGUAAAAAUGGAAUUGGUUUUUGGUAGAAACAUUUUCUAACUUGUGGUUUUUAUGGGUCUCCACCUUAUCCUCUCUCAAUUGCAUGAUAGGUGGGUCCGACAUGAGCGGUAAGGUGGUUCUGGUUUGGGUGAGAAAGGUUUUCAAUUAUGUUGGAAAACAGGCUUCGCGGAGGCUCAAACACAAUGAGGUUUGAGCAGUCCUUGCAAUUCAAUUCCAAAGAAAUGAACAUAUGUUUACAUCGGGGUAGGGCUCUCCUUUUAUAGUAUCUCGGAGGACAUUUUGCAUUCCGCAAUUACCCUCACUCACCCACUACAAUCCUAGAAUAUGCUUUACAUGGAGGUAACUUGUAUAACUUGGUCUCCUCCUUGGAUCACGCUUCUCACGCCUUUAGUCAGCUCCAUGAUUCAUGCUCUCACAUGGUUCCACAAAUCAUGCCUUCACAUUUCCAACGCCUCCACGCUUCCUGACCUCAUGACCGAAGCCAUCUUAGCUUCGGGAGUCAUGAUCGCCAUAGAUUCGCACCUAAGAGACGCUAGCCUCGCGCCCUGCUCCUUGACUUGAUUCAGCGAUCCUGCAUGAGACACUAAAUAACUCAGCACUCGAGGUUAGCUUCGACUGCUCGAGGUCAAGCUUGGUUAGUGUUUGGUGAUCUGUGAUUGCCUCCGGGCUUCGAGGUAAGAUUCAGGAUAGCGAGGCUAUGAUUACUUUCCACGCCAGAUUAACCACCCAAGGUUAGGGCCCCUCACCCGAUGUUAAUUAUUUUGAGGGGCUAAGCUGUUGACGCUAAAUGUAACGACCUCGAGGGUGACCAUCUUUUUGGGCGAUCCCCAACAGUAGCCCCUCGUGGGCAAGGCUCGACACCGACGACCGAACCCGUGACUUAAGGAUCUGCUCCCAAAAAACGUCACUCUCGAGCAUCGGUUAGAAAUGAGCCAACAGUGACCUUUUUGGUCUUACGUGUCGAUUUCCUAUUGGGUGACCCUUCGUAUCUAGCUCGUGGUUACAGGCGCCAUUUCACGCAUUUUACCAUGCCUAUAAAAGAGGGGGGUGGGGUCGCUUUCGUUUUUACCCUCGCGGCUGAAACCCUUGCGCUCCUGCUUUUGCUCGCUGCUUCCGUGCUUUAAGAUUCAUGCAUUGUAUGCUGUUGUCCUUGGUCUCGAGGAUCUCGAAGGUAACAAUGUUACUUGUGUCUCUCUUUUAGUGUGAGAUUUUCCCUUGCUUGUCAUUUUGGAGAUGAUGUUUCGAUGCCUUGCAGCUGGCUCGUAUUAUGCAAACCGCUAGGCCCAUGACAUCAGAAGAGUUCACUAAACAAGCUGGGCUUCGCAACGAGGCUGCGGAAGACCAGGAUUUGUCCAAGGCUGACGAGAAGCAAGGAAUCAAGAGGAUUGAGCUUUCUUAUGCCUAGAAGAAUAGGUGGGAAGAUAAUUGGCUAAGCUACUAGUUCUAUAUCAAGAUUGACACAGCCGAUGCGUCUGGUAUCAACCAAUCUUUCUAUCCUUCUAUGCACCCCUGGGCCCUAUGGACAUUGCUACUACCCCUGCAUUUACAAGGUCCAAGGCAGUCAAGGAGUGCAAGGGCGCUUUCCUCCCGGACUCGAAGUCGAUCCCCGACUGGAUCUUGUUGAAGAGUUUUUAGCAGCCAACAUUUGGCCCCUUUCUGAUGGGUGGAGUCCAUUGGAGAUUGUGCCAAAAGAGGUUCCGUGGAGUACUAGCCCGCUCCUCUACCCUUGCUUUGGAGUGGAGCUGCCCGUGGAUGCCAACCCCGGUCUUUUUGCAGAGGAUGUUGAGAGGCAUGCUGUUGAUAUAAUUGGCCCGAGUAUUGAGACUGAGCUGACGUUAGCUCGAAAGAUCAUUCACACGAGCUUCGGGUCAACCGUGUGUUCGAGGAACUUGGGGUCGAUGUUAAGCCUUGUCCCAAACCUCGCAAGACCUUGAAAUGGGAACGAGAGGCUGGCGCGACACGCUCGGAAUAGGUUGGCGGCAGUGGCAGGUGGAAAAAGAGAAAGGCCGAGAGCACCGCUCCUAAGGCCGCGGCAGUGACUUCAAAGAAGGAUGACAGCCAAUCGAGGGUCGUGCUCGAGGUGCGAAAGCAAAAUUAAAGACCUCGAGCCUCGAAGCUCAGAAGAAGUAAGAAACAAUUGGACAAAGUUCCUCGAGCGAGGCCGCGCCCCUGUCUCUAAAGCCGUCCGAGUUGCGACCAAGUCCGAACUCGAGGCUGCCGGCGCGCUGGCCGGUAUGAAAGAAAAGAAGUCUACGAGGAAGUCUCGCGUCGGCAAAGCCUUUGAUGAUGAUGAUGAUAUUGUUUUGGAUGUGGACUUGUCUAUGUUCCCUAUAUCGGUCCCCGAGGCUAGUGUUCCUUCAAAGGAGACUGAGACUAAGGUUGUUGCACCCCUUCUACAGCACGAGGCCAAACCUUUGAAGGAGAAGAUCAUGGAUACCAUUGCUAAGGAGAUUAAGGCGUAUACUUCGAAGGUGACAAAGCCAGGUAAACAUGUCGUUGUACAUUUGCCUAGGAUGAGAUUUUUUGAUUUUGGUGAUGCGUCAUUUAGAUUUCUGAUGGAGCUGGAAAAAACCACUGGUGCACCUGGGGAGAUAUACAGGGAACCUCCUCUAAUAUUUAGGGUAAAACCUUAUUCUACAGAUUCUGAACUGUCACCCUCUCUGGAACGUUACAACGAGGCCUACAGCACCAACCUUAGACAGGAGCUCAUUGCUGUUCAUGUGCCGGGUUCAGGUGAGGACGAUAAUCGCUACAACCUACCCUUGUUGUGGGGAGCUAAGGAUGGGAUGCGUGGUGUAGAUAGAGCAGCCAAGGAGGUUUUCAAGAUGUCUGAGGGGGUUGUCGGUGAGGUUGGUGGGCAUGGAGAAAGGGAGGAAGGAGAGGUUAUCCCUACUCGAGGUCUUGGGAAAUCCACUGUGCCUUUUGAGGUUGAUUACGAGGACAAGUCUUUUAAUCCUGAGAGUAAGCGCUUGCUCCUUAGUUUGUUUUGUCUGUACUUAAUUUCUACUUUGCUAUGCUUUGACGUGCCUUUCUUUUGACAGAGUAUGAAAAAUCAGUUAGACGUUUCGAGCAAAAGGACUUAGCUAGGAUGUCAGCUACCAUCGGAUACAAGGUAUUUUGUUCGACGCUUGCUAUUUGUUUCUUAUCUCUCUUUUUUUACGAGGCUUUUCAUUUUGGUGUUUCGAUUUUGCAGUCCAUCAUCCUUGGGAAGAUGCUAUGGAGAAGGCUGCGGCUAAGGAAAAGAGCAUGCUAGCCGAGAGCACGAAGAUGAUGCAGCUAGAGGCUAGAGUUGCAAAGCUUGAGGAGGAAAGCAAGGUUUUAUAUGCCUUGAAGAAUGAGCUCGCCGAUUCUAACUCUGACCUUAAAAACAACAACGUGCUGCUAACAAAUACCUACAGCGAGCUCGUGCAACAAGUUGAGAAGCUGGAGAAAAGACCCGAAGACAAUCUUGGUGUUUUGGAGAAACUCCGAAGCGCCACAGAAAAAGACGCACAGACUAUCACAGAGCAGGAAAAAAUGAUUCAUACCCUUGGUCAGGAUCUCAAAGAGCAAAAGACCUUUGUUGUGGAAGCAGAGCGGGCUCUCAAGGAAAAGUUCGCUGAGAUCUAUGAGGGGUACAAAACUGCUCUUGCAAAGUUUGGCGCAGAGCCUCUUUUGUUUCUGGGUGAUGAAAGUGUAAAAGAAAUAUUUGAUUGGGUGGAAGAGGAGUUCAAAGGCCUGCCCGAGGUUAUUACUGGCAGCAGCAACUUUGCUGCUUCCUUCUGCCUUGAUAGCGCAGUUCAACUCCUUGAAAAGAACAGCUACUCUCAUUUCUUAACACUCGUGGCUCGCACCUAUAUGUUCCCCUCGGCCUCGGAGCUUGACGAAGAGGAGAAAUCUAAAAAUUUGAGAGCCACGAAGAUAAAUUUCUUCAAACAGCUUUGGGCUACCUCCGGGCGAGAGUACACAAGGCUGGUUGCUCAAGAGCGGCUUGCACAGGUUAGGGUUCACAUAACUUUGUAUUUCAUAAGGUUUUCAUUUUUUCUGUUGAUUUCCUGAUGUUGUUCCUCUUGUGUUCGUAGGCCAAGGCAUAGGAAGCAAAAGGCGAAGGUGGGAGCGAGAACGGUGAUGCUGAUCAAGGAGGGCAGUGAUUAUCGAAGCUAGUUAGAGAUUUGUUUUGUGGUUUGGGAUGUUUUGAUAAACUUGAUACUUAGUUGGCUGCUUUUGCAGGCCAGAUUGUAAAUAUUUGUUGCUCAGCCGGAACUUACAUGCUCGAAGCUGGUUACUUUUGGCGUUUGUACCUUCACGGAUUUCUUUUUGUCUUAACGUUUUUAUGUUUGAGUUAUUCUACUCAAAUGGCAACAAAGCUGUAGCUUAAAGAAACGAGCAAUGUUUUAGUUUAAAACGUCACCCCUGCCCUAGUUUCUUUAUGCGUAGGUUUUGUUGACUUUGCACGCUUGUUGUCUAAGCUUAAACGGAGCUUAAAAACGUCACCCCCUUCUUGGCAUGUGGGUCUUACCCGAGGCAAUUCUCUCAUGGAAAGAGGAUGAAAACGAUUUUUGUUUGCCAAAAAAUGUCACCCCCGCCCUUUUAUCCUUUUUUCGAAAAAACGUCCAACCUCACCCUUUUCUUUUGCAUGAACGAGGUUAAGUGAGUAUUGACAAACCACAAGAUAAGUCAAUAGAAAACUUGUUUUCGAGUUAUGUUGACUUAAAAAUAUGACAGUUUGGUUGAAAUCGCAACCCUUAUGAUGUGUUUGGUUGGGCUGUGGCUUUUCAAAAAGCUGCUCUGAGCUGUGGGGGCUGUUGAAAAGCAACUGUGAGAAAGCAGCUGUGGGAAAAGUAUAUGGCCGUUUGGUUAGAGCAGAUGUGGCUUUUGAAUAAAUUUUUGAGUGGACCCUGCAUGUCAUCCACAGUCCACCCCACUCAACUCUCUCCCUCUCUCGCUGAUGAGCGGGUCUAACCCUUCUUCCUCCCGCUGGCUAGUCCACCCCACAGCACCCCGAGUAGCACCAGGGCCGCAAUGGCAUCCACGACGAUGUAGUCCACAAUCAGGGUGAGGUCCAUGACGGCGAUGGCCUGCACCUCGCCUCCUCCACCUCGCACCACGUGGCGGGCACCGUAGCACCAACGGCAUCUAGGAGGCGGUAGCACCCCGUGGGCACGCAUGCGUCGACAAGGAGGUUGAGGCCGGUCUGUGCUGCCAAGAGCCCGCCCACGGCGCCCGCGCAGGUGAGCCCCACCUCGGUGACGAAGUAGGCUGCCGCCGCCAUGGUGCCCUUCGGCGCGGAGGCGGAGAGUGAUGAGGAGACGGAUGCCAUGGCAGCGGCGAGGAGGAGGAGACGCGCGAUGAUGAGUGUGUGCUGCUGGAGGUCGGAGGCCGGGAGCGAGACGGCAAGGAGGCCUGCGGCAUGGGCGAGGAGGAGGAACGACAGGGAGAGGAGGAGUGGGAGGUGGGGCAGGAGUAAUGGGAGUGGGAGGAACGGGAGCAACGGUGGGAGGAGCAGCAGCGGGAGGAGCGUCGUGGAGGCCAGUGGGAGGAAGGCGAACAGGAGCAUGAGGAGUAGCGGGAGGAGGCAGAGGAAUGGGUGGCGGAGCAGGCGGAGGAGGCGGUGGUGGAGGGAGGACGGGGAGAGGUAGGAGACGGUGGCAAUGAGGAGGUGGGACUGGGAGGUCGCGAGGAGGGAGAAUAUAAGGGCAAGGUGGCACGCGAGCAGCAGCGCCUCCGCCAUUGGGGUUGGGCAGCGUGGUCGGGGAAGUCCCGAGGAGGAGGAGCACCAGCCAGCGGGCGGCGGGCCACUGAGGUGAUUGUCGGGUGGGGGGGACUGGUGCGGGUGACGGGGAGUGGACAGGAAUAGAAGGGGAAAACGAACCAUUAUCCUCCAUAACAAGUGGUAGGUGGGUAAUUUUUUGCCCCAAAAGCAGCUAAAAGCAGGGGGAAGGUGCUUUUGAUUUUGGGCAAAAGCACGUAUGGCUUUGGACAAAAGCACGUAUGGCUUUUAGGCCCUUUGGUUGGCUUUUGGCUUUUGCAAAAGCAAAAGUAGGUUGGAAAGUCCAACCAAAGGCACCCUUAGUUGCUUCAACCAUGAAAUUUUGCGAGGUUGAGAAAAUAGGGAAAUAGGGUGCCUUUUUUGAAAAAAUGUCAGUCUUUCUAUUCUAUUGUGAGAGCUUUGGCUGAGGCUAGGGCCUUCGUGCGAAAGGACAAAAUGAAUUUUCGACUCUGAAAAAUGUCACCCCCCUUGUCCUUUUGCGCAGAGGGGGUUUAGACUCAGCAUGGCUUAUUCCGAGUGUUAUCGCUGCCUUUGAUCGCUUGCUGCAGCCUUUCUAUUCUCUGAGUUGCAAGUUCAAGGCCAAUCACUGUGGUGUUUGAGUGAGAAAAUACGUUUAUGUGCAUAUAGUGUGCAUUCAAUGUUAGACUAUGCAGCUUAGUGCUGCUUUAAAAUAUCUUGCGCAGAAACGUAGGUUUUCAACAUGCAGGAAUGUGAGGUUAGGCAAGUUGUUGUUGCAUCUGAGACUUGUGCAGACACGCAAGUUUUCAAUGCACAGAAACUCAAGGUUAGGCAACUUGUUGUUGCAUCUAAGACUUGCGCAGAAACGCAAGUUUUCAACGUGCAAAAACGCGAGGUUAGGCAACUUGUUGUUGCAUCUAAGACAAAGAUCAUAGGGGGAACUUCAUUUCAUUGAAUAAUGGAAAUUUUACAAGGAUCUACCUCAUUAAAAACAUUGCCUCCAGAAAGGAGGCCCUGUAGCAAGGAAAAGAGUGCAAUCCAAAUUUGAAAAUGUAAAGUGCUAUGGAGUAAAUUCAUUACCCUCAGCGUUGUUUAUAACCUUACAAGCCGAGGGUAGUGUUGAACAAAAUGCUAAGGGUAGUACUCACGCAAGCUAUCGAUAUUCCAAGAGUGUGGCAGCUCCGUGCCAAGCUGAUCCGUAAGAUGAAAAGACCCUGGCCUAUUGCUUUGCGUGACAAGGUAUGGCCCUUCCCAGGCUUCCUAUAGUUUCCCGAGGUCCUCCCAAUUUUUCUUCCUCUUGAUGACAAGGUCACCCACUUUGAUUUCCUUGCGCACCACUUUUUUGUUUCUCCACCUUCUCGUUUCUUGAUGGUACUUGUCAAUAUUUUCAGCAGCUUGCAGUAUCUCAAGCUCUAUCAUGUCUUUUUCAAUUCUUAUAUCAUCUGGGUUAACCUCGGGCUGCAACACUCUCAAGCUAUUGUUUUUUAUUUCCUUUGGUGUCACUGCCUCGGAGCCAAACAGCAAUCAGAAGGGUGUGAAGCCUGUCACUUGAGAUGCAGUGGUGUUGUGGGACCAGAUUACCCUCGAGAGCUCAUCCACCCAUUUCCCUUUCUUCUGAUCAAAGAGACAUUUCUUCAUACCUGAGAAGAUCAAGCCAUUUGCUCUUUCCACCGCCCCGUUUGACAGGGGAUGAUAUACUAAGGUGAAUUUUACUUUAGUACCAAUGCUGGCACAAAACUCUUUGAAAUUAUAACAACAAAUUGCUUGUCGUUAUAAACAAUUAGCUCCCUAGGUACUCCGAAUCUGCAGAUGAUGUUCUGCCAAAAGAAUUUUUGGACUGAGCCCGAGGUUAUAUUUGCCAGCGGCUUAGCCUCGAUCCACUUCGUAUAGUCAACUACUACUAUGGCAAACUUGCAAUUUCCUUGAGCUGUCAGGAGUGGGCCUACUAGGUCCAUACCCCAUCUUUGUAAGGGACAAGUUGGUGAGAUAUGUUGUAUUGGCAGCGAUGGCGCAUUUUGCUAGUUUGCUAUUUUUUGUCAAGCUUCACAGCUUCGCACGAGGCUUUGUGCAUCCUGGAAUGUUGUGCGCCAGUAAAACCCCUACCUCAAUGCUUUACUCACCAAGGCUUUCGAUCCGAUAUGCGACCCGGAAAAACCCUUGUGAAUCUUAGCUACUAGCUCUUUCCCGCUUUCUGUGUCUAUGUACCGAAGCCAAGGGGUCGAUAUCCCAGACUUGUAUAAUUUUCCAACAAUAAUUGUGUAGCCCCUAGCUUUUUGCUUUAAUCUAGCUAGUUCAACCUCAUCAUAGGGUUUGAAGUACCCUCUCAUAUAAGCCAUGAUUUGAGCUCUCUAGUCAAAACUUUAGAUUGCAUUUAUUGUCUUCGGGGUUGGAUCUUUUGUCGAUGGCGUGCGAAUGACCUCGUAAAAUACAUCGGGGGGCAUGGGCUGACUCUGUGCUGCAGCUUUUGCAAGUGCAUCAGCCUCAUCAUUUUCCGCCCUUGGGAUAUGUUGUACCGUGAAGCCCUUGAAAUGCUUUUCCAUCGCUCUUACUGCUGCAAGAUACUUGACUAGCUCCGGCUCUCUAGCCUCGCUAUCCUUUUCUAUAUGCUCUUUGAGUCUGUCUUUAUUACGAAUACUUGCUAACCUAGGGCCUUCAUUUUCCUUAGCCCCAUGAGCAGUGCUUCAUAUUCUGUGGUGUUGUUUGUAGACCUCGCAUCAUUUGCAAAGCUUAGCCUUGCAGCAUAUCCCAUUUUGACUGCCGAUGGCGAGGUUACAAUAGCCAAGAUUCCAGUCCCUCUAUCACACCAGGCACCAUCACAGUGUAUAGCCCAUGGAGUCUCGAUCUCGUCUUGGCUAGCACAUGGAGAUGUCCAAUCUACGAUGAAAUCUGCCAGGACUUGUGAUUUUAUAGCACUCCUUCUCUCGAAGUCCACAACAAAUUCUGACAAUUCUGAUGCCCAUUUAGUGAUCCUCCCCGAAGCUUCUCUAUUUGAAAAGAGAUCUUGUAGAGGUUUGUUAGUAACUGCCAUGAUUCUGUGGCCCUCAAAGUAAUGUCGCAGCUUGCGUGCUGCCAUAACCACUGUGUACACAAUCUUCUCUAGCUCCGAAUAAAACAGCCUCGAACCUGAUAGUGCUUCCGAUGCAAAAUAGACUAGGAUCUGUUUUAGCUUUGCCAUCGACUUCUUUUUCUUGAAUCAGGGUGGCGCUGACGGCUGUAUUCGAAGCUGGCACAUAAAGCAAGAGAGGUGAUUUGGCUCUAGAGCGCACAAUUUGGUCAUGUUCGCCAAGUAGUCUUUGAGGUAUUGAAAAGCCUCACUUUGUUACUCCUCCCACUCAAAAUUUUUAGAGUUUCUCAGGACCUAGAAGAAUGGUAAGCUUCGCUUCACGGCUCUUGAAAUGAACCUGUUAAGGGUAGCAACUCUUCUAGUUAGCCUCUGGACAUUCUUCAGCGAGGCUGGCUCCCUCAUAUCAAGCAGUGCCUGGAUUUUGUCUGAGUUCGCUUGGAUGCCUUAUGUUGUAACUAGACAUCCCAAGACUUUGCCUCACUAAACCCCAAACACACAUUUCUCAGGGUUGAGCUUCAGGUUUGCUGCUCUCAAGUUGGCGAAAGUUUCCGCGAGGUCGAGGAUGUGGUCUUUCCUCUUAUCACUUUUCACAACUAUAUCGUCAACAUAAGCGAGAAUAUUUCUACAAAGCUGUUUGGAGAGGAUGAUUGCUAUCAUUAUUGAGAAGGUUUUCCCUACUAUUUUUAGCCCCAUGGGCAUCCUCACAAAGCAAAAGGUCCCGAAUGGUGUUACCAAUCCUAUUUUUCUCUCAUCCUCUUUUUUUUAUUUUGAGCUAAUGGUAGCCUGAGAAUAAGUCCAAUAAUGGUAACAUUUCACUAUUGGCAGCAUCGUCCACCACCUUGUCUACUCUUUGCAAUGGGUAGUGAUCUUUCAGGCAAGCCUUGUUUAGGUCAGUGAAGUCUAUGUACAUUCUCCACCUGCCGUUCUUCUUUUUGACUGGAAUAGUAUUGGCUAGCCAUUCUGGAUAGAUAAUGGGCCAUAUGACAUUAGCCUCGAGGAGUCUUUCAAUCUUGGCCUUCACUACUUGAGCUUUUUCAUCUGACAUUUUUUGAGCUUUUGCUUUUUUGGCUUCAUGCUAGGCUUGAUGUUGAGGUUGUGCUCUAUUAUCUCUUUGUUGACCCCUUGGAGGUCACUUGAGGACCAGGCAAAAACAUCUUUGUUUUUGUUUAAGAAAUCGAUUAACUCCUUCUCCUCCUCGGGCUUGGGGUUGGCUCCUAUUGUGACGUAUUUGUCAACAACAUAGUCAUCCAAGAGGACUCUUUUUGUUUCGCCAUCCACACUUAUUUUUAUCUUCUCUUUGUCCCUUUUGGGCUCAACAUAUGGUUUUUUCUUUUCUUACUCUUCAGCCUCAUUGGGGGUUGUUAGGUGGUGGACAUUCUUUUGUCCUGGGGUUACACCCUUUUCUAUAUUUCUGGCGGUUUGCUAGUCGCCAUAGAUUGUGAUGACUCCUUUCAGAACUAGGAUUUUCAUGCAUAGAAAUAGUUGCCUGAUUGCUGCAUCGAACUUGUUAAUGAACCCUCUCUCGAGGAUGGUGAAGUAAGGGUAGUACAUUUCAAUGACAUCAAAUGUGAUGCGCUCUAUUCUUGCAUUGUCGAGGUUUCCAAAUGAAACUGGAAGUGCUACCUUUCCCAGGGCUUUAACUAGCCUCCCCCUGAAGCCAAGUAGUGGGACUUCUGCUGGCUCGAGCAAGUGCUGGUCAAUUUUCAUCUCCCUAAAGGUGUUUGUGAAGAUGAUAUCUGCGGAGAUGCCAUUGUCCACUAGGACCUUCCCUAUCUUCCAGCCAGUAAUGGUAGCCUCGAUUACCAUUGCAUCGUUAUGCAAGGUUGUUUUCAAUUUGAAGUCUUCUUCUAUGAAAGAACUUGGCAUGUGUGCCCAUUCCGGCUUAGCUGGGGGACCAUCAGGUAUGAUUGUGUUCACCUGCCUAAAACAAUCUCUUUUUUAGCCUUUUGUUCUUGAACUCGAGGGAACAGCCAUCGGCGAUUGGCAUUAUCAUGCCAUAGGUUGGUAUAGCAUUGGAGUUGUCCUCGCGAUGCUCGGAUUGUUAGGAUCCCCCUGAGAUUGGCAUUAUCAUGUUGUAGGUAGGUAAGGCUUUAGGAUUGUUGUUUUGUGGGUUAAGCUCAGCUUUUGGAAUUUCAUUGGGUAGAUUUGGUGGUGGUAGUGGUAUUUCAUGGUGGGGUUGAGAAGGUACGAAGUUUGCAUUCUACGAGGUUGGUUGAGCACGAGGCCGGAAUUGUGGCGAGUGUUGCCACAUCAUGGUGGGCUAAAAGGUUGCGUGGUUGGGGUUUGGGUAGUAUGGUGGAUGUGGCCAAAAGGUUGUAUGGUGGAUGGUUUUGAGUGCCUCAGCCACUUUCUUUUCUUCGGCUAUUCUUUCAAAAACCUUUUUGGCUUCUUGGCAAAAAUCAGUUGCAUGGUCGAGUUGUUUACCAUGGAAUGUGCAGUAAAAUGAUCUUUGUUGGUUACUUUGGUUAUUUCACCUCGGAGGUCCUCUGCCUCGGCCUCUUCCUCUUCCGACAUGGUUGCCUCUUUGGCCGCUUCUGAAAUUGGGUUGAUGUUGGUGGUAUCGGUUCUGGUUUUGGCCUAGGUUUUGGUUUUGGGUUUGGUUUUUGAAUGAGGGUUGGUUAUCCUUGAUGGCCAGCAGUUGGUUUGGGUGCGAGUGGUGCUGUUGUUGGUGACUGUAUCAUGAAGCUUGCCAGUUUUGACCUUUCUCUGCUUGCCUUUGGCGGUUUCUUUCCACGACCCUUCUUUUAUGGUCUUCAUCUGAUCUGCAAUAUUUAUCCAUCUCUGCGAAUAGGGCUUCCAUUCUUUUUGGCUUUUUCCUUGAUAGCUUCGAGGCUGUUGGCCCCGGAUUAAGCCCCUUGAUGCAGAUCGCUAUGACCAUGCUAUCCUCCACAUCUGGGGUUUGUGUCUUAAGUUGGAAAAAUCUUCUCACGUAGCUUGCUAAAGGCUCUUUAUCUUUUUGCACACAAUUGAACAAAUCCCCCUCAUCAGUCAUGGCUCUAUGAAAGCCUUGAAAGUUUUGUAUCAGUUUGGUUUGAAGAUCGACCCAGCUGUAUACAAAUUGCAGCAGGAGUAGAGAGUACCAAUUUAGUGCUACACCCUCACACGCUAUAAUGAAUGACUUUGCCAAUACUACAUCAUGUCCCCCUGUCGAGGCUAUGGCUGUUUCAUAACUCAUGAGGAACUAGCGGGGAUCUGUUUGUCCAUUGAAUUUUGGUAGUGCAACUGCCUUGUAGGUUGUGGGCCAUGGGGCUGUUUGCAGGCCUAAGGAUAGUGGGGAGCUUUUGUCGGUAGUUGUGUAUGCGCUCAUUGUCACUAGGGUGUUGUGCCCAACAAGGCUAGGAUUCGGGUAUAGGAUGGGUGUGUCAUUGGUGUUGAAGGUUUGAAGUGGUGGCUGCUGCGGCUAUUGUGGUGUGUUGCACAAGUAUUCCAAUUCGUUCAACUCUUGCUGCAACUCUGCCAGCUGCCUUUUGGCCUCAUUUAGCCUCACUAGCUUGUUGGCUGCUAGUCUUUGAGCCUGAAGCUCUUGAGCAAUUUUUUCUUUUUCUUUUUUAAUGGCUCUAGCUGCUUGAGUGCCGAGGCCAUCUCUUCUUCUAUUUCACUAAGGGGUUCAUCUUGCGUGCUUGUUUGCUGCAGAGUUUGGUUCGAGGUCCCCGCCUCAACCAUUCCUUUCUGUGAUCUUGUUCUUAAUUUAGCCUCGAUUCUUUUAAACUUUUUCUGCCUUCUCCGUGUUAACUUGUUCGACUGAGACAAGCUGCCUUUCUUGUCCAGCCUCAUCUUCGAUGGUUCUCUUCUUCUUUUGAGGUGGCAUCGUGGGUUUCUUAGUCGCUCAGAAUACGGUGGGUGCCAAUGUUGGGAAACAGGCUUCAGGAAGGCUCAAAAACAACAAGGUUUGAGUAGUCCUUGCAAUUCAACUCCAAAGAAAUGAACAUACGUUUACAUCGGGGUAGGGCUCUCCUUUUAUAGUGUCUCGGAGGACACUUUACAUUCCGCAAUUACCCUCACUCACCCACCACAUUCCUAGAAUAUGCUUUACAUAGAGGUCUUUUUAAGAGGUAACUUGUAUGAUUUGGUCUCCUCCUUGGAUCACGCUUCUCACACCUUUAGUUAGCUCCGUGAUUCACUCUCUCACAUGGUUCUGCAAAUCACACCUUCACGUUCCAAUGCCUCCAUGCUUCCUGACCUUGCGAUUGAAGCCAUCUUAGCUUCGGGAGUCAUGAUUGCCCUAGCUUCGCACCUGAGAGAUGCUAUGCACCAUGCUCCUUGACCUGAUUCAGCGACCUUGCAUAAGACAGUAAAUAACUCAGCACUCGAGGUUAUCUUCAAGUGCUCAAGGUCAAGCUUGGUUAGUGUUCGGCGAUCAGUGAUUGCCUCCGAGCUUUGAGGUAAGAUUCAGGAUAGCAAGGCUAGGAUUACUUUCCAUGCCAAAUUAACUGCCUGAGGUUAGGGACCCUCACUCGAGAUUAAUUAUUUUUAGGGGCUAAGCUAUUGACGCUAAAUAUAAUGACCUCGAGGUUGACCAUCUUUUUAGGCGAUCCCCAACAAAUUAUUUUCGAUCUUUAUAUUACAGAAAUGCAUGCACACGGCUUGCUUGAUGGCGUUGUCCGCUCAUCUUGCCAUGCCUCGCCUCGUCGCCGACCACACCAUCAUGAAUGGAGAAACCACGCAUGCACUGUGAUAAGUUUAGAGCAUCCUAGUGACGGUAUUCAAGGUGCUCAAAUAGUGGUAUUCAACUUAGAAAAAUUAGUAGCACCGGAAUAUUGAACGGUCAUCGGAGCAACCAUCAGAGCACUUGGUAUGAUUAAGAAAUAAGCUUGAGUUGCAGCAAGCACCAGAUGAUCCGACAGGGUUCUGUUUAUAAGUGUCAGAGCAAUUCGCAGAGAAGAUAGAGAAAUACCUAUAGCACCAGAUGUUCCAAUGGCUAGAAGAUGAAGGCGUUGGACCAAGCAUAUUUACAUUGAAAAAUUCAUGAGAGAUUCUAGGGAAAACUCCUUCAGCACCGGGUCUUCCGACGGUACGUCGGAUGAAUUUAGGCAAAGGUCCAAUGGCUAUAUGUGUCAGUAAGGCGCACUAGAUGAUCCCAUGCUUACCUUAAGUGACCAUCGGAUCGUCCGAUGCUCACAUAUUUUACUAGGUGUUGGAGCAAAUGCCCUUUGAGGUUCAUGGGCUAUUUAUGCCCCCUCCACUCGCCCAUUCAGAGUUGCUGGAGUGUCCAUACAUCGAUUGAUGACCAAGGCUCAUCAAGAACAUAUACAUGCCACCAAAAGUGCAAAAGCGAUAAUCCAAGGCUUAGCACGAGCUAAGAGAUUGAUUAGUGCUAGGAUAGGCCUAGAGAGAGUAGUGCAAGGUGCUGAUACCUUGUGAUUGGUUCAAGGAGUGAUCCACUAUUAUAAGCUUGGUGCACCGGUGGCUUGGGGUCUUAGUGGCUCUCCGGCAAGUAUUCGACCCUCCAGCUUGGUGUGGAGCAGCAUCGACGGCCAUAUGCGAGGGACAAGAAGACUCCUUCCUUCGUGGAGCAGCUUCGUACUUGAGUGCCUUGAAUGCCUUUACUUUCUAGAGUAGUACCUUGUUAGGAUUGGCUCUAGGUUGCAAAACUCUUUAUGGGUGGGAAGUUUCACUAGAUCAACCAUAGAUGCACAUGUAGAUAGCAUGAUCUAGUUUAUGUUUGGAAGCAAGUAGUGGAAGUCAUAGGCUAAGGAUCAGUAGUUCGUAUGUGCUAGCAAUCAUCGCCUCCAGCUUCGUCGCCCCCUCUCCAUCACCCCAUCCCCGUCGCCCCCGGCCCCGUCGCCUCAUCGCCUCAGCGCCACCGUGCCCCGGUUGUCUCAAUCCUCUUCGACGUAUGAUGACUCUGUGCUGCCCCAUCCUCGUCGACAUCCUCCUCUCUGAUGUGGCCCUCGCCUCCUCUCUAAUGACUCCACACUACUGCGGCCACUGGCCCUUGGCUCCUUCUCAACCCCGAUGUCGCCCACACCCCCGGCCGUACAUCGACUCUGGUCGUCGAGCUCACCCCUCUCUUUUCCGACUCCGCGUCGUCCGGCCACCGUCAACUACUCUGACACCUGCACCCCCGGCCGUCUCCCCUCCGACGUGUUGCCCAAGCCCCCGUCACCUCCAUCCUGUCUGACGACACCGCGCCGCCCCCUACACACUUGCGGUGACGUAAGCCCGCGACCGCCGUGAUGACGUAAGCCCCUGCGGCUGCCGACAUCAUUAUGUUUCUUCUGAGCUAGAAUAUGUCUACAAAUUAUAGGAAAUUAUAGAAAAAUUGUAGGAAAUUUGUGUAAGUGUUAGAAAUCAUGCCUUUUUUUUCAAUUUGUACGUGCGUAGAGAAUAGCUAGUAAUUAUAAAAAUUGUUGGAGUAGGUAUAAAUUACAUAGAAAUUGUAGGAAAUUAUUGGAAAUUUGCAAAAAAUUUGUAUAAGUACUGGAAAUCAUACUUUUUUUUAAUUUGUACAUGCAUAGAGAAUGGCUAGUAAUUAUAAAAAUUGUUGGAGUAGGUACAAAUUACAUAGAAAUUGUAGGAAAUUAUUGGAAAAUUGCAGGAAAUUUGUAUAAGUACUGGAAAUCAUGACAUUUAUUUUUCUGUUUCAUUCUAUUUAUAUGUUGUAUAAAUGUUAGAAAUUUGUGUAGGCAUUGCAAAUUAUCUAUAAAUAUUGUAUGAGUGAUGUCAUUAUUGUUUCAUCCUAUUUUUGUUGUCAUUUCAUACUAGUGUUUCAUUCUACUUUACAUAUUGUUGUAACAUGUUACAUAUUAUAAGUGUUUAGUUCUUUUAUAUUAUACUAGGUACAAUGGCAUGAUCAGAUGACGAGAUUAUAUAUGACAUGAUUGCUGGAGGGGCCUCUCAAGCAAAUGAAGAGGUCUAUCACAGCCAGGCUAACAUGUACCUCAACCUAGCUGGUGAUGGCAUUGAGGAGCAAUGACUUGCCGAGGGAGGCAACGUGGAGCAACAAGUUCCCGAUAGAGGCAAUGUGGAGCAACCAAUAUUAUACGUAAACAUUAUUUCAAUUACCAUCUUAUCAAAAGAAACAUCAUCAUGCAACAUUUCAAUUGUCGUUUUUAGCCAUCUAGAUCGAGCAAAAUGCCUCAAAAGAAACAAGGCAAGAACAAGAAAGAUGAGGGCCGUAUCAUCAUCAUAGAAAUUGCUAAAAUAGUGAACCGAUUGCCCAUCCCAAAGCUAAGAUCAAGUUGGUGAAUCAUAUUGGGUUCCUUAUCAGAGAUAACAUUCCAAUCUGGUUUCUGAAAUGGAGGAAACCCAAGCGCAUCCGGGUCAUCACAAACCCGCUCCUUUAUGUCCCUGAUCGAGAGAAGGAAAUGUUAUGGGUACAAGUAAAAGAACACUUCAUGUUCGAAAAUGUUGACAAAGCCAAAGUGAAAGAAUGGGGCAUGAAGAAGGGUGCAAUUGUGUUUCAGACCUAUAAAAACUUGACCAAAGACUAUGUAAAGAAGGGGGUUCAACCUUAUUUCAUUGAGCACACUAAGAUAAGGGAUAUCUGGGAUUCCUUUGUACAGUUCAAGGGCACGAGCUGGGUGUCUAUGGUGAUGACCAAUAAACACAGUGAGACCCUCAAGAAAUAAUUCGAGUGAAACUUCCAAUGAAAAACACUUCACGGACAAGAAAAUGCUCAAGCCAGGCAAAAUCUAGGAGCUCUGGGUGGAUGGUUUGCUUCCCAAGGACGGACGGUCCAUGAGCGGUGGACGGUCCAACCUUAUGACUUACACAACGCAGAAUUGUUGAAAACAAAUGCAUGGCCAAAGUUUUGGCCAAAACUCUAUCAAAUCAAGUCCAAAUGCCACCAAAUUUUAGCCAUAGCAUCACAACAACACAUAGAAGCUACUUCUAAGAGAUCAUCCCCAAAAGAUUGGUCAAUCAAUAGGAAAUCCAAAUCUUGUGAAGAAUACCGCUUUUUCAACCUUGGAAACUUGAAUCGCCCUGAUGUAUGAACUCGUGAGGGGUUAGAUGAAUUCCUUUGGUAGAAAGACUUCACUCACAUCCUAGUUCAUUUCCAAAUGAUCGGUUUGAGUCAAGAAUCCCUAGAAAUCACGAAUCGAACAAAAAACAUGAGAAGGGAAAAACGGGAGAAAACAAGAAUGCGAAGAAGACAAGAGAGAUUUGCACAAAGCCGCUGUCCCCCAACACACGGAGGACUCGAGGAGGUUAGGGCUUCCAUUCCCACAACAAAAACUUUAGUUCAAUACAUGAAUUCGAGUUCAAAUCAUCCGCGGACCUCUAGAGAGAGAAAGGAAAAAACCAAAAUGAAGUGCUAGAGAGAGAGGGGGUGAAAGAAAGGUGGAAGAGGUGCUAAAAAUUUCAGCCCCCAAUCUCUAUCUAUAGGCGCCGACAAAGGACUAGACAACCCCUAAUAGCUACUACUAAGAUAACUACCCAUGUAGGGGUAUUUUUGUCCAAGUUUUUGUACGUUCAUCAGACGGACAUGCCACCUUCUCAACUUUGCUUCGCCUUGAUGUAAGCUUCAUGAUGAUGCCACAUGCCCUCCUUUUUGAACCUCUAACCGCACCGAACUCGCUCCCCCCCCCCCCCGCUUUGAGGCCCAAACCGGGAAACCUGCCAACGUGGUGGUUUUGAGGCCCAAACCACCCAAACCGUCCAUUCUUUGCUUGGCCACCAAGUCGACGUGUGUCCUGUCUCCGCCAAGUCUAGCUUUGACGCCUCCAAGUCGUUUGCUCACGGCUCCCGGGCUGCCUACUUGACUUGCCUCCGUCCUGCUUGACUAGAUCGACGCCGUCUCUAUCACCAUCAUGUUCCCUUGCUGUUCCAGGCACCAUGUGGACCGCCUAUGACUCCACCUAGACUCCUCAGGUCCAUCGGUCCAAGCCUACUCACGUUCAUCCUUCACCGCCCUUGGUCCAUCGGCACGAAACUUUCGCUUGACCUUCACCACAUGCCGUCGGUCGUCACAUCGCAUCCUACACCUGCACAUCACAAACCAAGAGCAAUAUCAAUCUAACACAAUCGUUGUCAAUCACUCAUCAUCCAAGGGUGACCACCAUUGGUCCUUAGCUCUGAGCAACCGAACCAGUCAACAAGCAGCUAUUGUAGCAUCAGGGCCACAUGUCGAUUUAAGCCCAACUUAGCAUCGAAGCAGUGUCACUUCAACAAAAGCCUUAGUGGGAAGAUCCACUAAGGUCAUUGAGGAAGGUCACCCCAUGGAUGACAUCACAGGGACAACCCCUAGUAAGCUUGUUACUCCGGUUUAAAACAAGCUCAUAGUGGUGGCUUAUGGUGCGACUGAUCGACCGACACAAGGCCAAAUAAUACAUGGCAUGCUGGUUCAAGCUGGCUAUGCCAAAGUUGCGUUGGACCGAGUGGUCAACGGUUGGAGAACCUAGAACUAGAAAUCCCUAGAGGUGAUGAGGAAAAGAAUCUAGAAUAAGCUGUCCAUGGUUGGAUUCAGUGGCCCAAGCGCUUCAUGAGGAUUACGCAACCGAAUGAUGAGUCCACCUGUACCAGAAAGGGAUCCAAGCAUGACUCCAACUCCCCCUCCCAUGAAGAAGCGUUCAAUUCCACCUCCACCUCCACCUUGUAAGAAGAAGCAGAAGAAGCAGAAGGAGAAGGCACCACCUGAGAAAUUACCUUAUGAGAUGGCACACGAGGAGUCCAAGGCUGCAGCAAAUGCUUAGUUACAAGCAUGGAUUAAGGCUUGAAAAGAAGAAUGGUUGAAGAAACAGAAUCCAGAGAAACCACUGGAUAAGCGUAACCUUCAGGCUUUCAUCAGAAAAAGGAGGUGGAGAGAAGGAAAAAGCCAGUGAAAGCUCCCCUUUCUGAUUAUGGUAGGUAGAUCACAAAAGCAGUCAGCUCAUAAGAAGAAGAAAAGUGGGAAAUCUAUUUCUUAACUCAGAGAUCCACGUGUGCAGCUUUCUAACUUUGAAAAAAAACCUGCUUGAAUUCGCUAAUGAUACAAAUCUGACAGCAGCACAACUUCGAGGGGAGGCUGACAUCCCAAUGCUCCUUGUGCCUGAAAAAUGGAAAUAUGUGUAUGGUAAAGAGCUUGUGAUUCCGAAGUUGCUAAAUUAUCUGCCAACGAAGAUGCCCAAGCUCCACCAAUGGUAUAUGGAGGCCAUAGCAAAAGGUUUGGCCAUGAUGGAAGUUUGGAUUGCUGAUCACCAUGACUUCCGUGGUGAUGACAUCAUAAUGGCCUUACUAUCAGAACUUUUCAUGCUAUUCAAUCAACAAGCACUAGACAAGUCACUCAUCAGUUGAUGGGUCCUGUAAGUCUUUAAUAUAUUCCUCUAACUUCAAAAUCCCUGCUCUAGUCAUUUUGCAGUGUCUUAACUCCUAUUCAAUUUUGUAUCAUGCAGGAUGGAGAUUUAAACUUGUCGCAAAAAUGGAUACAAUGACAUGCGCUUCAUGGACCCCUCAACAAUACACAAGAAUACUCUAAGGGAUAACCUAGAUGAGACAGCGGACAAUAUAUUUUUGUUCCUAGACAAGCACUAGGAUAAGAAAUGCAUAUUAUUACUGUGGAACUCCAGGUAAGCAUUUUUACCAUCUCUUUCUUUUCUGAGCUAGCACUUAUACAUAAUACUAAUUAGCUUCAAUUUCGAUGUACAACAACCAUUGGAUACUCAUUGUUAUUGUGCCCUAUUGGAGUAUCGUGUAUGUCUUUGACUCCUUGAGGAGACCAAAGGAAAGUUACGCUGACAUAAUGAACACUGUGAAUAAAUGCUGGGCUCGAUUCCGUCGAACUCACAAGGGUGAUUUCAAGGAAAAACUUGAUUGGAAGAUAGAUUUUCCGGUAUGUGUUCUCAAUUUUCACAUCUCGUGAAACUUCCAUUAACAGAAAACAUAUUACAUAACUUUUUUUCAAUAUAUACAGUGUGCAAGACAGCCGAAUGGUACUGAAUUAUGCGGAUACUACGUUUGUGAUUACAUCCAUGCCUUGAUCAGUCCGAGCGGCCAUAUCAGCGAACACAAAUUAACAGUACGUAUAUUUUUCAACAAAAAGUUAGUUCAUGUGUAUAUUCUUCAAAAAUCAAUCCAAGUGUAUAUACUUAGAAUAAUUAGAUUAAGUAUUUCAAUUCAUUUGGUUGUACAUCAACAAAGUUUCAAUCGUUCAAAAAUUUUAGCUUAAGUAUUUCUAAUUCAUUUGCCAAUGACACAGAUGAUGACUAGGAAGGAAAGACUCGUAGAUACAGAAAUUUUCAGGGCAAUCCAAGAACAACUAUGUGGAUUUCUUCUAGAUAAGGUCGCAAAUCCUUUGGGGGAGUUGCACCAUGAUGGGACUCCGAUAGUGCACAAACCGGCCUCGGGUUCAUAAUAGCAGAUACGAUAUGUGUAUGCAAUGUGUAAUAUUAACCAAACAUCUGUUUAUGCACAAUACGACAAUAUUAUCUCAAAUGUUAUAUUCAAAAUAAAUAGAAAUUUACAUAUAUUAGUGUAUUAGAAUCAGUAUAUGUAAAGGAAACAGAUAUAAAAUAUGAAUAUACAAUAAAGUAACAGAAAAUAAGAAAAAAAAGGAAAACUGCAUUAGUACCGGUUGGGGAUACCAACCGGUACUAAUGAGGGCACCUCCCCGCGUGGCAUGGCAAGCCCUUUAGUACUCGUCGGUUUACUCAACCGGUAUUAAAGGUUACAAUUUAUUACUGGUUAUUUCAACCGGUACUAAAGGGACCACCUCUAGUACCGAUUGCACAGUACCAGUUACGGUUCCGGUACUAGAGGGGGGUUACUGACCGGUACUACACGUCAUUUUUCCAGUAGUGUAUAAACUGGCGGGAAAGAUUCCUUCAUCACCGCUAGCUCUUGUACUAGACCGUCAGUGCUGAUGGUCCUCUUCACAGCCCAUGGGACAGCAACCGGCGGUGAUGAACUCGCAUCACUAUCCGUCCAUGGUCCGGCUAUGAUAGGCAACCUCAUCACCACCGACAUUUAUGUGCCAGCAGGCCCCCAAACCACCCGUGAUGCAGGGUUUUGGGGCUAGCGGUGAAGGCCUGUUGUGCAGUAGUGUGCAUACAAUGAUUCAAAAUAAACCUAAUAUUUUCCCUUUAUAUCUUUUUUUCUUUUAUCGUACUUUUCUAGGCCUCACUUUGUAGUUUUUCUUUCAAUUUCACAGUGACUGAGGUGUCAGGUGGCUUGCCGACGCUGAAUGAAACAACCUGAGGUGGGCUGGCCAUGACGGGUACCUAAUAAAGGGAGUGUCUGUCGCACAAGCGUUGGAAGAGCAUCUCCAGCAGUUCCCAGUAACAAUGAAAUGGAUAUUGGAGUAACCCCAUGCACUAAUUAUUGAGAAAUAUUUAUUAAGAGAUUGCUGGAGAUGCUCUAAGGUGAGCUCAUACGAGAUACAUGCAUGCUAGUGCUCAUAUGAUGGUAUGUUUCUGUGUCAUCUAAUACCAACACAUGUAUUCCUUUCUCCAUCACAAUCCUCCUUCGCAUAAGGUGUUCAGUGCUGUUGUGAAAUAAGCAUAGCUCAGCUUGUAUAUUUCCUUGUGGAACCCGCCCAUCAAGGUUCGAGUUAUUGACUUGGCACCGGUGCUCGCAUUUUCCUGAUUAAUUCUAGAAUUUAACCAGCACUAUCCUUUCAGUGGUAGACAACAUGCUCGUCGAUAGCGAGGCACCAUAAGUGACUUCGCCAAUCUCGAGGAUCUGUCGGUUCAGUCUCUUGGAGGUGCUUAAAGGUAGGGUUGCAUGUGUACAGACACAGACGCUCACAUAAACUUACAUAAAUUCAAUGGUAUUAAUACACCCUACCCUUAUCAGCACCUCUAAAACACUAAGCCAAUAGGUCCUUGAGAUUGACCCUUAUGAGCAACUCUGGAAAACUAAGCCAGCAGAUCAUGGAGAUUGACAAACUCACCAUGGGCAGCUCGCCAUCGAUGACUAUGUUGCCUACCACUGAAAAAAUAACAUCGGUUAAAUCCUAGAAUAAAUCUAGAAAAAUAGAAGAAGCGCUAGCGUCGAGUCAAUAACUUGAACCCUGGUGGGCUAUUUACCAGCUGAGCUAAUACUGAGUUCUCUACCCUGGUGGUUUUUGGGAGAUUUGCUUCCUACCUACCGGGACUAAUACUGAGUUCUCUACGUGGCCAGAUUUCUACCACCAGAAAUCUAAUAACUGCAGCCUUGUUAAAUUUAAUUAGCAUUCUUAUUCGUGAUAUUCUGAAUAUACACGCACACAUGACACAUAUCACACAUGGUUUCCACUCCCUUUCUUGGCGCUCUCCGCCGCCACGGACAGCGCAAUGGCCGUCUCUAGCCACAAAUUCAACAGUACGAUGCAAGUCUUUUGACAACUCUCCUGAGCUUAUAAAUGGUUGUAGUGCUAAAUUGCUAAAUGCCACAUGUGGAAUUGAAUCUUGGCACAAACUUUAAUCGUGGGAAACUCGCACGGUAUGAGUUUGGCACAAGUUGGGAUUCCCUGCGUCAAGUAAUUGCAGGGCUAAAAGUAGAGUCCCAAGUAUGUGUUUUGUCCUUUGCAAACGUUGGUUGUUGGCAUUACUAAAAAAUUAGCUUUCUAUAUAUAUAUACUCUAUUCGUCUCACAAAAAACACAAUUGUAUGAUUCAAAUUUGUCCAUAAGGAAUGUAAUUGCAGCUUCUACCCAUUUCUUUUAAACUUCUCAUUUUUUGGAGCAGUGAUGUCAUAGGGUGACCCCCGCUACUGAAAAUGACCAUGAUCUGGCUCUACAAAUGCUUCUUCAUAGGUGGGACAUGCAGAAAGUACGGUAAGCCCACCCCUUUUGUAGAAGAGGGUGACCUUUUGGACCACCCAGAGAAAUAAAUCGGGAUGCGCCUACAAAUCCUUUCUGUAGUAGUGAGAGAAAGAGAUUGCGGUUGAAACAACAAUCCUUUCAUGAAAUUACCGCCUCAUAAGUCAAAUUUUAGGACAACAAGACGGCUAGUCCAUAUUUGUACGAGUUGUGGUUACUCUGCAACUCAUAAUAUAUUUUUUCUAUGCACAAAGUAAAAGAAUAGAAAUAUAUAAUUACAUCGAGACUACUUAAAAAUACAACACAAUGUAAAGGUUAUUUGUUAACUUGCCUCAAGAUUACAUGUUCUCUAUUAGGUAACACCAAUAUAUAUACUGGUUCUAAAGAUUCAAUUUAUCAUUAGCUAGACACAUGGCGAUCAUGUGCAUUUAAAUCUAUAGUGUGACUUGGAGAAAAAAAAAGUAAUCUUCAUCCGUAUGGCCGUACAGUGACUCUCGCUCUUGACAGGUAUUAGUGUAAGUAGCAUAUAUAAAGAACCCUCAUGCACGCUUUGGAUCCCCAUCCCUGCUAGCAUAUAUUCAUUCAUAAACUCACGGGUAUUCUCUCAUGGUCAUGGUGCUCCCAAUGUUGCUGGUUUGUAUGGUAGUGACGGUAGUGAUCACCGUUCAUGUCAUCUGUGCCCUAGAUGAACACAAGCGAAAGAGAUUUUCCGGUGCAUCUCUUCCACUGCCCCCUGGCCCGGUCGCUCUCCCCAUCGUCGGGAAUGCCUUCAGCUUCAUCGGGCCGUUCGGCCACAACCCACACCGCAUACUCACGAGCCUCGCCAAAACCUAUGGGUCCAUAGUGUCCUUUCGGCCAGGCAUGGCAGGCAAUUUCGUGGUAGUGUCAUCCCCUGAAGCAGCACGUGAAGCUCUCAUCAAGAACGAUGCCGCGCUCGCUGCCCGGUUCGUGCCGGACAAUACACGCGCCUUAGGCCAUUGCUCGGAGUCAAUGUUCUUCCUCCCAACCUAUAGCCAUUUGUGGAAGCAGCACCGCAUCACAUUGGGUACCAGCCUCUCAACUGGCCGGGGCCUUGACACAACCCGCCCCAUUCGGGAUCGCCAUGCCUGUCGGCUCAGCGAGCACUUAAGGUUCUGCUCUGGCAUGCCAAUCAAAAUUGGAGAGGCCGUCCAAGGCACAGUGCUCGAUGUUAUGUCCAACAUCCUCUUCUCUAAGGACGGGACGCACUUGCGCGUGAAGGGGGGCCAGUUGUUCAAGGACCUCCUGGUGGAGGUCCUCGAGGACUGGACUAAGCCCAACGUUUCUGACGCUUUUCCCUUCUUCGCGUCACUUGACCUCCUUGGCUCACGCCGCCGAAUCUCCAGAGGUUUGGCUAAACUGUACAAGUUCUUUGAUGAAGAGUUCGUCGAACGUCGGUUAGGCAGCAGUGAGAACCACCACGAUUUGUUGGACUUCAUCCUCUCGCAGCAUGCCAAGUCGAAGCUCACGCGUUCAGAGAUCACCAAGUUCUUCACGGUCGGCUAUACAUAUGAUCUCUGAACAUAAAUAUAAUUGCUGUCUUUCUGCUUUCUGUACAUUUUCUUGGGUAACUGAUAUACUAAUUAACUUACAUUUUUUUAUAUGCAUUUCUGUUCUUAACCUAUCAAUAGGAUAUCUUUCUUGCCGCGAGCAACACAAGUAGGAUCACCGUGGAAUGGGCAAUGGCACUCCUACUUAAGCAUCCAGAAAAGAUGAAGAAGCUGCGUGCUGAGCUUGCAGCGAGCCUUGGGACCAAGGAGUUUGUCCAGGAGAGCGACUUGGACAAGCUCCCCUACAUCCAUGCUGUGGUGAAGGAGACACUACGACUGCAACCAUCAGCACCGCUGCUACCACGAAUGGUGUCCACGGACGGCAUGUCACUUGGCGGAUUCUCAGUACCAAUUGGUACCAACAUUCUGAUUAACCUUUGGGCCAUUGGAAGGGACCCAACGGUGUGGCCUCAGGCGGGAGAGUUUCUGCCUGAAAGGUUUCUGGGCAGCCGAUCACUGGACUUCCGGGGAUCAGAAGACUUCACAUAUAGGCCCUUUGGGGCAGGGCGAAGGAUGUGCCCAGGACUGGACUUCGCUGCGCAGUUGAUUCCACUUUUGCUAGCCUCGAUGUUGCACAAGAUCGACUGGAGCCUACCUGAUGGGAUCGUGCCUGAGGAUGUGGACCUCAGGGAUCGCUACAGCAUGGUUCUGGAGCUCGCUAAGCCCCUCAUUGCGGUGCCAGUGUCAACGGUGUGCCGUGCUCCGCCGUGGCUGAUGUAGCGUAACUUCAUAUCAGCCGCCGGUACACAAGUGGUUUUAGAGGUUUGUGUGGGUGAAUAUAGGGAAUUCAUACCCAAAUCCAAACCCAGCUUAAAGGUAUGGGUAUAUAUAUACACACACUAGCAAAUUUGCUCGUGCGUUGCCACAGAACGUAAACCUUGGACAAAAUACCCGUGCGUUGCUACGGUAAAAAAUCAAUUGUAUUUUUUCAAAUUAAUAAUAUUUUUUAUUUUCAUCACUAAAUUUUUAUUCCACUUAUUAGAUAUCUACACAUUUAAUAGAAAACUAAAAGUCCUCCAUCCAGGCCCUACCUCCUCUCCUCCCCUAGAUUCGGCCGGCGCCCUUAAAGGCUAGCUAAGCCAGCAAUUCAACAUUCGCAUCCCACUUUCAUUCUUAAAGGCUAGCUAUGCCAGCAAUUCAACAUUCACAUCUUUUGUGUAAGCAAUACUGUUUGCGUUGUCUCUGACAUGGGACAUGGCUGGUGCAAACAUGCAUUGCAAAGAGAGCUCUUGUUAUACCCCUAGUUUUCUCACACCAAAGAAGGGGUAUAUAUAUUUGUUUCUUUCGGGUAAGUCACCAGCAACAUGGGCUUCAAGCCCACAAACCAGCCCACUAAGCCAACUCUCUGCCCUCUGAAGCUGGAGUCACAAGGCUGGAGUCUGCUCGGACGUUCUUAUCCACGCGCUCAUGACCGGCCGUCGACCCGCGCCCCACCGCAGAGGCCAUAACCUAUAGCCAUGUAGCCCGCUUGUCAGCCACUAGCCAUGCACCACGUUCUCGUCGUCCAUAGUCCAUCCUCUCCAUGUGCCCCACAUGCACAUUUACCGCCACUAAACACCUCGCCCCCACCCCAUUCUCUGCUCCCUCCCAUGCGGGCACGUGGCUCGUCCGUUUCGCUCCCAUGCCACCGCACAGCAAAACCCCGGCCGACCUGCUUACUUCCCUGAGCAGCAGCAGCGGAAUCAGACCACCGGGCUCGGGACCUCGGGUACACCGAGGGAAAGAAUGUUGGAGGCCGCACGCAGUGGCUCACACCCGUGGUGCUGUUCGUGCUCGUGAACCUCAUCAUCGCCACGUCGCCGUCGCGUCCAAGCUGAUGUCGUCAGGGACAGGGACGGCGGCGCCCGGGGGGUCGACGAGGUGGGCGGCGGCAGGUGGAGGGCCCUCCUGCGUGUGCCAUCCCUCACCGUCGACUGCCUCCGCACGUCGUUCAACUUCUCCCGCCUCGGCGGCCUCGCCGCCGACCACUCGCCGCUCUUCGAAUACGCGGCCUCGGAGCUAGCCUUCCCCCAGCUACCGGCGAUGAGCUACCGGUGACGGGGGUCGCGGCGGCGCCGGGAAUGGUGGCCACGACGAUGAGCUCGAGCGCGAGAAGGUGGUGUGCAUCUAGAGGAGCCGGUCGGAGGCGGCCAUGGAGCUUGCGCCCAGCAGCUGGCGUCCGCGGGCGAGGAGGACGCGGAGGGCGGCGGCGGUCGAGGAGCCGGCGCUCGCGCACGACGUUCUCGUCACCCCCGCGUGGCGGCGGUGUCGAGGGAGGCUAGCGCCGUCGCCGUCGCCGGGCGCGGCAAGGUGCCAGCGGUGGAGGUAGACGCGCGCGCGAAUGACUUCAUCCGGCGGUUCCGGGAGCAGCUCCGGCUGGAGCGCCUCGACUCCAUCCUCCGCUACCAGGACACGCUUACGCACCACGAUCAAUAAAUCAAUUGUUAAACCCACCCGUCAAUGUUGGAUGAAACUAAAAGAGUGGAUAUGGGAAGAAAUGGGAUUGGAUUGUGCACGUGUGUUUAAAAUAAAUGUCAAGAACUCAGCUAUGGAAAUCAUGACCUGAGCUUGCUCUCAGAUUGAACCAAGUUGCACGCACCUCUAUUCCCGUGUGUACCCUUGUUUUACGAACGGUAUAUCUUACCGUCACCUAAUUGGAGUCCUUUUCAGUUAAUCCUUUUCUAGGAAAAAGAUACCCUGUUGAAACAUAUAAGAUAAUGUUUUGGUUUCAUGAAAAUUGAAAUUAAGGAGAGUCGCAGCUAUCUAUUCGCAGCUUACAUGAUGUCACUGUCCUCGUCAUCCUCGGCACUGGCAGAGCGUCGUUGGGGCCUUAGAGGACCACGGCCCCCUUGCUUGGUAAAAAAAAAAAUCAGAAGAGCAAAGUGCAAAUUUCCAGUCCAAGUGCAGUCCGUGGCUUCUUGACACGUAAUUCAGCGCACAAUCAAGAAAUCCCACAAGGCAUUAACCAUAUAGGCACAAACAAACAUUGAAAACAAUAGAAAAAAACAUUGAGCCAAUUCCAGCAACUAGCGGAUGAGACAACGACCUCAGCCGUCGCAAGACGGACGCUUCCUUCACAGUUGACUCAUUGAGGUUGUCAUCGUCGGCUGUCGCCACUCGCCAGGGCUGGCGCCUUGCAGCCUGGUGCUAGAACUUUCAUCCGGCCAUUUUUGUUUAAGCCAGUUCAAGUUAGGGCAAGGAGGAAAGGAAAGUAUGGUUGCUUUUCUUCCUUCUUUUGUUUAUCUUCUAAGUUCUUAACACAUUAGAUCCGUAGAAUAUGCAGGCUACUAUUGCCUAAUUAGCUGGUAAUUUGUUGUCAGUUGAGAUCUAUUGUUAUUUCUUUUGAGAAAAUUGAGAUGUUUCGCUAGUUUAUUUGGCCCUAAUCCCCAAAUUGCACAGUUUAUACGGUUUGGUGGUUUUAUAACUAAAUAGAGUUCUGCAAUUUGGUAGGUAGGUACAAAUGGGUAAAGAGAAGCCUAUUGAUUCAUUUUUCAACAGCAAAAGAGAUGAACCAAUUGUGGACUGUCGAGCAACCUCUGGUUCAAGCCAACCAAUUUCCCCCCUACAAUUUGCUUCACGCUCCGCCACUGAUCCUCGAUCCUCGGUGAGAAUUUUUAACCUCUUUGAAAAAGUCGGCGAUUGCGAAUCUCCACCUGCAUUUUUUGUUCUAAACCUUUUUAAACUUGUUUGUGAUUGCGAAUCCAAGGAGAUGUACCUGCAUAACAGAAGCUAUCUUUGCUGCUAGACAGAUCGAGCAGCGAGCUCACCCAUAACUAUUGAAUCCACAGUAGUGGUUGCCAGGACUUGCAGGCGACAUACCUGUACAGAUGAUUUGAAGUGCAAAACCACUCCUAAACUUGCUGUUAAUUCGAAUAUUAUUACCUUGCCCAUCUAGUAAAACAGAUGCAUCUGCGUAGGCAAAGUUGGACCGCAAAACUGGACAGCUCUCUGUGGUGUUGUUUAGAUGGACGCUGCCCCCUCCCGUUUGCAUGUUUUCUUCCCAGCACAGACGCUGUUUCUUGAAAUGGAUUCUGAAAUAUUGUGGCGAAAUGUCCUUUUCUAAGUGGGCCUAGACCCAUAAAUUCGCGAGCUCCGCCCCACUCACCACUGCCACACCGUAACUCCGCCUGUGCUGUCGUGGCCACUUGCUCGCCUCGUCGCUCUCGCGCGUCACAGUAGCAGCAGUUCUUGAGGCGGCACGCUGCCUGAAAGCUAUGCGAGCCCGUCAGCUCGUCAGACACGCUGCCUGCCUCCCGCUACGCUCCACCUCCCCAUCACCACGCUGCAAGCCGACGCCCGCAAGCUGCCGCUCGGCCACAGCGCCGCUGACACUACGGGAAAGCAUAAAGUCGCCGAGUGUAAUAACUUCGCCGAGUGCUUUUUUUCGGGCACUCGGCGAAGAACCGUGUUGCCGAGUGUAACACCAAAAACACUCGGCAAAAAUAAAACACUCGGCGAACAACCUGUUUGCCGAGUGCCCUCCAAAAAACACUCGGCAAACACCCAGGCGGCACUCGGCAAACUUUGACACUCGGCAAACUGACGCCCACGUGACUUCCCCGUGCCGACGGCGGCGCCCCUCCGUGACGGCCGUUAGUGUUUGCCGAGUGUCAAUAUAGGGCACUCGGCAAAGGCACUAGUUUGCCGAGUGCCAUGAUGGGACACUCGGCAAACUAUAGUCUUUGCCGAGUGUCUUGUUGGGACACUCGGCAAACCCUAUAGUUUGCCGAGUGCUAGGGUGUACACUCGGCAAACUAUAGCGUUUGCCGAGUGUUUUUUUACACACUCGGCAAACAUAAUUUUUUUCCCCUCCUCCACCCUCCAAACUUUUUACACUCCACAUGUAUGGCAUUUGGCACUGCAUGGUAGAAGAUGGACUAUUUUUUGACCUGUUUGCUAUAUUUAAUCAAUUAAUUUCAUUUAGAGUAAUUUUUUGAUUUAAGUCAAAUUUGAACUGCAGGUGGUUGGAAUAAUGGAAUAAUAUGAGUGAAAAAAUCAUAUUGAUGUUAGUGAGUCUAAAUUGAUGUCUCACCCAGAAAAUGAAAACAAAUUUCGAACAUGUUGCUAAGGAAACACGACUACGAACGUGUGGCCAAAUGAUUGUUUAAUUCUUAAAAAUACAAACGAAGUUUGAAAAUCAUGAGAUUUUGCAAGAUGCUUUGAUUUCGUAUGCAGAGGCCGUGGUAAAAAAUUGAUAAGGUUUCGCACAAGUUUUGACAUAUGAUGUUUACAAUUCGAAGCAUCUCCGGAGAGGUUUCAGAGAAGUUCAAAGGAUCCGGUAAGAUUUUGAGAUGAAUCGAUAAAUAUAAUUCACAUUGAGUCCAAAUUUUUUUUUAUAGGCUAUAGAGAACAUAGAUAGGUUCAUGUCAAAUUUUGGGAAAUUUUCAGAUCCGUUUGGUAAUUUUUAUUCAUUAAUUGGACGUAUAUGAAUUUAAUAGAUAUAAAUUAAAUAUGAGCUAUAAAUCCAUGAAAUAAUGGUACAAUAUUACUUAAAAAAUGAAAUACGCAAUGUUUAGUGAAUUGGACUAGGGUUACACAAAGUUUACGUCCUUUUAAUUACUAAAAGUGGUGUUGGACAUGCAAUAUAGGUAGGUGUUUGCCGAGUGCUACCUAGGGCACUCGGCAAAGGGAUGGUUUGCCGAGUGUCACAAAUAGGGCACUCGGCAAAGUCACAAAUAGGGCACUCGGGUCCACGUCGCAGUGUCUGGCAAUGUUUCGGGGGGAAAAACACCCUUUGCCGAGUGCCCCGGAUCUAGCACUCGGCACAGNNNNNNNNNNNNNNNNNNNNNNNNNNNNNNNNNNNNNNNNNNNNNNNNNNNNNNNNNNNNNNNNNNNNNNNNNNNNNNNNNNNNNNNNNNNNNNNNNNNNGACGAGGAAGAAGAGGAAGAGAUCUCCAGCAUCCGGGGGAUGACUCGGUCGAGGACGCGUGACCGUGGAGCAAGAGACCACGCAGCAACCAGCACCAUCACCCAGCACAGGCGCUGCUCAUGCACCAGCACGACGCCCGUACCGGUCGUCGACUUGAUGGAUGAUGAGCCCGAAGCAGAUGCCGAGCACGAGACAUGGACCAAAUGGGUGAAGAUAGAUCAUGGCCAAGGAGUGCAAAUGGCUCGACAUCCUCAGGUGGACUUGUCACCGCUUGGGGUACAGCAUGAGGCCACUCUACAAGUCCUCUCGGUUCACCCACCCUCGCUAUCCCACUUUUUACGAGGUGAAGGUUGUCCUUGGUGAGGAGCACGAAGGAGGAUGGUAGGUGAAGUUUAUUCACCAUGAUGUGACCAUGAGGAGGCCCAUGGAGUCCGACGCGCACUAGGCCCCCAGAAGGGCAGUUGAGGUCGGCUCCCACCCGCAGCCCGUGCCACUGGUCCACAGUUACCACCGGUCCCUUCCUUACGCAGCUAGUGGGGAAGCCAGCCCCUCCACGCCCACUAAUCAGCGGGUCGCCCCGCCCACCGACUUCCGCCGCCAGGCGCCGUCCGCCCCCCUGCCGCCCCGCACCGACCGCCCCACGCCCCCGGCCCCGACCCUCGGCCGCCCCGAGCCGUCGCCGCCAGGCCGCGCCCCUGCCGCCGUCCCGCGCCCGCUCCUCCGUCACCCCUCCGGUAAGUUUAUGUUGCCGCUACACAUCGUAAAUUAGAGUAUGCAUGAAAAUGGAAAUUAAAUGUGAAAAUACUAGAGNNNNNNNNNNNNNNNNNNNNNNNNNNNNNNNNNNNNNNNNNNNNNNNNNNNNNNNNNNNNNNNNNNNNNNNNNNNNNNNNNNNNNNNNNNNNNNNNNNNNNNNNNNNNNNNNNNNNNNNNNNNNNNNNNNNNNNGCUUACCAGGGAUCUAAUAAAAUGAUCACGUACACAUCCUCGGGUGGGAUUAGGACCUAUCUUUACCUAGUAGACAAUAUAGGAGCGUGUAUAUGCCAUGUGAAUUUUGUAUUACUUAUUUAAAUGGUAGAGGAUGGAGGAUCGUCAGUGGAUGUACACGGGUCGCACUAGUCAGAAUACGUUGACCAAUGAAUGGCUUGACAAGACGGAUGCUUUCUUGGAACGGGCGUUUGCAAGUGUCAAUGGAGCUCGAUCGACUUGGUGUCCGUGCAGCAAAUGUGGAAACAUGCGUCGGCAAACCAAGCUGGAGAUGGGCAAACAUCUGGUGAAGAACGGAUUUACGUCAGACUACACCAGGUGGAUCUACCAUGGUGAAUAUGACCGUGGGAGAGAGGAGGUCUUGAGACAACGAAUCGAGGAAUUUGAUGAUGAUGCCGGGGUGGGAGAUAUGUUGAAUGACUUUCAUGAAGCACACUUCGAAGAGGCACGUAGGGAGGAGGAUCCAGAGGCUACCGCUAAGGCUUAUUACGAAAUGUUGUCUGCGGCACAGCAACCCCUUCACGGCCAUACCAAGGUUUCUCAGCUAGAUGCCAUUGCACGCCUAAUGGCUGUGAAGUCUCAGUUUAGUUUGAGUCGAGACGCGUUUGAUAUUAUGUUGACAGUUUUUGGAAGCCUGCUCCCGGUUGGUCACAUCUUGCCAAAGAGCAUGUAUGAGGCACAGAAACUCCUUCGUGCACUUAAGAUGCCAUACGAGCAUAUACAUGCAUGCCCGAAGGGAUGCAUCUUAUUUAGGAAAGAGUAUGCGGAAGCAAAAUACUGUGUGAAGUGUGAAUCGUCUAGAUUUCUGGAGGUUGAUUCGGGUGACGGUCAGAAAAAGCAGCUCGCAAUUCCUGUGAAGGUUCUACGGUAUCUUCCUUUCAUACCGAGGAUCCAACGGCUUUUCAUGACUGAAGAAUCCGCAAAACAGAUGACAUGGCACAAAAAUGGCCGUCGCUAUAAUCCAGAGAAGCUGGUACACCCAUCCGAUGCUGAAGCCUGGAGAAGCUUUGAUGCGAUUUAUCCUGCAAAAGCUCUAGAGGCCCGUAACGUACGCGUUGCGUUGGCAACUGAUGGGUUCAAUCCCUAUGGAAUGGCGGCCGCCCCGUACACCUGUUGGCCCAUUUUCGUUAUCCCACUGAAUCUCCCACCCGGCGUCCUAUUUCAACGACAUAAUAUAUUCUUGUCGUUGAUAAUUCUAGAGCAUCCGGGAAAUAAUAUGAGUGUGUAUAUGGAGCCUCUGAUUGAUGAUUUGCUCCGUGCUUGGGAGGAAGGAGUAUGGACCUAUGACCGAUGCACAAAGACAAACUUCAAGAUGCAUGUUUGGUACCAGUACUCACUGCAUGACUUGCCGGCAUAUGGGAUUUUCUCCGGAUGGUGUGUUCACGGGAAGUUCCCUUGCCCAGUAUGUAAAGCAUCUUUGAAGUUUAUUUGGUUGUCGAAAGGGGGCAAAUAUUCAUCGUUUGACAAACAUCGACAAUUCCUCCCUCCUGACCAUCCAUUUAGACGAGACAUGAAGAACUUUACCAAAGAUGUUGUAGUUACAGCCCCCGCACCGCCGAUGAUGACAGGGGCCGCAGUUCGUGCUCAGUUAGACGCUCUUGAGUUCAAUAAUGAAGAAGGUGGUUUUUUAGGAUAUGGCGAGCAACAUGCUUGGACGCAGAAGUCGUGCUUGUGGAAGCUUCCAUAUUUUGAUGAUCUACUUGUUCCACAUAACAUUGAUGUAAUGCACACGGAAAAAAAUAUCGCCGAGGCAAUUUUUGGUACUAUAAUGGACAUUCCUGACAAGACAAAGGAUAAUGUUAAGGCUAGAGUGGAUCAAGCGACAUUGUGCAACAGACCACAGCUAAACAUGGCGCCUCCAAGAGCUGGCAAGUCAUGGAGGAAGCCUAAGGCCGAUUUCGUUCUGACGAGGGCUCAAAGGAGGGAGGUUCUAGAAUGGUUCCAAACAUUAAUGUUCCCUGAUGGCUAUGCAGCGAACUUGAAGAGGGGAGUGAAUUUAGCAACUAUGCGAAUCAACGGGCUCAAGAGUCAUGAUUACCAUAUAUGGCUUGAGCGCCUCCUUCCGGUGAUGGUUCGAGGCUAUGUCCCUGAGCAUGUGUGGCAGGUGCUAGCGGAGUUGAGCAAUUUCUUCCGCCGGCUUUGUGCGAAGGAGUUAUCUCGUACCGUGGUUGCAGAAAUGGAAACAAUGGCGCCUGUGUUGCUUUGUAAGUUGGAGAAGAUCUUUCCUCCAGGGUUCUUCAAUCCAAUGCAGCAUAUGAUUCUACACCUCCCAUAUGAAGCACGAAUGGGGGGGCCUGUGCAGGGUCGUUGGUGCUACUCAAUUGAGAGAUGUCAAAAGGUUCUUCGAACUAAAUGUAAGAAUAAGUGCAAAAUUGAAGCAUCCAUUGCAGAGGCAUACAUUCUGGAGGAGGUGUCAAACUUCACAUCGAAAUACUACGCUGAGAACCUUCCUAGUGUGCAUAAUCCACCUCCUCGUUACAAUGCUAGCGAAGAUGAAUUAAGCCUUAGCAUUUUCCGAGGGCAACUCGGAAGUGCAAGUGGUGCGACCCGCAAGACCCUUAAUCAUGAAGAGUGGCGCUCUAUCAUGCUAUAUGUGUUGACCAACCUAUCUGAAGUGGAGCCGUACAUGAUGUAAGUCACCGACAAACUUAUUUCGACGUAUUAAUGGUAUCUCUUGCCUAAACGUAUCUUUCUCCUUGGCAUAGGCAAUUUCAUCGUCAAUUCUGGCGUAAAUCAAGGCAACCGACCCCGCACGAAGCUGAGACUCUUCUUAAAGAGGGUGCGGGAAAUGGAAUGCCCGAUUUCAUUUCUUGGUUCAAACAGAAGGUAAAAUUUCAUUUCCGCGAACAUUCUAGAUACUCGUGCAUACGAUUAAUAUAACGAACCGCCCUGUUCGUACUUGCAGGGCCGAACCGAUGCGUCUAUGAAUGCCGAGUUGAGACAGGUUGCCAAUGGCUGUGACUAUAGGGUCAGGUCGUUUGCCGGUUAUGACGUCAACGGAUAUAGGUUUCACACAACAAGGCACGAGCAGAGUCGGCCCAAUCGAAGAACCACAAAUACCGGAGUUUUCACGCCAGGCUCCGAUGGAGUCGAGUACUACGGAAGAAUUGAAGAAAUAUACGAACUCACUUUUCAUGGGUGUAAACCUCUUAAUCCAGUUAUAUUCAAAUGUCAUUGGUUUGAUCCAUCUGUCGUGAGACGGGCCCCUAACCUUGGGCUAGUCGAAAUUCGACAGUCAUCCAGGUUACCAGGAGACGAUGUCUAUAUUGUGGCUCAACAGGCCACGCAAGUUUAUUAUUUGUCAUACCCGUGCCAAACCGACAGCCGUCUUAAGGGUUGGGAUGUUGUGUACAAGGUAUCACCACACGGUAAACUACCUGUACCAAACAAUGAAGAUUACAAUAUAGACCCCGACACGUACGAAGGAGAGUUAUUCCAACAAGAUGGGCUCGAAGGGAGUUUUGUGAUAGAUUUAACCGAAGCGAUCGGAAUGGAAGUAGACAACGAGAGGGUUGCUGCAGAAGACGGUGGAGACGAGGUUCAGAAUGUGAAGGACUUAGAAUUACUUCAACGAUUACAGUUAGAUAAUGACAGUGAUGACGACAUUUCUUCUUCGGAGCACGAGCUUGACUAUAUCGACACGCGUGAUAGUGAUGAUGAGACUUAUGAUCCAGCUAAUCCCGAUCAUGAUGAUUAUUUCUAAUACAUGUAUGAUUCGUAAUAAUUUAGCUAUAAUUACUUGUAAUUUGCAUAUAUUUCUAAUUAUGUUUUGUUUGUCUAUGCUGACUCGUGUACUCUUUUUAAUUGCAGGUCAUCAAGCAAUGGUGGGCGGUAUCAGGAAGCUCACGUCGAUUUGCGAGAGACUGGCCGCGGCAGGGACUGGUUCAGGGUCAGGGUCACGUUCAGUCUCGGGUCGAGGGAGGCGUCGAGGCAGGCCUCGACGUAGGGUUGAGGAGGAGGAGGAGGAGGAGGAGCAGGAGGUGGUCCAGAGGCCUCGAGGGAAAGGUAAAGCGGCGAGGCCCCCGUCGCCUGAACCUGAGGAGGAGGAGGAGGAGGAGGAGGAGGAGGAGGUACCUUCCGCACACUCCUCUGGGGACGAGGAGGCGGAGGAGGAGGAGCAGCAGGAGCAGGAGGGGGAUGGGGAGGCAGGGGAUACCCAGGCCAAGAUAUGGUUGCGAGGUCCCUCAUCCCUCCCGAAGCGGCCGAUACCUGAGCAUUUACGCCCGCUCAUUAAACCGGUUGGGAUCAAGUAAGUAACUUUAAAUAUUCUUGAAAUUGUUCUUAUGUUGUAAGUUACAAAAAAUAAUAAUUCAUAUUAAUUACUUGUGCAGGAGUUGGGUUAAGCUCAGCGGGGGUGACCACAACCGUAAGGCCAACGGGAUCCUUGGCCUUUUGUGCAGGGUUCACUUCCCUGGCUUGGUGGUGUACGCCGGACAGCUGCAGCCGGCCUACACGUGGGACCACUACGUCGCCGCCCCCGACGUCCCUGAUCGUCAACAAAGAAGAUUCCCCAACAUAGCGGAGCGGGUCAAGGCCGAGCUGUGGGUAAGUACUCCUCGUACUAAAUUGCUCAAUACAUCACUACUUUCGACAUUCUUGAAAUAAUAAUUGUUUACGCGUGUAUAUGCAGGACUUCUAUAGAUGCCAGGAGGGGUUCGAGGCCAAGGCGAAGGCCGUCUGUGAUGUAGCCGCCAAGAAGCUCGUGAGGGACAUGCAUUACGAGGCGCGCAUCCAGGCCAUCAUAGAGUUCAACGCUCAAUACAAUCAUACGAAGGUUAGAAAAGAGGAGGCAAGAACAAUGAACCUGACUAAGGAUCAAUUCAUGAGGGUAAGUAAAGAACGUUGAUGCUUACUAUUUAUGAUUAAUUAGGCUCAUUUUCUUUUUCAUACGUCACACGCUUGAUGAUGUAGGUGCCUCCGUGGUGGUGUCGUGCGCAUAUGCCGUGCUGGGAGAGGAUGGUCGACGUGUGGUUGGAGCCCGGGUGGUUGGAGACCCACCUUUCUUGCCGGCAGCGGCGUUUGCAGAUGCCGACUGCAUCACACCAUCAAGGCAGCCUAAGCCUUGAUGAAUAUAGAGAAAAAUGGGUACGCAACUUCAAUUCUUUAUUGUAACGUUUAGUUCUACGUAAUUUUUAAUAAUUUUGUAUUUUGCCGCAGUCGGCGUCACAUGAUGGCCGACCUUGCUCCCAGCUCAAGGCAUGGGUCCUCUCCAAAAAGGGCAAGGCGACGGCCGAUAUAGAUUUCAACCCAGACGACCCGUCCGAGGCGUACAGCCACCCUAGCAUAUACAGCCGCGUCAGCGAGUAUACAAAGAUGGCUAGGGAGGUUCACGGGCCAGACUUCGAUCCGAGCUCCGAGGACAUUGAUGGAGAAAUCGUGAUGAGGGUGGGAGGAGGCAAGAAGCAUGGCCGAUAUUGGAUUGGCGACGGCGUCAUCGACACGGCCUCUACUCCCACUCUCUCCCAGAUCCGAGCUAGGAGCACGGACUCGAGCCCGGCAGUACGCCCACGACCCACCGCUGCACACUUCCAGAUGGAGGCUCUACAGGUUCUUUCUCUUCCAUUCAUCGUUCGUUUGUUGUUGUACUUUAGCUUUGCAUUAUAACAUUGCAAUGAAAUAUUGUAGGCCCAGGUGGAAGAAUCAAGGAAGAAACAAGAGGAGAUGGCGGCGCAGAUGGAGGAAAUGCGGCGGAGGAUGGAGGAGGAAAACCGGAUUAGGAUGGAGCAGAUGUUCCAGUACAUGCAGAACUUUGCUACGAGCAUGGGACAGACUUUGCCUCCGCCACCGCCGAUGAUGUUCCCUCCGCCUCAGCCACCCACGACUACUCCUGUGAGUCACUUGACACAUUGUGUUUAAGAUUCAAUAGUUUAAAUUUGACAACUUUAGAUGUUACCUCAGAAUGUCCUAUCCUAUGUGCAGAAUCAAUCGGCGGCUUCGAAUAAUGAAGAUCAAGAUUUGUCGCAGUGGUCUCCUUGGCCUCCACGGAAGUAGACUUGAUUGUGAACAAUGUGGAAACUAAAUUGUGAGAAGAACUUGGAUUUAUGGAUUAUUUCGUGCUUAUGUUGAACUAUGCCUGUGGUGUUUAUGAAUUAUGCCUGUGGUUGUGAAUUAUUCAUGUGGUUGUUUAUUACAAAUGCCUGUGAUAUGUGUAUUGUGAAUUGAGAGGGGUCCGUUAUACGUGGCAAAAUUUCGAAAAAGGGGCGGUUCUGGUCACUUUGCCGAGUGUUACACUCGGCAAAGAUGGGCCUUUGCCGAGUGUCGUGACCAUAGCACUCGGCAAAGGGGCAUUUCCCAGGUGUAGGAAAGGUCCUUUGCCGAGUGCUAUGGUCAAGGCACUCGGCAAAGUGGGCGGCUUUGCCGAGUGCCCUAGCGCCGGCACUCGGCAAACAUAUCCGACUUUGCCGAGUGCCCGGGAGCCGGCACUCGGCAAAGGGACAGUGUUUGCCGAGUGCCGGGAGCCGGCACUCGGCAAAGGGACAGUGUUUGCCGAGUGCCAGGCGCGUGGCACUCGGCAAACUCGCCGUUACCCGACGCCGUCAGUCCGCGGUUCGCCGAGUCCAUCUAUUCGCCGAGUGUUUUUUGGCCGUCGGCAACAUGUUUGCCGAGUGUCCGAGUUUUGACACUCGGCAAACUAGGCUUUGCCGACACAAUAUUUGCCGUGUGCCCUUUGCCGAGUGUUACACUCGGCAAAGGCUUUGCCGAGUGUUUUCGUGCCUUUGCCGAGUGCCCCAGGCACUCGGCAAAAGUUCUGUCUCCCGUAGUGUGAUGCCGUGCGUUUGAGCAGCCUUUUUUUUGUUUUCUAGCUUUUUUUUAGAUUCUCACAAAUACGGAAAUAUUUCAAAAUCUGGAUCCAUAGCUUGACGUCAUCCACACUGUCCACCGUCGUGUUCUUCUCCGUUCUCCCUUUACUCCUCCCCACCGUCCGGCUCUUCGUGUCGUCGUCAGCCUCCCGCCGGUCCUCCCUGCCUUCCACCCGCCGCUGGCCCUCGCCGCAGGGGGCCGCGCCGGCCAGCAGGGUGCCACCUGCACUUGCCGCCAGGCGCUGCCGACCCACCAGCCGCCGCCUCCUAGCCACCGGGCGGAGUGGGCACAAUGUGCCGAUGACACCCCACUUCACCUCCGUGCCCUCUCUCGUUGGAAGGUAAAUUUCUUAUUAGUUUUAAUAGUGAGAUAUAUAGAAUAGGUAGGUAGAAUUGUUAAAUAGAAUUUAGAUAGAUAGAUAGAUAGAAUAGUUAGAUAGUUAGUUUGAAAGAUAAUUAGAUAGAAUUUUCAUCUUAUGUAAUUUUCUUUUUAGAUAUAUAUAGUUAGAUAGAUUAGUUAGACAGAUAGUUAGAUAGAAUUUUAUUCAUAUGUAAUUUUUUGACUUAGAUAGAUAGAAUAGUUAGAUAGAUAGUAAUAUAGUUAGUAUGAUAGUUAGUUAAAUAGUUAUAUACUAAGUUUAUAAACUUGAUGGACAACGUAGUGAGCAUAUAUCAUGAAGGUACCAUGGAAAGAGAUGAUUAUGGAUGUGUUAAGUUUGUUAACAUGCAAAGCAUGGUUGUGUUAUUAAUUGAGAAGCCCUCAUUUAGUGAGUUGGUUGCAAGUGCUCGGGAGGAGCUAUAUUGCCACGAAGAUGAUGACAUCACAGUGGAGGGCGUACUUCACCUAGUUUCCCCUUUCAACAUCCAAAGGAAGAUGAUCCCAAUUUGGUGUGCAGAUAAGUGGGAGAAUGAUGUGAGAUCGGUUAUGAAGCGCCAGUUCUAAAGUUUGGACGUGGUUGUGCGUCGGGUGUUAGUUGAUCCCAUCCGUCAUCGGUUUUCCCGACCAAUGGGUCAGCAUGCACACUUUGACCCUUUCAUCCCAGAACCUAUUAUGGAUGUGGAGGUUGCACGUACGGUUCCCGAUGCUGAAUCUGCCCCCAAUGAGGUAGUUGGAGAUGCUUGUCGGACACUUGAUGCUGUGGUAAAACCUCCUCAUGAGAUCCCUUUGACACAAAAUCGUCCGAGUAAGUGUCUUAUCGGCACGCUUCUUGGGAGCUAACCUCCUUCAUUACAUCAAUUUUUUUUCUUCCUUUCUCAUAUUUCUAUCAAUGUUUUAGGAGACAUUCCUGAAAAUGUGGAUGUGCCCCCAGUUGCUACUCAACUGCACUGUGGAGAAGGAUUACGUGGCUCUAAUAGUGUUGAAAUUAUGAAUGAUUCGGAUGCAUAUGAGAUGGGAAUGUAUCUUGAUUCUGAUAAUGAUCGCCCUAUUGGAGAGAUGACAGAGAGUGAUGUUGAGAUGUUCAGGCGUAUCUUUCCUGGCCUUCGUGAUCCAAGAGUUCACGAGUUCAGUGAUCUUUCUCAUUCUGAUCAUGCGUGUGUAGAGGGAAGUGAUGAUGAGCUCCUAGAAGCUCCUGAGGCUGGACCUAGCAUAGUGAUUGAGGAGGGUAGGGUAUUCAAGGAUCUCCCCACAUUGAAGAGGUGGUUACAGGCGUUUGCAGUGAUACAGAAGAGACCUUAUAAGGUCUUGCAUUCAUAUGCAGAGCACCGUUACACAGUUGUGUGUGACAAGUAACAGUGCCCAUGGACGAUUUGUGCAAGGAAGAAAAAGAUCACCGAGAAGUGAAAGAUCACAAAAGUUGUUGGGCCACACAAUUGUGCUAACACUAGAACAUCGAGAAGUGGAAGAUCACUGGAUAGAAUGGUAAGUCAAGUACCUUACUUUCCCAUGUUAAAUUACUUAGUGAUUUACUGGUUUACUUUUUAUGGACUUUGUGGACUCUUGUUAUGAACUAUUUUGGACUUUCAUUAUGGACUAUUGUGCAUAUAGACAUUCAUUAAUGAAGUUUUGUGUGUAUGAACUAUUGUGGACUUUCAUUGUGAAUUAUUAUGUGUAUGAACUAUUGUGGACUUUUAUUAUGAACUAUUGUAGAUUUUCAUUAUGAAUGUGGCAUAUGUUUGUAUGUUUGAACAUGUUGUAUUCAGGUAAAAUAUUCAUCUCAUAAUUGUGUAUGAAUUACAUCCAAAAAUACGGGAAAUUCUGCCGAAAUUUCACAAAAAUAUAGGAUUGCAUUUCGCUUACAAAAAUUCUCCACCAUGUAAGCUUAUGUGCAUUAGGCAUGUGCUCACAUAUUUCUCGCAAAGAAAACGACAUCGCACAUACUACUAGGGUGUCCAUACUUAAAGUGCAUUACAUGACAACAUAAUGAAAAGUCCAACAGUAGACAACAUGUUUCAUAAAUAAACUAUCAGACUACAAGUAAUGGAGACUACUGAGUGCAACGAGUCCACUUUCCCUUCCUCAAUCGCUGCUUUCGCUCGGCGCGCAUGCUCAAGCUUCUUCUCCCUCUCCUACCUAUCGAUAGCAACACACCUCCUUUCCUCCUCUUCCUUGUGCUCCUUUUAUGCAGCCUCCUCUCUGAGUCUCUUCUCCAUCAUCUCCUUCCUCUCUGCUUCCAACCGCAAUAUUUCUUGUAUCUCCUCCUUGUCUUCAGGCUUGAUCUCGGUGUUGAUCCACUGCUCAAAAUCACAGAGCGGUGCAGGGGUCUACAAAAAAUGCAAUUGUUAUAAAAUAAAAAAAAUCAUGUAAAAUAAUUAUAACCCAACAACAAUUCCUCACAAUCUUGUUAAUGCAGUGUUGACGAAGUGUAGGCUCAAACUUAAAAUUAGAACACAUUUAGUACCUCUACCUAUACGUGUCAUCUGCAUCGGACUUGGCUACCUUGCAAGGAUCGCUGCAAAAGCACAUGGGUAUUGGAACACCACUAGGCAGAGGCAAUGGGUCAAAGGCAUUUCCGGUCAUCCGGGCAUAACUACAAUUUAGUCAUUUUCGUUGUAAAAACCGAAAGCAGUUAACAUUAAACCUACACCUAGGGUUUCCAUUUGAUCCACAAGAAUGAAUCCAUAACAUAACUACGUGCGCUGACCUUACCUUUGUUUCCUAGCUUUUCCACGCCUUGGCAUCCUAUGGUUGCACGAAACCCUAUGUUCAAAAAUCUGACUAAUAUAUAGCGAAUCGAUGUGAAAAAAAACUUGGAGGGAGUGGAUAUCUUGCUCUCGAAGAUCCAUGGAUCAAAUAAAAGUUUCUAAGAUUUAAUAUGCCGAUUCGUGGUGUAGGGCGAAGGGGGGAGAGAAAAAACCUGAGAGGGAGGAGAAAGAGGAGGAAGAAGCUUCGGGCAAGAAGAAAGGGUGCGGCCUUAUGGUAGCAGGUUUGGCUCCAGGCUGGCUGGCACAAGGCCACCACUAUGUCAGCUGCCCCGUCAGCAGCUGUUGAGUGACCUAGGUGUUGGGAUAGCCGGCGCCGAGAUGCCUAAGCUUGGCGCCAGCGUGGAUGGCGCCAAGUUAUGGGUCCAGAUUUUGAAAUGUUUCCGCCAGAUGCGUAUUUGUAAGAAUCUUUCAGAAAAAAGGCUAAAAACAAAAAAGUUAGAUGUUUGAGCCGCUCCACAGCCCUUACCAUCACCGACUAUAAAAGGCAGGGUCGAGCGCCUCUCCGCAACCGAACUUGCCGAGCCGCCAGCUCCGCUGCUCAACUUCUUGCAAUUCUGCCUGCAAUUUAUUUAUGGAGUGAUCGAGAAAUUGAGCGAGUUUGGAGGCUAGUGGUUGAUACGUUUUUUGCAUCGAAUUGACAUUGAAUUAGUUUUCUUUGAACUGCCAUUUCAAAUGUUUUUUCUAUAGUUGCAUGUGAAACACGUCUAUUGCCGCUAAUCAAUCUGUCGACGCUUUUUUGGGCCAACACAUGAAUGUACGCGAUUGUGCGGCGCGUGGAGGGGCUCACUGUAGCACGUCGAUGCAUGCCGGUUUGACCACUUACGGUCUGACCGGUUGUUAGGCCACCUAGUAGUAGAUUGGAAAAUUUAGGGAAAAAGAAUAAAGGAAAAGACAAUAAAUAGUAGCUUGGUUUUUUUCGAUUAGGUUGGAUGCCCUCAAUCGGCCGAAUCCCUUUAUAUUUCUAAGGAGGGAAGGUCUUUAUAUUUAUAGGAAGGGAAGGUCUUACCCAUGAGGGAGUCAAAAUCCUAAUAAAAAUCGUGCUAAAUUAAAAGUUCUACUCGGUUUACACUGAGCCAGAUAGGUCAGACCAGCCUGGGCAACCUGUCGGACCAGUCUGCCCGGGUGUAUAUCUUGCGAAGGUCGUAUCUCUCUCAUCCGAACUUCAAAUCGGACGUUCUAUAUAAGAAUCUUGAUCUACUCAACAAGAUACAGGAAAUGGUAGAGUCCAAUCUUCAUUUGGAGCACUUUGAUCCAACCAGUCCGACUGGUGGCAUCAGGACUGGUGGCAUCAGCUGGUCUGACCUGUCUGUACGGGGGUGCUGAUCUUUCCGAGGGCAUAACUCUCAGGUCCGAAAUCCAAAUCGGACGUUCCAUAUAUGCAUUUUGAUCGCCUUGAUGAGAGAUAUGUCCUGGUGAAGUCCAAUUUGCUUUUUGAGAACUUUCCCAAACCGGUUUGACCGCUUGGAAGACCGGUCUAAACAUGUCUGAUCAGAUCUAUCCAGACCUGCCACUUUUCGGCAUCAACACGAGUUUUCCAGUAGUGACAACACAACAACUGUAUUACCCACGGCAUGAAAAUAACACAUAACAAGAAGCUAUGUACCACUAAGCAACACAAUCAAUACUCUUGCAAAGGGGGCGAAACACCAAAGGAAAUGGCGAUGAAAUUGAAACCCCGCCAACAGAGCUUUGCUUGAGCACGUACAGCUCUUUAUUACAGAAACAGUAUAGGAUACGAUCGAUGUGCCAUCAAGCAUAAAGCAGCAACACUUAUUUCUUUUCUCAAAGCAAGCAAGAACAGAACUGGUCAUCAAAGAAGUUGACGGGAUUCAUUCAUUCAGAUGGCCGCCGCGGUCGGUGUGCAGCGGCGCUUGCAGAAGUUAGUGAGGACGUCGACGCACCGGUAGACAGGCGCCUCGGUGGUGCUGGUGUACUUGACGCAGUUCAUGCACGCUGGGUGGCAACCCUGGAACGAGAUGUCCAGGCAACUGCAAUCUGGUGGAUUCUUCCUGUUGCAGAAGCCGCACUGGUUGCAGCACGGCCAGGAGCUCGCGUUCGCGGCGUCGUCAGCGACCGCCGCUCCUCCCUCCUCCCCGCUCCCUGCGGCCACCAAAGAUUAGUCGACGCAUCCAGUUGAGUUGAGUUGAGUGUCAAACUGUUAAUUUCUCACCUUUGCUGAGGAGUGGCAGAGUUGCGAGGACGGCGAGGACAGCCAGUGUGACGAGCAACACCUGAGGUCUCAUGCUUGUUUCUCUUGGUAUGUAGGAAUACAGGGUGUUGCCAGGUUUGUUGUGGUUGGACUUCCUUCCUACUGAUGGGUGAUGGUUAUCUGUAUGAGGCUAGAGGCCUUAUUAUAAGAGGAGGGGGUGCCAUGACAGCUGUGUGCCUGCCAAGUUAAGGCUAGCUUGGCACGGCUCUUGAACAAUGGCUUUAGCUCUAGCUUAUCUAAUGAUCUUGUAUGUUGGAGAAACAAUCUUUUAAGAUAGAUGGAAGAGGUCAAAUAUCCAAAAUACCCUUAUUUAUUUCCUUUCUUUUCUCUUUUCUUUUAAUUUCUUUUUCUUUCCCGGUCAUUUUUCUUCCUUUCUCAUUUUUUCCUUCACCAUUUAUUUUUCUUCCUUUCUUAUUUCCUCUUCCUUCUAUCCUUAUCUUCCUUUCCUCAGCUCCUGCAGAACGCCGCCCCUGCCUCUCAUGACCAUGGCCAUCACCCGCAGCUCUUCCGGCUCGACGUCCCUGCCUCCCCACUCCUCCAACUCGACGCCCUAUCUCCCCUAGCCCACUCCCUCUCCUCAGCCCGAGCGCCCAACAACCCCUUCCUCCCAGCACGUCCGGCCUCGCUUAGCAGUUUGUGCGGCACGCCUGCAGCGUCGCUUGUGCAUCCAACGUGCUCGCCCCGUCCCGCCGUGCUCCACCCACCGCCGGUCAGGUCAGCACCGGCGUUACUCCGUCCGUGCCACUGCACCAUCCGCCACCGCCCACCAACACAGUGGUUUCAAGAAAUUUCAAACAAUUUAAAUAUUUGAUAAAUGAUUUCAAAGUUGUUUCAAACUUUUACAAGUGAACAUAAAUGUUAUUUAGUGAAUGUAAAAAAUAUAAUUUCAUACAUAACACAGAUAUUUUGACUAGUUAGUUCACAUGUCCCUAUAGGUUGAAACACCUCAUGAGUUAUAGGGUGAUCAUGACUUGGAUAUCCAUUUGAGAAAAACGUACUGUUACAAUAUCUCAAAAUUAUGUUAAUAUUUUUUAAUCCAUGUUGGUUCACUGCUGAAGUGGUUACAUGCAAAAUAUCAUGAAAAACAUUCCCCCUUAUAUUUGAUGUUUUUGGAGCGUUCCCGAGCUAAUCUCGGUCAAGCUCCAAAUGGAAGGUUGACUAAGAUAGAAGAUGCCCGCGGUCUUAAAUGGGUACUUGCGUUGCCCGCCAGCACAGAGGCUAGUAUGCUUACGAGUUCUCCCCCGCAGGUCCAAGGAAGAUUUGUGCUGGUGGGUGCCAAUCAAACCCACCAGCACACUAAUUUACCUGUGUGAACACAAAUUAAAUCUGGCGUAGUGUUUUCUUAGUAUCUUUUGCUGUGGUGAGGCAUGUGAGUACUGCUGGCACGAUCAUCAGCUUGUCCUGGGCUGCUGCUAAGCAUGCACCACGAGCCAAAGGUUUUCGGGAUGCUCAGCUCAUAAGGAAUUGACUGAAAGUGACUGUUCGUUGUGUGAGCUAGCUGUCUCCACUGGUGGCUUCUGAAUUAUUGGUCCUAUAUACAUGCACCACGCGCAACAUAAGGGAAAAAAAGUCUGCAACAUGUGCGGCACUGGAUAAUUGAGCUAGCAAUAACAGUGUUGUACGCUUGUCUAUGAGGGAUGCAUGGUGCCUAACAAUCACAAUGAUCUAUACUGACUACUCCCUCCGUUCCAAAUUAUAAGUCAUUCCAAGAAUCUUGGAGAGUCAAAGCAUCUCAAGUUUGACCAAAAUUAUAGAAAAAAUUAUAAAGAUUCAUAACAUUAAAUAGUUAUACUAUGAAACUAUAAUUGAUGAAGAAUCUAAUGAUACUUUGUUGACAUCACAAAUGUUAUUAUAUUAUCAUAUAAAUUUAGUCAAACUUGAGAUACUUUGACUCUCCAAGAUUCUUAAAAUGACUUAUAAUUUGGGAUGAAGGGAGUACAUCAUAGCUUGUCUGCUUGCCUAGUGCGCGUGAACCAUGAGGGCAGGACUAGUGGCUGCACACUACUCCACGAGGGUAGGACUGGUGGCUGUGCAUCGACAGAAUUCACUAUUCGACACUAAAAAAACUAAUCGUGACACUAAACAAAUUUUGGUUCCCGUUUGAUACUGAGUUCAAUUUUCAUUCUUUAUAUAACAUUCUGUUGGAUUUUUCAUAUGAGAACCAUUAAAUGCCCGAUGAAAAGACGAUUUUGCCCUUGUGAGCCCCACCACCCUUCUCCGAUCUACUCACCUUCUCCAUCCGCUCUAUUGUACCUCCCCCACUGCUCCAUCCAUCCUCCUUAUUUAUUUCCAAGAUACCCUUAUUUAUUUCCUUUCUUUUCUCUUUUCUUUUAAUUUCUUUUUCUUUCCCGGUCAUUUUUCUUCCUUUCUCAUUUUUUCCUUCACCAUUUAUUUUUCUUCCUUUCUUAUUUCCUCUUCCUUCUGUCCUUAUCUUCCUUUCCUCAGCUCCUGCAGAACGCCGCCCCUGCCUCUCAUGACCAUGGCCAUCACCCGCAGCUCUUCCGGCUCGACGUCCCUGCCUCCCCACUCCUCCAACUCGACGCCCUAUCUCCCCUAGACCACUCCUUCUCCUCAGGCCCGAGCGCCCAACAACCCCUUCCUCCCGGCACGUCCGGCCUCGCACCUCCGGUCCACUUAGCAGUUUGUGCGGCAUGCCUGCAGCGUCGCUUGUGCAUCCAACGUGCUCGCCCCGUCCCGCCGUGCUCCACCCACUGUCGGUCAGGUCAGCACUGGCGUUACUCCGGCCGUGCCACUGCACCGUCCACCACCGCCCACCAACACAGUGGUUUCAAGAAAUUUCAAACAAUUUAAAUAUUUGAUAAAUGAUUUCAAAGUUGUUUCAAACUUUUACAAGUGAACAUAAAUGUUAUUUAGUGAAUGUAAAAAAUAUAAUUUCAUACAUAACACAGAUAUUUUGACUAGUUAGUUCACAUGUCCCUAUAGGUUGAAACACCUCAUGAGUUAUAGGGUGAUCAUGACUUGGAUAUCCAUUUGGGAAAACGUACUGUUACAAUAUCUCAAAAUUAUGUUAAUAUUUUUUAAUCCAUGUUGGUUCACUGCUGAAGUGGUUACAUGCAAAAUAUCAUGAAAAACAUUCCCCCUUAUAUUUGAUGGUUUUGGAGCGUUUCCCGAGCUCCUCUCGGUCAAGCUCCAAAUGGAAGGUUGACUAAGUUAGAAGAUGCCCGCGGUCUUAAAUGGGUACAUGCGUUGCCCGCCAGCACAGAGGCUACUAUGCUGACGAGUGGUCCCCCGCAGGUCCAAGGAAGAUUUGUGCUGGCGGGUACCAAUCAAACCCGCUAGCACGCUAAUUUACCAAUGUGAACACAAAUUAAAUCUGGCGUAGUGUUUUCUUAGUGUCUUUUGCUGUGGUGAGGCAUGUGAGUACUGCUGGCACGAUCAUCAGCUUGUCCUGGGCUGCUGCUAAGCAUGCACCACGAGCCAAAGGUUUUCUGGAUGCUCUGAAAGUGACUGUUCGUUGUGUGAGCUAGCUGUCUCCACUGGCGGCUUCAGAAUUAUUGGUCCUAUACACAUGCACCACGCGCAACAUAAGGGAAAAAAAGUCUGCAACAUGUGCGGCACUGGAUAAUUGAGCUAGCAAUAACAGUGUUGUACGCUUGUCUACGAGGGAUGCAUGGUGCCUGACAAUCACAAUGAUCUAUACUGACUACUCCCUCCGUUCCAAAUUAUAAGUCAUUCCAAGAAUCUUGGAGAGUCAAAGCAUCUCAAGUUUAACCAAAAUUAUAGAGAAAAUUAUAAAGAUUCAUAACAUUAAAUAGGUAUACUAUGAAACUAUAAUUGAUGAAGAAUCUAAUGAUACUUAGUUGACAUCAUAAAUAUAAUUAUAUUAUCAUAUAAAUUUGGUCAAACUUGAGAUACUUUGACUCUUCAAGAUUCUUGGAAUGACUUAUAAUUUGGGAUGAAGGGAGUACAUCAUAGCUUGUCUGCUUGCCUAGUGCGCAUGAACCAUGAGGGCAGGACUAGUGGACGCACACUACUCCACGAGGGCAGGACCGGUGGCCGUGCACCGACAGCAUUCACUAUUCGACACUAAAAAAUCUAAUCGUGACACUAAACAAAUUUUUGUUCCCAUUUGAUACUGAGUUCAAUUUUCAUUCUUUAUAUAACAUAUGAGAACCAUUAAAUGCUUGAUGAAAACACGGUUUUGCCCUUGUGAGCCCCACCACCCUUCUCCGAUCUACUUACCUUCUCCAUCCGCUCUAUUGUACCUCCCCCACUGCUCCAUCCAUCCUCAUGUCCAGGUGAGAGCUUAGGCACCAGGAGCUCACUACAGUUCUAUUUGUGUGGUUAUUGUCAUCGAGGAUGGUCGGGACAGUGGAGCUCCAAGGGAGGGGGGUCAUGGCAGGCUGAUGGCUCGAGUCACCAAGGAAAGGAUGAUUCCCGGCGGGGUUGAGCUCGUCCUAGCCAACAAGCAGGUCGGGGAGGUCGAGCGCAAGGUGAGGGAGGUUUGGGUGCGACGGAUUGGGUUUUGGCAGAGGUGGUGAGAAUUUGGCUGGCGAUGAGGUUCGGUGGCUGGUGGCAGUCGCAAGACAUGGAAUUCCCAGCACUAAGUAGUUUGUGAUUGGGCUGGAACUAGCCUGGUGUCGGGGAUACAUCCCCAAUACCCGCAAGGAAGGAAGAAGUCAGACUCCUACUAGGAUUCCCUUGUAAUCCGACUAGGACUCAUACCGUGUACUCCUACUAGGACUCCUCCUUGUAAUCCGACUAGUACUCUGCCCCCUGGAGUAUAUAAAGGAGGGUAAGGGUACCUAGCUCGGUAGGUCACACCUCAACACCCAAGCGUAGGGCGCAGUAUACAAAUACCCCCAAACAGGACGUAGGGUAUUACGCUACUCCGGCGGCCCGAACCUAUCUAAAUCCGUGUCUUGUGUCCUCGCUUUUACCUUCAAGUUCCAGGUCCGGCGAUCCCCCACUACACAUUCUGCUACCUCGGGUACCCCUUGGUAGACGGCCGAUAUAAAUCACCGACAUUGGCGCCCACCGUGGGGCAGCUCGUCGAGAUCAUCAGGCGAGCUUGAAGGACCUCAUCUUCAAGCCGGCGUUCGCUUUCAAAGCGGGCACAACCUUCGUCUUCGACUCCUGACUUUGCAUCACCGACGGCACUGGGUCCUUCCAAUGCUGCAUCAUCGACAACCAGGAGAAGAAGCGCCUCGACGGGAACUCUCUUCCACAAGAAGCAGAAAAUCUCAUUGAGAAAAUCGACAAAUUAAACCUUGGAUCAAGGUUCGACUGCAAACUCGUACUCCAACGGCGACUUCGGGUUCGACCAUGAUUCGAACUCGAACUCCGACGGCGACUACGGGUCUGACUACAACGCGGAGUCCGACAGCGACUCCAGGUCUGGCUACGACUAUGAGUCCGAUGACGACUCCGGGUUCGAUCGCAACACGGAGUCUGACGGCGACUCCAGCUUCAACUCCGACUCAAAGUCUAACAGCGACUCUGAGUUCGACUACAACUCAAAAGUCCGACUACAUUGCGAGCCCUCCGACGACUACAGGCGGCUCGUCGAUGAUUUCUUGGACUAUGUUGCGGGCACGCCGACGACCACGGUCGACUUGCCGACGACUCUGUUGACUACGGGCAGCUCGUCGACGACUUCAACUACGUUGCAAGCUCGCCGACGACUACGGGCGGCUCGGCAAUGACUUUGACUACUUUCCUCGACUACUUCGCUCGGCAACACAUUGAUGACUACUUCGUCAUGACGCUCGCCGACGACUUCUCCGAGUACGUCACGGCGCUUGCCGACUACUACGGGCAGCUCGCCGACGACUACUCCGACCACAUCGCGACGCUCGCUGACGACUACUACUCGUCUCGACUACAAGGCUAGUCGAGGGCGGAUUACAACUCGUCUUGACUAAAAAAUUAGUUGGGGCAAACUUCACAUCAUCGACAACUAGUCAGAAUCUCCUCCGACUAGUCGAUUUCGUUAACAACCAUUACGGCUUCAUCAACGACCAUCACGGCUUCGUCAAACAAUCAUCCACGAAUCAAGCUAAGUCACUUUUCUAAAUUAUUUUCCGGCUUACUUUCCGCUUGCGCGCAACACGCGCUCUACUCGCUGGAAACUCUCGCGCACAACAUGCGCUCUAUUCGCCGGAGGGCAGCAAACUCUUUCGCGCUACCUCGCUCUCUUUUUAUCGCAACAGUGACUAUUCCUUUUUGUCUUCUCUUAUGGUCACUACUCUUCUCGAGCAGAACAUGCCUUAACUCGUGAAAGCCUCAGGCGCAUCUGUCACGCCUAAGCCUAUACGUGUAUACGAGACAAAGGUCUCACACACGCAGUGGCAACGGCUACCCAGAGACUGAGAGUCUAAGCAUAACAGGCUAACUACUCAGGAAGAGUAUGACUAAAACAAGAGCUUGACUCGCAAUCAUGCAGUCUCUUUCUUGUCGCAGCAGCGACUACUCUCACUUUUGUCUUCUCUUAAGGUCACUACUCUUCUCGAGCAGAACACGCCUUAACUCGUGAAAGCCUCAGGCGCAUCUGUCACGCCUAAGCCCAUACGCGUAUACGAGACAACGAUCUCACACACGCAGUGGCAACAGCUACCCAGAGACUGAGAGCCUAAUCGUAACAGGCUAACUACUCGGGAAGAAUAUGACCGAAAUAAGAGCAUGACACAACAUUCAUAUUGAUCACUGAAUAAAUUUCAGCAGUUUCAAAAUCCUACAAAAAUGCUACAUAAUGUAUGCAUCUUUUCUUUCAGAUCGAGCUUCAGUGACACUAAGCAUGCCUCCAAUGGCACAGGCUAGUUCCCGAACUCGGGGGCUAAGCACCAAUCAGUACUCGGAAUAUCUCCAGUGGCUCAGCUAGCUCCCAGGCUCGGGGGCUGGAUGCCGCAAAACCACUCGACGUGGCUCCAACGACUUACCUGGCGCACAAGCUCGGGGGCUGGACGCCGCAAGACUACUCGAAUGAUGACCUGAGUGAAGAUUCAAGACCCUCGGGUUGAUUAUUCAAUCAAUCAAAGGCUCGGGGGCUGAUAAGCUACACCCAACAAUUGAUUUUUUCAAGUCAAAAGAGGAAGAUUCAAGAUUUUGACCCUCAGCCUGAUUCUGCGAUUCAACCUAAGGCUCGGGGGCUACUCCAUAUGGAGUGUGACUUUCACCGUCCUCCAUACAUGAAGACUUCAAUAUCAUGUUGAUCAAGACUUUGAGCACACCAUAGCCUCAUGGUGGCUUUGAGAAACAUUGAAAGAUUCAGUCUGACAAAGUACUCGAAGAGCACCAAAACUACCCGGCGAAUAUCUCAAGACUACUCGAAGACUGCUGCAUUCGACUAUGAAGCGCUCGGAGGCUUGUCAGGAAUACAUCCCCACUACCCGCAAGGAAGGAAGAAGUCAUACUCCUACUAGGAUUCCCCUGUAAUCCGACUAGGACUCAUACCGUGUACUCCUACUAGGACUCCUCCUUGUAAUCCGACUAGUACUCUGCCCCCUGGAGUAUAUAAAGGAGGGCAGGGGUACCUAGCUCCGUAGGUCACACCUCAACACCCAAGCGCAGGGCGCAGUAUACAAAUACCCCCAAACAGGACGUAGGGUAUUACGCUACUCCGGCGGCCCGAACCUGUCUAAAUCCGUGUCUUGUGUCCUCGCUUUUACCUUCAAGUUCCAGGUUCGACGAUCUCCCACUACACAUUAUGCUACCUCGAGUACCCCUUGGUAGACGGCCGGUAUAAAUCACCGACACCUGGGAGGGAGAUUGGAAUUUGGAGAAUUCUUGUGUGAGACCACGGGGCACCGUCUCAUACACCAGCCUUGCCGUGCUGAAAUCAGCGAGCUUCACGCCGUAGCCUUUGGUGUCGCAGCAGUCGAGGAGCACGUUCCGGCCCUUGACAUUCUUGUGCACGACGGCCACCCUCCUGAGCCCACACACCGAGCUCACUGUAACACCCAAAAAUUCCAUCAUAAACACAAUAUAAGCAACAUGUGGUCUAGCUCUUUAUUUUCUAAGAACUAAAUAAAAUACUAAUAUUAAAUUAUGGCCUUUAAAAAAUUAAAGAACACUUGAAAUAACUUUUUAGAGACAAGUGCUUGUUAGGGUUCUUCGUUUGCUUCCCUUUUUGUUUGCGUUUGCAAAAUUUUACAUGAUGUCACUGUCCUCGUCAUCCUCGGCACUGGCAGAGCGUCGUUGGGGCAUAGAGGACCAUGGCCCCCUUGCUUGGUAAAAAAAAAAAUCAGAAGAGCAAAGUGCAAAGGCCCAGUCCAAGUGCAGUCCGUGGCUUGUUGACACGUAAUUAAUAAAUCAAUAAAUCCCACAAGGCAUUAACCACAUAGGCACAAACAAACAUUGAAAACAAUAGAAAAAAAUAUUGAGCCAAUUCCAGCAACUAGCGGAUGAGACAACGACCUCAGCCGUCACCCCUUCGCAAGAUGGACACUUCCUUCACAGUUGACUCAUUGAGGUUGUCAUCGUCGGCCGUCGCCACUUGCCAGGGCUGGCGCCUUGCAGCCUGGUGCUAGAACUUUCAUCCUGAAGGUAUGGUUGCUUUUCUUCCUUCUUUUGUUUAUCUUCUAAGUUCUUAACACAUUAGAUCCGUAGAGUAUGCAGGCUACUAUUGCCUAAUUAGCUGGUAAUUUGUUGUCAAUUGAGAUCUAUUAUUAUUUCUUUUGAGAAAAUUGAGAUGUUUCGCUAGUUUAUUUGGCCCUAAUCCCCAAAUUGCAGAGUUUAUAUGAUUUUGUGGUUUUAUAACUAAAUACAGUUCUGCAAUUUGGUAGGUAGGUACAAAUAGGUAAAGAGAAGCCUAUUGAUUCAUUUUUCAAAAGCAAAAGAGAUGAACCAAUUGUGGACUGUCGAGCAGCCUCUGGUUCAAGCCAACCAAUUUCCCACCUAAAAUUUGCUUCACGCUCCGCCACGGAUCCUCGAUCCUCGGUGAGAAUUUUUAACCUCUUUGAAAAAGUCGGCGAUUGCGAAUCUCCACCUGCAUUUUUGAAAUGGAUUCUGAAAUAUUGUGGCGAAAUGUCCUUUUCUAAGUGGGCCUAGACCCAUAAAUUCGCGAGCUCCGCCCCACUCACCACUGCCACACCAUAACUCCGCCUGUGCUGUCGUGGCCACUUGCUCGCCUCGUCGCUCUCGCGCGUCACAGUAGCAGCAGUUCUUGAGGCGGUACGCUGCCUGCAAGCUAUGCGAGCCCGUCAGCUCGUCAGGCACAGUGCCUGCCUGCCGCUACGCUCCACCUCCCCACCACCACGCUGCAAGCCGACGCCCGCAAGCUGCCGCUCGGCCACAGCGCCGCCGCUGAUGCCGUGCCUUUGAGCAGCCUUUUAUUUGUUUUUUAGCUUUUUUUUUUUUGAAGAUUCUCACACAUGUGGAAAUAUUUCAAAAUCUGGAUCCAUAGCUUGACGUCAUCCACACUGGCACCAAGCUUACACGUCUUGGCACCAGCCGUUCUGGUGCCUAGGUCGUUGCGCAGCUGUUGAUGGGGCAGCUGACGUGACGGUGGCUUGGCGCCUGGCUGUUUAACACACGGCCUCCGCCUCUAACUUCUCCCACCGGCUGCCGCCUCCUAGCCACCGGGUGGAGUGGGCGCAGUGCGCCGAUGACACCCCACUUCGCCUCCGCGCCCUUUCUCGUUGGAAGGUAAAUUUCUUAUUAGUUUUAAUAGUGAGAUAUAUAGAAUAGGUAGGUAGAAUUGUUAAAUAGAAUUUAGAUAGAUAGAUAGAACAGUUAGAUAGUUAGUUUGAAAGAUAAUUAGAUAGAAUUUUCAUCUUAUGUAAUUUUCUUUUUAGAUAUGUAUAGUUAGAUAGAUGGUUAGAUAGAUAGUUAGAUAGAAUUUUAUUCAUAUGUAAUUUUUUUACUUAGAUAGAUAGAAUAGUUAGAUAGAUAGUAAUAUAGUUAGUAUGAUAGUUAGUUAAAUAGUUAUAUACUAAAUUACAUAGUAACUCGACAUAGUUAGUAGUAUUUAGUAGUUUGUAGUUAAUAGAUAGUAUCUAUUUAGUUAGUUGGUACGUAAUGAAGAUUUUAUACUUAGAAUGCUUCAUUUAUAUUGGACUAAAUGAAUUGUUCUGUUUAUAACCUUGAUGGACAACGUAGUGAGCAUAUAUCAUGAAGGUACCGUGGAAAGAGAUGACUAUGGAUGUGUUAAGUUUGUUAACAUGCAAAGCAUGGUUGUGUUAUUAAUUGAGAAGCCCUCAUUUAGUGAGUUGGUUGCAAGUGCUCGGGAGGAGCUAUAUUGCCAUGAAGAUGAUGACAUCACAGUGGAGGGCGUACUUCACCUAGGUUCCCCUUUCAACAUCCAAAGGAAGAUGAUCCCAAUUUGGUGCGCAGAUAAGUGGGAGAAUGAUGUGAGAUCGGUUAUGAAGCGCCAGUUCUAAAGUUUGGACGUGGUUGUGCGUCGGGUGUUAGUUGAUCCCAUCCGUCAUCGGUUUUCCCGACCAAUGGGUCAGCAUGCACACUUCGACCCUUUCGUCCCAGAACCUAUUAUGGAUGUGGAGGUUGCACAUAUGGUUCCCGAUGCUGAAUCUGCCCCCAAUGAGGUAGUUGGAGCUGCUUGUCGGACACUUGAUGCUGUGGUAAAUCCUCCUCAUGAGAUCCCUUUGACACAAAAUCAUCCGAGUAAGUGUCUUAUCGGCACGCUUCUUGGGAGCUAACCUCCUUCAUUACAUCAAUUUUUUUCUUCCUUUCUCAUAUUUCUACCAAUGUUUUAGGAGACAUUCCUAAAAAUGUGGAUGUGCCCCCAGUUGCUACUCAACUGCACUAUGGAGAUGGAUUACGUGGCUCUAAUAGUGUUGGAAUUAUGAAUGAUUCGGAUGCAUAUGAGAUGGGAAUGUAUCUUGAUUCUGAUAAUGAUCGCCCUGUUGGAGAGAUGACAGAGAGUGAUGUUGAGAUGUUCAGGCGUUGCUUUCCUGACCGUCGUGAUCCAAGAGUUCACGAGUUCAGUGAUCUUUCUCAUUCUAAUCAUGCGUGUGCAGAGGGAAGUGAUGAUGAGCUCCUAGAAGCUCCUGAGGCUGGACCUAGCAUAGUGAUUGAGGAGGGUAGCGCAUUGAUGAGGUGGUUACAGGCAUUUGCAGUGAUAAAGAAGAGACCUUACAAGGUCUUGCAUUCAUAUGCAGAGCACCGUUACACAGUUGUGUGUGACAAGUAACAGUGCCCAUGGAUGAUUUGUGCAAGGAAGAAAAAGAUCACCGAGAAGUGAAAGAUCACAAAAGUUGUCAGGCCACACAAUUGUGCUAACACUAGAACAUUGAGAAGUGGAAGAUCACUGGAUAGAAUGGUAAGUCAAGUACCUUACUUUCCCAUGUUAAAUUACUUAGUGAUUUACUGGUUUACUUAUUAUGGACUUUGUGGACUCUUGUUAUGAACUAUUUUGGACUUUCAUUACGGACUUCGUGGACUUUCAUUAUGGACUUUGUGGACGUUCAUUAUGAACUAUUGUGCAUAUAGACAUUCAUUAUGAAAUUUUGUGUGUAUGAACUAUUGUGGACUUUCAUUAUGAAUUUUGUGGACGUUUAUUAUGAACUAUUGUGUAUAUGGACUUUCAUUGUGAAUUAUUAUGUGUAUGAACUAUUGUGGACUUUUAUUACGAACUAUUGUAGAUUUUCAUUAUGAAUGUGGCAUCUGUUUGAACAUGUUGUAUUCAGGUAGAAUAUUCAUCUCAUAAUUGUGUAUGAAUUACAUCCAAAAAUAGGGGAAAUUCUGCUGAAAUUUCACAAAAAUAUAGAAUUGCAUUUCGCUAACCAAAAUUCUUCGGCAUGUAAGCUUAUGUGCAUUAGGCAUGUGCUCACAUAUUUCUCGCAAAGAAAAUGACAUCGCACAUACUACUAUGGUGCCCAUACUUAAAGUGCAUUACAUGACAACACAAUGAAAAGUCCAACAAUAGACAACAUGUUUCAUAAAUAAACUAUCAGACUACAAGUAAUGGAGACUACUGAGUGCAACGAGUCCACUUUCCCUUCCUCAAUCGUAGCUUUCGCUUGGUGUGCAUGCUCAAGCUUCUUCUCCCUCUCCUACCUAUCCGCAGCAACACGCCUCCUUUCUUCCUCUUCCUUGUGCUCCUUUUAUGCGGCCUCCUUUCUGAGCCUCUUCUCCAUCAUCUCCUUCCUCUCUGCCUCCAACCGCAAUAUUUCCUGCAUCUCCUCCUUGUCUUCAGGCUUGAUCUCGGUGUUGAUCCAGUGCUCAAAAUCACAGAGCGGUGCAGGGGUCUACAACAAAUGCAAUUGUUAUAAAAUAAAAAAAAUCAUGUAAAAUAAUUAUAACCCAACAAUAAUUCCUCACCAUCUUGUUAAUGCGGCGUUGACGAAGUGUAGGCUCAAACUUAAAAUUAGAACACAUCCAGUACCUCUACCUAUACGUGUCAUCUGCAUCGGACUUGGCUACCCUGCAAGGAUCGCUGCAAAAGCACAUGGGUACUGGAACACCACUAGGCAGAGGUAAUGGGUCGAAGCUAUUUCGGGUCAUACGGGCAUAACUACAAUUUAGUCAUUUUCAUUCUAAGAACCGAAAGCGGUUAACAUUAAACCUACACCUAGGGUUUCCCAUUUGAUCCACAAGAAUGAAUCCAUAACAUAACUACGUGCGCUGAGGUUACCAUAGUUUCGUAGCUUUUCCACGCCUUGGCAUCCUAUGGUUGCACGAAACGCUAUGUUCAAAAAUCCGACUAAUAUAUAGCGAAUCGAUGUGAAAAAAACUAGGAGGGAGUGGAUAUCUUGCUCUCGAAGAUCCAUGGAUCAAAUCGAAGUUUCUAAGAUUUAAUAUGCCGAUUCGUGGUGUAAGGUGAAGUGGGGAGAGAAAAAACCUGAGAGGGAGGAGAAAGAGGAGGAAGAAGCUUCAGGCAAGAAGAAAGGGUGCGGCCUUAUGUUAGCAGGUUUGGCUCCAGGCUAGCUGGCACGAGGCCACCACUACAUCAGCUGCCCCAUCAGCAGCUGUUGAGCGACCUAGGCGCCGGGAUAGCCGGCGUCGAGAUGCGUAAGCUUGGCACCAGCGUGGAUGGCGCCAAGGUAUGGGUCCAGAUUUUGAAAUGUUUCCGUCAGAGGCGUAUUUGUAGAGGCGUAUUUGUAAGAAUCUUUCAGAAAAAAGGCUAACAAAAAAGUCAGAUGUUUGAGCCGCUCCACAGCCCUUACCAUCACCGACUAUAAAAGGCAGGGUCGAGCGCCUCUCCGCAACCGAACUUGCCGAGCCGCCAGCUCCGCUGCUCAACUUCUUGCAAUUCUGCCUGCAAUUUAUUUAUGGAGUGAUCGAGAAAUUGAGCGAGUUUGGAGGCUAGUGGUUGAUACGUUUUUUGCAUCGAAUUGACAUUGAAUUAGUUUUCUUUGAACUGCCAUUUCAAAUGUUUUUUCUAUAGUUGCAUGUGAAACACAUCUAUUGCCGCUAAUCAAUCUGUCGACGCUUUUUUGGGCCAACACAUGAAUGUACGCGAUUGUGCGGCGCGUGGAGGGGCUCACUGUAGCACGUCGAUGCAUGCCGGUUUGACCACUUACGGUCUGACCGGUUGUUAGGCCACCUAGUAGUAGAUUGGAAAAUUUAGGGAAAAAGAAUAAAGGAAAAGACAAUAAAUAGUAGCUUGGUUUUUUUCGAUUAGGUUGGAUGCCCUCAAUCGGUCGAAUCCCUUUAUAUUUCUAAGGAGGGAAGGUCUUUAUAUUUAUAGGAAGGGAAGGUCUUACCCAUGAGGGAGUCAAAAUCCUAACAAAAAUCGUGCUAAAUUAAAAGUUCUACUCGGUUUACACUGAGCCAGAUAGGUCAGACCAGCCUGGGCAACCUGUCGGACCAGUCUGCCCGGGUGUAUAUCUUGCGAAGGUCGUAUCUCUCUCAUCCGAACUUCAAAUCGGACGUUCUAUAUAAGAAUCUUGAUCUACUCAACAAGAUACAGGAAAUGGUAGAGUCCAAUCUUCAUUUGGAGCACUUUGAUCCAACCAGUCCGACUGGUGGCAUCAGGACUGGUGGCAUCAGCCGGUCUGACCUGUCUGUACGGGGGUGCUGAUCUUUCCGAGGGCAUAACUCUCAGGUCCGAAAUCCAAAUCGGACAUUCCAUAUAUGCAUUUUGAUCGCCUUGAUGAGAGAUAUGUCCUGGUGAAGUCCAAUUUGCUUUUUGAGAACUUUCCCAAACCGGUUUGACCGCUUGGAAGACCGGUCUAAACAUGUCUGAUCAGAUCUAUCCAGACCUGCCACUUUUCGGCAUCAACACGAGUUUUCCAGUAGUGACAACACAACAACUGUAUUACCCACGGCAUGAAAAUAACACAUAACAAGAAGCUAUGUACCACUAAGCAACACAAUCAAUACUCUUGCAAAGGGGGCGAAAUACCAAAGGAAAUGGCGAUGAAAUUGAAACCCCGCCAACAGAGCUUUGCUUGAGCACGUACAGCUCUUUAUUACAGAAACAGUAUAGGAUACGAUCGAUGUGCCAUCAAGCAUAAAGCAGCAACACUUAUUUCUUUUCUCAAAGCAAGCAAGAACAGAACUGGUCAUCAAAGAAGUUGACGGGAUUCAUUCAUUCAGAUGGCCGCCGCGGUCGGUGUGCAGCGGCGCUUGCAGAAGUUAGUGAGGACGUCGACGCACCGGUAGACAGGCGCCUCGGUGGUGCUGGUGUACUUGACGCAGUUCAUGCACGCUGGGUGGCAACCCUGGAACGAGAUGUCCAGGCAACUGCAAUCUGGUGGAUUCUUCCUGUUGCAGAAGCCGCACUGGUUGCAGCACGGCCAGGAGCUCGCGUUCGCGGCGUCGUCAGCGACCGCCGCUCCUCCCUCCUCCCCGCUCCCUGCGGCCACCAAAGAUUAGUCGACGCAUCCAGUUGAGUUGAGUUGAGUGUCAAACUGUUAAUUUCUCACCUUUGCUGAGGAGUGGCAGAGUUGCGAGGACGGCGAGGACAGCCAGUGUGACGAGCAACACCUGAGGUCUCAUGCUUGUUUCUCUUGGUAUGUAGGAAUACAGGGUGUUGCCAGGUUUGUUGUGGUUGGACUUCCUUCCUACUGAUGGGUGAUGGUUAUCUGUAUGAGGCUAGAGGCCUUAUUAUAAGAGGAGGGGGUGCCAUGACAGCUGUGUGCCUGCCAAGUUAAGGCUAGCUUGGCACGGCUCUUGAACAAUGGCUUUAGCUCUAGCUUAUCUAAUGAUCUUGUAUGUUGGAGAAACAAUCUUUUAAGAUAGAUGGAAGAGGUCAAAUAUCCAAAAUACCCUUAUUUAUUUCCUUUCUUUUCUCUUUUCUUUUAAUUUCUUUUUCUUUCCUGGUCAUUUUUCUUCCUUUCUCAUUUUUUCCUUCACCAUUUAUUUUUCUUCCUUUCUUAUUUCCUCUUCCUUCUAUCCUUAUCUUCCUUUCCUCAGCUCCUGCAGAACGCCGCCCCUGCCUCUCAUGACCAUGGCCAUCACCCGCAGCUCUUCCGGCUCGACGUCCCUGCCUCCCCACUCCUCCAACUCGACGCCCUAUCUCCCCUAGCCCACUCCCUCUCCUCAGCCCGAGCGCCCAACAACCCCUUCCUCCCAGCACGUCCGGCCUCGCUUAGCAGUUUGUGCGGCACGCCUGCAGCGUCGCUUGUGCAUCCAACGUGCUCGCCCCGUCCCGCCGUGCUCCACCCACCGCCGGUCAGGUCAGCACCGGCGUUACUCCGUCCGUGCCACUGCACCAUCCGCCACCGCCCACCAACACAGUGGUUUCAAGAAAUUUCAAACAAUUUAAAUAUUUGAUAAAUGAUUUCAAUGUUGUUUCAAACUUUUACAAGUGAACAUAAAUGUUAUUUAGUGAAUGUAAAAAAUAUAAUUUCAUACAUAACACAGAUAUUUUGACUAGUUAGUUCACAUGUCCCUAUAGGUUGAAACACCUCAUGAGUUAUAGGGUGAUCAUGACUUGGAUAUCCAUUUGAGAAAAACGUACUGUUACAAUAUCUCAAAAUUAUGUUAAUAUUUUUUAAUCCAUGUUGGUUCACUGCUGAAGUGGUUACAUGCAAAAUAUCAUGAAAAACAUUCCCCCUUAUAUUUGAUGUUUUUGGAGCGUUCCCGAGCUAAUCUCGGUCAAGCUCCAAAUGGAAGGUUGACUAAGAUAGAAGAUGCCCGCGGUCUUAAAUGGGUACUUGCGUUGCCCGCCAGCACAGAGGCUAGUAUGCUUACGAGUUCUCCCCCGCAGGCCCAAGGAAGAUUUGUGCUGGUGGGUGCCAAUCAAACCCACCAGCACACUAAUUUACCUGUGUGAACACAAAUUAAAUCUGGCGUAGUGUUUUCUUAGUAUCUUUUGCUGUGGUGAGGCAUGUGAGUACUGCUGGCACGAUCAUCAGCUUGUCCUGGGCUGCUGCUAAGCAUGCACCACGAGCCAAAGGUUUUCGGGAUGCUCAGCUCAUAAGGAAUUGACUGAAAGUGACUGUUCGUUGUGUGAGCUAGCUGUCUCCACUGGUGGCUUCUGAAUUAUUGGUCCUAUAUACAUGCACCACGCGCAACAUAAGGGAAAAAAAGUCUGCAACAUGUGCGGCACUGGAUAAUUGAGCUAGCAAUAACAGUGUUGUACGCUUGUCUAUGAGGGAUGCAUGGUGCCUAACAAUCACAAUGAUCUAUACUGACUACUCCCUCCGUUCCAAAUUAUAAGUCAUUCCAAGAAUCUUGGAGAGUCAAAGCAUCUCAAGUUUGACCAAAAUUAUAGAAAAAAUUAUAAAGAUUCAUAACAUUAAAUAGUUAUACUAUGAAACUAUAAUUGAUGAAGAAUCUAAUGAUACUUUGUUGACAUCACAAAUGUUAUUAUAUUAUCAUAUAAAUUUAGUCAAACUUGAGAUACUUUGACUCUCCAAGAUUCUUGAAAUGACUUAUAAUUUGGGAUGAAGGGAGUACAUCAUAGCUUGUCUGCUUGCCUAGUGCGCGUGAACCAUGAGGGCAGGACUAGUGGCUGCACACUACUCCACGAGGGUAGGACUGGUGGCUGUGCACCGACAGAAUUCACUAUUCGACACUAAAAAAACUAAUCGUGACACUAAAUAAAUUUUGGUUCCCGUUUGAUACUGAGUUCAAUUUUCAUUCUUUAUAUAACAUUCUGUUGGAUUUUUCAUACGAGAACCAUUAAAUGCCCGAUGAAAAGACGAUUUUGCCCUUGUGAGCCCCACCACCCUUCUCCGAUCUACUCACCUUCUCCAUCCGCUCUAUUGUACCUCCCCCACUGCUCCAUCCAUCCUCCUGUCCAGGUGAGAGCUUAGGCACCAGGAGCUCACUACAGUUCUAUUUGUGUGGUUAUUGGCAUCGAGGAUGGUCGGGACGGUGGAGCUCCAAGGGAGGGGGGUCAUGGCGGGCUGACGGCUCGAGUCGCCAAGGAAAGGACGAUUCCCGGCGGGGUUGAGCUCAUCCUAGCCAACAAGCAGGUCGGGGAGGUCGAGCGCAAGGUGAGGGAGGUUCGGGUGCGAGGGAUUGGGUUUUGGCGAAGGUGGUGAGAAUUUGGUCGGCGAUGAGGUUUGGUGGCUGGUGGCAGUCGCGAGACAUGGAAUUCCCGGCACUAAGUAGUUUGUGAUUGGGCUAGAACUAGCCUGGGAGGGAGAUUGGAAUUUGUAGAAUUCUUGUGUGAGACCACGGGGCGCUGUCUCAGACACCAGCCUUGCCGCACUGAAAUCGGCGAGCUUCACGACGUAGCCUUUGGUGUCGCAGCAGUUGAGGAGCACAUUCCGACCCUUGACAUUCUUGUGCACGACGGCCACCCUCCUGAGCCCACACGCCGUGCUCACUGUAACACCCAAAAAUUCCAUCAUAAACACAAUAUAAGCAACAUGUGGUCUAGCUCUUUCUUUUCUAAGAAUUAAAUAAAAUACUAAUAUUAAAUUAUGGCCUUUAAUAAAUUAAAAAACACUUGAAAUAACUUUUUUGAGACAAGUGCUUGUUAGGGUUCUUCGUUUGCUUCCCUUUUUGUUUGCGUUUGCAAAAUUUUAAAUCAAAAAUCUUAUCAAUCUUCUUUCUCUCUUUCUGUAAAACUCAGCAGGCCGGCCCACCUUUCCACUUUCUUUCCCUCCCGGCCCGCUCUCUUUUUCCUUCUCCAGCCGGCCCACCUCCUCAUUUCUUUGCGCAGGCCCAAGCUGAUCCGCCGGCCCAUCAGCAUCUCCCCAGCCCAACCCCCCCUCUCCUCCCACCGAUAGGUGGGGCCCACCUGUCAGGCGCGUCCUCAACCUCCAGCUGCACCGCAACUCCAGCACUGCCAGCAGCGCCUGCUCGCCUCCCAUCGCCACUCCAUCUCCUGCGUCCCUCCACUUGCUGGAACUACAUCGCCUUCCCACGCGUGUGCGCUGCUAGCGCCCUCUCCUCUCCUAACUCCAGUUACAGGCGUCCCAUUUUCCACUCGCGAUUAAUGGCCAUCGGAGCUCGUUUCAUCUACCCAAGCGCCGUCUCAACUCCUCCUCACGGCCUAUAAGUAGCGCCUACUCCCUCUCCCCGGCUCCAUUCUCCCAUUCUCGCCACCACCAACGCUACCCGCACCAGAGCGCCAGAGCGCCACCGCAUCUCACAGCACCGCCACCGUCCAAAUUCCUCCGCCGCUGGGUACAACGCCGGCCUUUCUCGCCCGCCACAGCCGCAGGUAUGGCCUCCCUCGCUUUCCCCUCGCUCACCUCCGUCGCCUGCGCCACCCGCUUUGCUCACCGCCGCGCCUGAGCUCGCCGGCGAGCCACCGGUCAUGCGAGCCACCGGUCAUGUGCCUAUGCGCGUGCGCGAGAAAGGAAAGAGGAGGAGGAUAAGGCUAUUUUGCAAUCUAGUCCCUAAACUCUCUGAUAUUCUCUUGCUUGAUUCAUGUGUCUAGUAAGGCUUGCAAAGAAUCCCCUGCAAUCCUUAGAACCUUUCUUUUUAACCUGAGCUCUACAAUCUUGCAGAUCUAACCCUAUACUUUUCUAUAUUUCUUAGUUGUUCACUUAGUCUUGUGAAACUUCCUUGGUAGCCCCUAAAGUAUAUAGUUAAUUCCGUUUAAGCCCCUAAAACUUGUUUACUACAUAUCUUCAUCAUUUCAACUCCGAUUUCAGCGAUUCUCAGCUAGGCACCAUACCACACUUUCGAGGUGUAAUUGCAAAGGGACGUUACGAGGCCUUUACAAAGAUUCCCUAAUAAGAAGUAGUCCGCUAAGGUUUCAUGAUCAGUGCAAUGUAUAACAGUCCCCUAGUGGGUAUAGUGUCUUAGCAAAGCCCACUUCCUAAGAGAGCGAGUGCUAUACACCAACUACUGUCUCUCCCUCUUGCCCUUUCGGUAAGACCGCUCCAAAAUAGAGUUUCUAAUUAUUCAGCCAAGACCAGAGCUAUUUAGUCUUGUGGUAGCACUGUUUUCCUGGGUGGUUCUCCAUGUUUCAAUUAACAUUAUUAUGAUAUUAUUAACAAAGCAUAGGUAGAAGGUUGGUUAGGGACACUUGCCUUUUCUCCAACGAAAAGUUACUCCUACUGCUCUUUAGCUUUUUGCUUUCUUGAAACUCUUACUCUUCAAAACUUCGAAACAACGAUCCUUCUACUCGGAGCAAACAUCAGCACAAACAUACAAGCAACAAACAAGUACAACUAAGAACAAUACACCAAAACAAAAGACAGGCUUUAAAAGAGCAUACUAAAGGACAUGGCUUGAUUCUAGGAUUACGCAGAUGCAGGAACGCUUACAACGUAACUAUGGUUGAAAAGAUAAAACUAUCGAAAGAUUUGAAUUUUAAAAGAAAGGUGAGAGUUACAAACUUCAUUUAUUUUAGUUGAGAAAAAUAAUGUAAAGAUAUUUCAGAGAAAUAUCCUUAGUUAGAAUUAAUCAAGUCAUAUUUAUAUUUUCAUAAGAAAAGACGGUGUAAAGCUUAGCCCAAAUUUAUUUAUAAAUAUUUAAGUACAAUUUAUGCAAAUUAGACAUUUAAUUUAAAAAUAAGAUACAUGUAGACAUAUAAGCGUAUAGCUUUACAUUUCGAGUUCAACUAAGUAGAUUAAAUUAAAAACACAUUUAUAUUUAUAUUAGCUAAAUUAACAUUUAAUUAUGAAACUCGAGAUAUAACCUAUGUAGCUUUUAUUUAGAAAACAAAUUGAAUAAACAUUAAUCAAAUUGAAUUUAAUUUAUGAAACGUCGAGGUAUAACUCUAAGUGGCUUUUAAUUGCAAGAAUUAUUUAGAUAUGCAUUAAUCAAUUUAACUUUAGUUUAUGAAAAACCGAUAUAUAACCUAAUUGGCUUUUAUUUAGAAGAGGGUAUGAAGUAAGCAUUAACCAAAUUGAUGUUUAUUAUCAAAAGCGGUGUAUAACUCUAAGUAGAUUUUAUUUAGAGAAGACGCAUGUUUAUGUGGCAUUAAUCAAAUUAAUAUCAAAUUUAUUUUUUUAAAGACAUGCAUGAUCGCAAACAUCACUACUAACACGUCAUUUAUGUUAUUAUGAAUCUAACGCAACUUGAACGAGGUUAAACGGAUCUAAAACGUGAAGUAUAGGAGCUAAACAAGGUUGCAAGGGUCUAAAUGUAAUUAACCGUAGACUUGGAGGGUUAGUUGAGAAGAUUACCGAGACACAGGGAACAGGACUCAUGAAAAGCUGAAAACACUAGGUUAGAUCUGCAAAAGGUCAAGGUUUGGAUUAGAUUGAAAGGAUCUCAAAGUUACAGGGGAUUUUCUACAAGGUUUGCAAGACACAAGUAAUAGGAACAGAAAUUAACAGAUUCUCCAGGGGCUAGAUCGAAAAGCAGCGCUUCAUCUUCUUCCUCACGCCACAAGCAUGGCGCAGCUCCAGGCCGGUGGUUUGCCGGCGUUCCGGCGCGGCGGAGGCCUGGGCGGGUGGUGCAGGUGGCGAUGGCCAGGCUAGGGGCCAAGGGCACGGCUGUACACCUCGGAAGUGUGGUAUGGUGCCUAGCUUGCACCGUAUGGUUGGGUCCAAAGUUCUUUGAACUUUUACGCGACUUGUGGGUAAAGAUGUGCCACCUCUACAGAGUGUAAAACUGAUCGAUCAGCCGUGCUCACGGUCAAGAGCGGCCUGGACCGUCACAUGAUUAAUUAAACUUGAAGAUGGACUUAAAUCAUUAUUCUGGUUAUUUCUAGUGGCCCUGCUGAGUACCAACCAUAAGUGUACUCACCCUUGCUUACUGCUGCUCAGAAGAAGAAGGUACGCAACCCCCAGUCGAUUGCCUGUGAAGUUUGGAGCCUCCAUUUCCAGUAUUUAAGCUGUGUAUCUCUGAUACACUCACCCUCACGCGACCGUCUCUGCAUGACUGUUAGUUUUAGGAGUUUGUUUUAAGUCUUUUUUUUUCUCAUGUUUGGUGUACUAUUUUAUUUAUUGUUUAUUUUGCUUGUGUCAUCGUGUGGACGACAUGUCAUUCAAGGAGAUUUAGCAGCAGCAGCCGUUCGACGAAGAGUUCCCUCAGUUUUUCAAGGAAGGCAAGUGGUCAUCUUCCCCUGCAUAUUCUUUUUUGUCCCAAUAAUAGCAUGCUAAAUCACUUUACUAUUUUCUUGUAUGUGUAUAAUUUGAUGGGAAUACCUAUUAAGGACUUACCUAGUUUUUAAUCCUGAUCCUUGAACAAUGGUUUUAAUCAUGUUGGGUAGAAUUGCUUAGUUGCUUAAUUUUGGGAUGGUAAUAAUUUUGAGAAUAUUAAUCAUGACUUUAUUAAUGCUAUACCUAUGUUAUUACAAGAUCACUUGAUUUAAUCGGAACAUGGAGAACCACCUAGGAAAACAGUGCAACCACAAGUACUAUCAUGACUCUUGUCUUAGCUAAUUAAUUAGAGACUCUAGUCUGGGGUAAUCUUACGGAAGGGCAAGAGGGGUGGCGGAUGAUGGGGUAUAACCCGCUUCUCAAACUGAUCUACUCUAUGGAAGCUUCGCAGUCUUGAGAGGAGCUUAUGCUCUACUACCGAUCCAGAAAUCUUAGCGGGUUACCACUUACUAGGGGAUCUUUGUAAAGGCCUCAUAGCGUCCCUAUGCAAUCACACCUCAGAAGUGUGGUAUUGUGCUUGGCCAGCAUAGCAUGGUUGGGUUUACAGUUCUUUUGAACUUUUAUGCUACUUGUGGGUAAAGAUGUGCAACCGCUGUAGAGUGUAAAACUAAUAUAUCAGCCGUACUCACGGUUAAAAUGCGGCUUGGACCCUCACAUGAUAAUUGAACUUAAAGAUGAGAAUAAAUCAUGGUUCCUUUAUCGUUGGGUUUUUUAAAUGCUUUAUGCUUAAGUGGGUUGGUAUAAACUUACACCUAAAAAUUAGGUUCUUGCUAUGCAUUCAAUUUUGUCCAAAAAUCGGGUGUGACAAAAGUGGUAUCACAGCUGUGUUGACUGUAGGAUAUAAGCCUAGAUAAAAAUGGUCUAAAUAAGGACUCAUUUUCUUAGCAAGCCAUGUCUUCUCAAAAAUAUCUUAUUUUUCACAGAAAAAUCUAUUUUAUUUUUGUUCUUUGCCACAAAAAGUUGUCUCUUGUUGGCUUUGUUUUGAGUAUCUUUUCUUUCUUUGUCAGAUGGCUAAGACCAGGUUGACCGCUCAUAAAAGCACUAGAGGAUACUAGGUUGGCCUUGCCCCUGCUUAGCCAGCUGCUCUGAUUCAGCAUGUAGAGGAGGUUGAAGAAGAUUUGGAGGAGGUCUACAAGCUGCCCCAGCUUCAUACAGUCCUGCAUCAAUUGCCCCUACAUCAGAUGCUCCAGCACUAGCUGAUCUAGCUCCACCACCUGCUACCGAUGGUGGAGACCCGGACGACUCUGGGAAUGACAGCAAUAGUGAGGAUAAAGAAGAUGACGAUGACGACUACAACAAAAACAAUGACCACAAUAGCAACAAAGACCACAACAACAACCAUGAUAACAAUAGUGGUAGAGAUGGAAAUCAGAAUGGUGGACCGCAGAAUGUGACACCAGCUUGUGACUACCACACUUUGGAGGAUGAGUCUGGAUACUUUCCCACACUGCUCUGGGAAGUACUAUAGAGUUUGGGAAGCACCAUGAAGCCCCUCUACGACACUCAUCGUGUCUCCCACUCCACCAUGGAUGACUACUACGCCAGUCAGGUCCACAUAAGGGAACGGUUGGCGACUUCCAGAGUAUUGAGGACUUGCUCAGCACACGACUCCACUACGGCCCACGCCACCUAUGCCUCAGCCAUCAGCGACGCCGCCAGGAGAGCUCUGUCUUCCCUCUGCUUCACCCAUCUCCAGGAGUUGAGCAACACCAUCUACCGUAACCUGCCUCGCCGAGCUAGUGGCACUGAGGACACAGCUGUACAGUUGGGAGAAGCAGGAGAAGACUGCAUCAACAUCCUUGCUCGAGUCACCACUGCUCUCAACACCAACCUCGACGGAGCUAUUGCAGAGCUUGCCAAGACCAAUGAUAAGCUGCAAGAUGCUCACGCCAGGAUUGUGUAGCUUGAGGCACAGCUUGCCGAACAAGAGCCACCUGAGGAGGCAGCCGAGUUCCACUACCCCACCAUUUCACCACCCCGCAAGAGGCUUCGCUAUGGCGCGUCUGGCUCCAUCACCGGUCUUUUAGACUAGGUUGUGCUUUUAGGUUGCCUUCCAAAGUCUUUCUGUUAGAGCUGUUACUGUGAGGACGUGCGAUGUAAUAACGUUUGCUGGUUGAAAACAUGUUUGAUUUGGACCUUUGUAUUUUCUAGGAUAUUUUGUGAAGUGAUGGCCACAAAUGCAUCAUUACAGAAAAUAAAGUUUAUUAGUUUAUUGGGUCUAAAUCUUGGUUCUUUGCCCCUAUAUCUACCUUAUCAAAUCAUGACUCUUAUCCGAGAUUUAUUUGUCUAAUACUCAGAUGGUAAACACCAGGUCAGGAGGAGGACAAGACAUUCCAAGUGAGAGGCAUGCUCACAUAAUUAAUCAGCAGAAUCAAGCACCACCUCCACCACCAAGUUCGACAAUGGAACAAUUUUUGGCUGCUUAGAUGCAACUACUGCAGAACCUCACUACUACUAUUUAGAAUCUACAAGCUUAGCAGAAUCAACAACCACCACAAGCACCUCAGGCACCGAGAGAUAAGCAUAGGGAAUUCAUGAGCCACCACCCUCCUCCUUACUCUCACUCAGUGGAUUCAUUGGAUGCUGAUGACUAGAUGAAGGUCAUUAGUAAGAAGCUAGAUAUUACACAGUGCAACGAUCAUGAGAAGGUUUUGUAUGCUGCAGGAUGCUUGGAAGGAGUUGAAGCCAACUAGUGGGAUGCCUAUACUACUGCCCACGCCAAUGUUAAUGCUAUUACUUGGGAAGAGUUCACGAACAACUUUCGCACACACCCCAUUCUAGCUGGUGUGAUGAACCUCAAGUAGAAGGAGUUUCGAUCAGCGAGUAUUGGGACAAGUUCACAUAGCUGUCUUGUUACACGCCAAAUGAGGUGGACACCAAUGAGAAGAGACAUGAAAGUUUCCUGGAUGGACUGAUAGGGCCACUUAACUAUCAACUGCAGAGUCACACGUUCCCUAAUUUUUAGACACUACUAGACAAAGCCAUUGGUUUAGAGAACAAACAUAAGGAGCUCGGGGAACAAAAGCGGAAGUUUCAGUCGCAAGGUCAAUCUAGCAGGAACACCCACCCUUGCUUCAACUUAUCGCAGGGAUCACAAUUUCAUUCAGGAGGACAAGGUUGAAGCUAUCAACAGAAUCAGCAAUUCCAAAGUACCACUCAACAACCAUAGCGAUUCAAUCAACAAGCAUAGUACACCUCAAACCCACAGCAAAACCGAGCAAACAAUACCACAGGAGCACCCGUGUGUAACAAUCCAAUUACCCUGGUUCGACCCAAUGGAUGCUUCAAGUGUGAUGAAGUGGGACAUUAUGCCAAUAACUGCCCCAAGCAUGGAAUGCAGACCCCUCAGAAGACCAAUGGUUAGAAGUCUGGUCAGCAACAGUUGCAAGCGCGUAAUGGAAAUCCAAACUCUCAGGGCAACAAGGGCUAGCAGAACUUCAUGCAUGGUAGGGCGAACCACGUGAGAAUUGAGACAACUGAAGAAGCUCCAGAUGUUGUUUUUAGUAUGUUCCUCAUGAAUUCCGAACCUGCGUCAGUUUUAUUUAAUUCUGGAGCAUCACACUCAUUUAUAACCAAUCAAUUUGUGGCAAAACAUAACAUACCUAUGCAACCUAUGAAGAAAACUUUGCUAGUUAGCUCACUAGGUGGUGAUAUAAGAACAAGUCAAAUAUGCUCGCAAGUCAAUAUGAAAAUCAUGUGGGUAGAUUUCAUAGCCCACCUAGUGGUCCUAAACUCCAAAGGUAUUAAUGUGAUUCUUGGAAUGAACCGGUUAGGAGUAUAUGAUGGAAUUAUCCUAUAUGCCAAGAAGUCAGUGCUUUUAACUACCCCUCAGGGGACAAAAUUGAGUUUGUGGCUACUACCUCAUCUGAAGAAAAGGGUAUAGUCAAUCAAAUAAAAGGAAAAUCUUUGGAGGUGUUGACGCAAAAUCCUGAAGGUGGUGGACCCUGCAUCACCACAUGAGGACCUGGGAGAUCUGCUUAACUCCAGUGCAGAAUCCAAAUCGGCGCGCAUGGUGUGCGCGGGCAUGCCAUUCAGUUUGACCAUUCAACUGACAAGGUGGAGAUAAUUCUCUCGAAGUUCGAUGGAGUCGGCCGAUCGGGCCGAUUUAAUAUAAUUUACAAUAACCAUUAGCCAUACGGACGAUAGGAAACACAAUGCUGUUGAGUUGUUGCUCCACCAUAGCUAGAGCCACAAGCCGAUGAGAUCAAAACUAACAUCACCACCAAUAUUUUUAGGUGAAACCAUAGCGAUGCGCCCGGUAGUUGCAGUCUAGAAAUAUUUAGCAAGACGUUAAUCUGAACCCCGCCAGCUGAUGAAUCCAAUCACAAUGGAACUUACUCCCAACAGCACUCGAAGGGGUAACCAAGAUUAAGAUGCAACAGGCUAUUAAAUGAUCUAUCGUCUAUGAUGAACCGAUCUAAAGCUAAUUAAAGCAAACUGAACAGCAAGACGAAAGAAUAGAUAAAUAUCAGCCGAUGCAAGCUUAAUCAAGGCGUGAUAACUGGUGAAUACCGUAGAUCGAGACAGAAGCGAUGCGCCGUAAGUUAAAGAUCCAAGAUACUUGAUAAUUGGUAAAUGAAACUAGACAAAACCACAGCGAUGCGCCCGGUGGUUAAAGCCUAGAACACCUGGUGAUGGAACUUGCAGCUCGCCGGAGAUCGAGGUCGAUGCAGCCCAGCUUGCUAGAAGGAACUCGUCGAGAAUCUACAUUACUCCUACUCCUAGGGCAAUGGCGUGAAGCUGAAAGGUAAAGGUAAAUAUGUUGUAUUAUUGAUCGUGUGAUGAUUCCUUACAAUGGCCACGUCCCUUUAUAUUUAUAGGGCGGACGUUACAUAAUUGGCAUCUAACCACGCACAAGGCAAGUCACGUACACAAUCUUUUCUAAUAAAAAACUCUAUCUCUAACUAACCCAACUCUAUCUCUAAAAUAUUUAAUUCUAUGAAACAACCUCCCGUACAUGCACAGAUCGGCCGCAUGUAUAAUUAUUCUGGAAGCCUCACACGCAUGGCAUGCAAAGUGCACCAGAAUCCAUGUUGUAUAUUCUAAUCAUUUUUAUCCAUACGUGCUGGCCUUUCCUUUAUAUCAUCCUUGCCUCUCCUUGCCGAUCAAUCCAAUGAAGCCGAUUUGGACUCCGUGCCCAUAUACACGCAUGCUACCUUUUUAUUGUUGUACGUGACUCCAAUUAUCUUGUACUCCGAAUUUAUAGGAUUGGUCAAAAUCCGGUGUCAACAGGAGGAUAUCAAGGUUGUAUGCGAAUACCCCAAAAUGUUUCCCAAGGAUUUACCAGGUACGUCGCUUGACUGAGAUAUUGAGUUCUCCAUUGAUCUUUUACCUGGCACUUCACCAAUAUCUGAAAGACCUUAAACAAUACAUGUUAAGGAUUUGGUUGAGUUAAAGAAACAAAUAGAAGAAUUAUUAAGUAAAGGUUUUAUCUGUCCUAAUUCUUCACCUUGGGGAGCACCUGUAUUUUUUGUUGAUAAAAAGGAUGGCACCAUAAGAAUGUGUGUGGAUUAUAGAGCUCUUAAUGAUGUGACCAUUAAGAAUAAAUAUCCACUCCCUAGGAUUGAAGAUCUGUUUGAUCAGAUGAGAGGUGCAAAAGUCUUUUCCAAAAUCGAUCUAUAAUCAGACUAUCACUAGUUCAAGAUCCCAGCAGAAGAUAUACCUAAAAUGGCGUUUACAUCCAGAUACAACCUAUAUGAGUACACUAUGAUGUCUUUUGGAUUGACCAACGCUCUAGCAUAUUUCAUGUACUUGAUGAACAAGGUGUUUAUGGACUACCUAGAUAAGUUUGUGGUAGUGUUCAUCAAUGAUAUAUUGGUAUUUUCUUGAAAUGAAGAAGAGCAUGAGGAGAACUUAAGAUUAGUGUUACAGAAGCUUCAGGAGAAUCAAUUAUAUGCCAAAUUGAGUAAGUGUGAGUUCUGGUUGAAAGAAGUUUCCUUCCUUGGACAUGUUAUCACCGAUGGAGGAAUCACAGUAGACUCAAGCAAAGUUCAAGAUGUGCUGAAUUGGAAUCCUUCCAAGAAUGUGUCUGAAAUCAGAAGUUUUCUUGGAUUAGUAGGUUAUUACUGCAUGUUUAUUGAAGGUUUCUUGAAGAUCGUCAAACCCCUCACUUCAUUGUUAGAAAAGGGAAAAGAGUUUAAAUGGGAUGACAAGAAGUGAGUUUUGAAGAGCUGAAGAAGAAGUUGACUACAAACCCUAUACUGAUAAUGUCUGAUAUACACAAAGGCUUUGAUGUUUAUUGUGGUGCUUCACGUCUAGGUAUUGGAUGUGUACUAAUGCAAGAAGGUAGAGUAGUAGGUUAUGCCUCAAGACAGUUGAGAAACCACGAGAAAAAUUAUCCAAGUAAUGACUUGGAACUAGCUGUCGUUGUGCAUGGAUUUGGAGAUAUUACAUGAUCGGGAACAAGUGUCAGAUCUUCACUGACCACAAAAGCCUAAAGUACAUAUUCACUUAGAGGGGUCUUAAUUUAAGGCAACACAGAUGGUUAGAGUUGAUAAAGGACUAUGACUUGGAUAUUCAGUAUCAUCCCGGCAAAGCAAAUGUCAUAGCGUACGCCCUAAGUUGAAAAGGUCAAGCUAAUGUGACUAUAGUACUGUUGAUAUCUCAAGAGUUAUGUUGGGAAAUAGAGCGACUCAAUUUGGGAAUCAUUGCCCAUACUGAAUCCAUGACCAUGGAAAUUGAACCUACACUGGAACGAGAGAUAAGAAAAGGGCAAUUGACGAAUGCUAAAAUCUAGGUAACCAAGAUCCAAAUUGGUUUAGGAAAGCCCCCCAACUUCACUAAAGAUGAUCAAGGAAUGGUUUGGUUCAGGAAAAGGAUCUAUGUACCAGAGAUCGACCAUCUUCGUGAAUGCAUAUUGAAGGAAGCACACGAUUCGGCUUAUUCUAUUCACCCUUGUAGUACUAGAUGUAUCAAGAGACGUAGCAACCCACGUUGCUUUGUGUGAUGUAUGUUAGCAAGUGAAAGCAGAGCACCAAAGACCAGCAGGUUUACUUCAGCCAUUGAAAGUACCUGAGUGGAAAUGGGAAGAGAUCGGAAUGGAUUUUAUUGUUGGGUUACCCCACACUCGGGAUGGCUAUGAUUCCAUAUGGGUUGUUGUGGACAGAUUAACUAAGGUUGCUCAUUUCAUUCCAGUUAAAAUAACCUAUAGUGGACCAAAUUUGCAGAGUUGUAUAUGUCAAUGAUUGUAUGUUUACAUGGUGUUCCUGUUGCGUUCCAAUCUCUUGCGAGGUUAAGAAACAACACAAUAGGUAGUAAAUGAACUGCUCUCUAUUAAAUGAAGUGUCUGAAUCUCGUUACAUGAGGGGACGACCCCCUUUUAUACUGUCCAGAGGAUACCUACAAUUUACAAUUUUACCCUCUCUCACCCACUACAUCCUCAGUAUAUUCUGUACACAUUUGUCAUCUCAUGAAGUCACGUGUUUUGUCCUCCCAACAAUCCCAUAAAUCACACUCUCACAGGGUAUCGUAAUUGGUGUUGUCCUGUCGGUCAAGUCGCCUUCCCCCUUAGCUUCGCGUCUAUGCCCUAAUUCGUUCGCCACUCCUUAAUGAUGCUCCCAUAGCAAGUUGGCUUCAGUCUCUCGUGUUAUACUGACUUCGGGCCCACAAGUCCCCUGGCGAGGUUGAUGCUGCUCCUGCGGGCACCGAAGACAACGGACGGGCAAUGAGUCAGAAAAACAAAGGUUAGCUCAUAUUACCUUCACCUUUGAUUUUGGUUUGUCCCGAAGCUGGGUAAUCACGGCCCCGACCGAAGCUGAGCCCUUGGCGUGAAGUUGCAAAGUCCGCUGAGCCCUGGUGCAUAGAAAAUAGAGGUUAACCCACCUUGCCUUCGCCCCCGAUUUCGGUUUGUCCCGAAGCUGUAAAGUUCACCGAAUCUUGUCGCAUCUUUCGGGAGAGAGAUGACCUUGAGGGGGGCUGUUUUGGGCGAUUCCCCAACAGUUCCAAAGAAGAUAGUAUCUGAUCGAGGUACUCAAUUCAUGUCACGUUUCUAGUAGAAGCUACAUGAAUCAAUGGAUAGAAAGCUUAAUUUCAGUUUGGUGUAUCAUUCACAAAUGGAUGGUUAGACUAAAAGAAUCAAUCAAAUAUUAGAAGAUAUGUUAAGAGAUUAUGCUUUAAAGCAUAGAGGUAGUUGGGAUAAAAGUUUACCAUACGUAGAAUUAUCUUAUAACAACAAUUAUCAAGCCAGUCUUAAGAUGGCCCCGUUUGAAGUGUUAUACGGAAGAAAGUGCAGAACACCAUUGUUCUGGAGUCAGACUAGAGAAAGCCAAGUCUUUGUACCGGAAAUUCUUAAAGAAGCUGAAAGACAAGUUCAAAUAAUUUGAUAUAAUCUCAAGACUGCAUAGUCACAACAGAAGAGUUAUGCUGAUACUCGGAGGAGAGAAUUGACAUGUGAUGUUGGAGAUUACAUGUAUCUCAAGGUAUCACCUAUUAGUGGUCUUCGUCGAUUCAAGGUUAAAGGGAAGCUAUCACCUUGUUACAUUGGUCCUUUUCAAAUUUUGGAAAGAAAAGGAGAAGUGGCAUAUCAGUUAGACUUACCUGCUCAGCUAUCAGAUGUUCAUGACAUGUUCCACGUAUCUCAGUUGAAGAAGUAUCUAAGAGUACCUGAAGAACAAUUACCAUUGAAAGAACUCAAUGUGAAGGAUGAUUUGACUUAUUUAGAGUACCUUGCCAAAAUACCAGAAAUAUCUCAGAGGGUCACUCAGAGCAAGGUAACCAGAAUGUGCAAAGUAUAGUGGAGUCAUCAGUCAGAAGAUGAAGCUACUUGGGAAAGAGAAGAUGAGCUUAUCGAAUAAUUCCCUCAGUUGUUUUCCAAUCUCUCUGAAUCUCGAGGACGAGAUUUUCUUUAAGGGGGUAGGAUUUGUAACACCCAAAAGUUUCAUCAUAAACACAAUGUAAGAAACAUGUGGUCUAACUCUUUCUUUUCUAAGGACUAAAUAAAAUACUAUUAUUAUAUUAUAGCCUUUAAUAAAUUAAAGAACAAUUGAAAUAAUUGUUUAGAGACAAGUGCUUGUUAGGGUUGUUUGUUUGCUUCGGUUUUUGUUUGCAUUUGUAAAAUUUUAAAUCAAAAAUCUUAUCAAUCUUAUUUAUCUCUUUUUGUCCAACUCAGCAGGCCAGCCCACCUUUCCUCUUUCUUUCCCUCCCGGCCCGCUCUCUCUUUCCUUCUCCAGCCAGCCCACCUCCUCAUUUCUUUGCACCGACCCAAGCUGAUCCACCGGCCCCUCAAGCAUCUCCCCAGCCCAACUCCCCCUCUCUUCCCACCGACAGGCAGGGCCCGCCUAUCAGGCGCGUCCUCAACCUCCAGUUGUACCGCAACUCCAAUGCCUGCUCACCUCCUGUCGCCGCUCGAGCUCCUAUGCCCCUCCGCGUGCUUGCACCACGUCCAUCCUUCCUCGCAUUGAGCCCCUUCUUCUCUCCUUCUCUCUGUGCAGGUGCAGGAGGGCGAUCCCCAUCUAGACUGGCCAUGUGGAAGUAGGACCACCACCAUGUGUAGUUGGUCCCCCGUGUAUGCAUCAAUGCUGCACCUAUUGACUGUGACCUGGCACCCCGACAGUGAGCCAUGUGAUUUUCGCAUCUCAAAGGCAUGGUUUAUCCUCCCUCUUCCUGCUGCUGCUCAUCCUCCCUUGACCCUUCACCAAACUACUUGUUGCAAUCGGAAGAAAGAUCAAUCGAGUUGAAGAGAUGGAAGCUAGUCACCAUUGAGUGAUGUUAUGAUCCGUCCCUCUAUCAUAACCGUUGGAACCCAGCUGGUGCGAAAGCUAAUUACCUGAAGCAAUUGGUAGAAACGGAUAGUACUGGUUCGUUCACUUAUUUCUUUGCUCAAACUUAAUUUCUGCUUAAUGUUUGUGCCUUGUGGUGAGACUAUAUUAGCUGCUUAUUCUGCUGGUUGCAUGCAGAAUAGUUAAAUCAAGGCACAUGUCUUCAAUUUCUGAGCUAGUGCUGCGUGUCCGUGACGCAGAAGCACUGCCUCAGAUAGAUUAUCUUUGGGUGGCGCAGAAACUGGAACUAUCUUUGGGUGGCGCAGAAGCCGCACCUCUGUCACAACUGAGCAUAUCUGGCUGCAACUUUUUCUUCGUAUCAAGCCAGUCACAGCUAACACCUGGGGUCUGGAAAUGGUUUGAACAUCUUGCAAAUUUCAUAAUUGAAAAAUGUGAUGUGCUCAUCUACUGGCCAGAAGAAGUGUUCCAAAGCUUGGUAUCUUUGAAGAACUUAUGGAUUCUGUCCUGCAACAAGCUAAUAGGGCCCACAAAAGCGAAAGGUGGCGAACCUACACAAACAACAGAUCAAAUCUACACAAACAACAGAUCUAAAAAUAAGAGGAUGUGAUAGCCUGGUAACACUUCCAAAUCUACCACCGUCCCUCAAACAUUUUUUUAACUGCUGUGAGAAGCUGUGAGAAUCAUCAGCAGCUGUGAGAAGCUCUGCUCUGUGUCAGGAGACCUGUGUGCACUCGAGGAACUACAUAUUUUUAACUGCAAUAAGUUACAGUCAGUCAAUUCAUUGGGAGACCACCCAUCAUUAGAAACACUGUUUCUUUCUGGCUGCCGAUGCCUUGCAUCUUUAGGAUGUGAUGGUGGUCGUGGGAGUUACUCUGCUCUUCAGAGCCGUAAGAUCGAAUACUGCCCAGCCAUAGACAUGAAGCAGUUUUACUAACGCCAUCAAACAGCUGCUUGACAGCUUUGUAUAGGAAGACGUAUCACACGUUCAUUCAAGCAGCUCUGAUGAAGGUACGACCUUUCACUUUCCUCUUAUUCAAUUUGUUUCCUUCAGAUUUCCCUGCUUUGCAUGCCCUCCUAUUUUGUUGAUGAACUGGUUAAUAGAUGGGUUUGUGGGGUGGGAUUUUGGGGUUUCAUCUUCAUUCCGCGGUCCUUUCUCACUGAUGUAACCCCACAUAUUGUUGGUUUAUACGGCUGUUGGUUUUCAGUCUUGGAUGCAGUUGACGUGCAUAGAGAAAUUCUAGAAAUAUGUGAUAUCCCUUGGUGUUGAGAUCAGCUGAUGCGGAAUCACUGAAACGAGAUCCUGAUCGGUCUCAGUUUUGGAGAGCAAUUUCUGGUGAAUGGAAGCAGUCCCAAGGCUUGAAGAACUCAUGGAGUCGUACCGUACCAUUCUCCGCUGCCAGGGCCUAAACUAGGUACGUGGAAGGCGCACUGUGUUUUGUCAACAACACAAUUCCUUUAUAUAAGUUGGGAUAGUAAAAAACCAUGCCUUCGUCUGUGUUAAUCAAAUCUCAUUUAGCACAUAUAUGGUGGACGUGUUGUUAACUUGUUACCCCCAUGCUUUUCAUUUUUUCGGUGCAGACAUCAACCAUUUGUUCUUAAAUUAAAGCAUAAAGGAGGGCACUCACUUGUACACAUAUUCUUAAGUACUGGAACGACUGCCAUCUGUAUACUCAGCUUCAUUGCAAGUCUCUGCUAACGAUGACAGGCCUGCAGUGGAUGACAAAAACGACUAAGUUUGUUUUCACGGCACUACUAGCUGCUGGUAAUUCUCUCGUCACUAAUGCACACUACUCCCUUCUGUCAUCCAUCAAAGCUGUGGACAAUAUGAUGUCACUCUUAUUUUUUUUAAAAUGAAACCGGCAGGAGAGCUGCCCCACUAUAUUAAAAAGAAGGGACGCUCGAAGGGCCAGAGAAGUGUACACCCUUGACAAGGAAGAAAAAACUACACACACUGAAAAGAGAAACGGUGCACAAAAACACCCUCAAGAAAGCUGCAAUAAACAUGCCAGGGGUGCUUAGCCCCGACCGCCACCCAAGAAGUGGCCUCCCCUUUUAUUUUUGAGAAAACUUGCUAUGAAGAGGACUCUUUGUGAUUGAAAAUUCUUGCAUUCCUUUCAAUCCAAAGUUCCAACAGACCAAAAUGAUUAGGCUCCAUUCGUUCAAAAAAAAAUUUAUUCGUUCAAAAAAAAAUGAUUAGGCUCCUUAGCCCACUCCUAUCGACGCUUGGUGUCCUUGCCUGCGCUGUCCACCACGCGUGCACCAAAGUGCACGGCUCCCAGUUACUAGCAUUAAGACCUUCAUCUACCCAUGCAGCGAUCGCAUCCCAAAUGCGCCUGGUAAACCGGCAGUCUGUUAGGAGAUGCAUUCCAGACUCUUGAACCGUGCGACACAACGCGCAUGUGUCAUUGUGAGGGUAAUUUCAUUUUGCUAACCUAUCUGACGACGUCCAUAUCCUAUUUGGAUUGCCAACCAACUGAAGAAUUUGCACUUCGGGAGCACCACGGCUUCCACAUGAUCGCUUUAAAGUUUGUGAAGGUGGAGCCGAUAAAUUGUGCUUGGUAGGCCGAACUCACAGUGUAUUUAUUAUUCUCUGUCAUUUUCCAUACAAUGUUGUUUAGGUUGUCUGGUAUGAGUUGAACCUGGGCUACUGCUGUCCACAAAUUGCAAAACUCCAUAAAAUACCCCAAUGCUAAAUUUACACUCGACCGGACGUUCCCAUCCUCGUGGUCGACGCGCACCGGUCCUCUCAUCAGUCCAUCAUGUGGGCCCCACUCCACUUUCUUUUCCCCUCGCACGCGCUCUCUCUCCCCUCUCCAUUCCCCUUCUCAUCCUUCUCUUUCUCGAUUUCUUCAUGAGAUCCACCGGAGCGACUCUGCAUGUGGAGCUGUUCCACCCAACGUUGAGCACAGUAGCAACAGGCCUGGUGGCGGGCAGGGGAAGCAGCGAGGCUCCGCCCUGCAGCACACAGUAGCGCUCGAGAUCAUCCCGCGAGGAGCGGGGGAAGGAGCACUAGGACCAUCGAGGGCACCGCCGUGGUCUUGACGAUGAGUGGCUGAUGGAUCUUGGCGAGCUCCGCCGUGGCCGCGGUCGACAGCGAUCUAUUCAUUUUUUUCCUUCCUUUUUUCUCUUCUACCUUUUGUCUCAAAAUCUUUUGUCUGUAUAAAGUUUUUGCUUCCAUUUUUUUUUAUUUCUUUGCAUCGUGAAUUUUUUCUCCAUUUUUUUGCUUCAAAACUUUGUCAAAAAAAUUUCUUUUUCAAUACUUUUUCCAAAAUUUUGUCUCAAUUUUUAUUUUCUGAGUUUUGUUUUCACAAUUUUGUCUUUUAAAAUUUUUUGUCCAAAUUUUGUUUCAAAAUUUUUGUUCGCAAACUUUGGUUUCCAAGUUUUCUAAAAAAAGUUAUCCCCAAACUUUUGUUUUCGAACUUUUUUAUAAAAAAUUCUCAUUUUUUGUUUAAUGAAACAGGAAUCACACGUGGGAAGCCGUUCUGACGUGUGGUUGGAAAUCGACCGCACAGAAGGCUCCCACUGGUCACAUGUAAACUUGCGUCCCCCAUAAAAUAAAUCUGUGUGAGGCUCGAGGUUGAAGGCCUAAUAAGGGCAGCCACAAGACUAUGCUUGAUAGUAGAGAGAAGUUUUGGUUGCCAUUAUAGCCGUCGAUGCUGAGUUAGAGCCCCAAUGCUUGGUUAGUAAAAUAUUGUUCCAUAGCAGGGAACAGGCGUUGCUGGGCAAAGAGAAGUGCAGGAGAACCAAAAGGAAACAGGUACAACUAGCUAAAGAAGCCAGCAGCAGUAGCGGAGGGAGGAGGGGGGGGCACGGGGGCCUGGCACCCCCCACCCUCUGCGGCAUCCGCCCCUGCCCCUGGUGGCCUGGGCCUCUCCUGGCAGGCAGGCACCCCCUGAUGGCCUGUGUGCCUAUCGGCCUGUCACCAGUCACCCCUGGCGAGCGGCCUGCCCGGCUGGCCUAAUAAAAAAUUAGAAGCACCUCCCAGGAGUCCUGGCCCUGGAAUAGUCCGCCCCUGGUAGCAGAUUAGCAAAUAGGCACAUCAGGUCAAAUCAUAUUCCGCUCCUGGUAGCAGUUUUUUGUUCCUAGCUCGCGCCGCUAGUCGAAUCGUAUUCUGCCACCACCAGUCAAAAAAGCAAAUAGGCACAUCAGGUCAUCCGUCAUCAGGACAUGAGCACGAAGCACCAGAGUACGAGGACAAGGAUGAAUGGAUCACUGACAUGACUCGCUGUUGUUUUCUUCGCCAGGCGUCAGAUUGUUGCUGUCCGCAGGUAAUCCAUAAUCAUAAAUCAUCCAAUGAUAUUCUCUUAUCUAAUUAACAGUCACUAGUAAUUCUAAAUUUCCCCCUCUAAUUUAAGUAUUGAUGAUAUUAUUACAGCGUACGAUCUUGCUGCUAGUCGAAGAGCUAAAUUUAAGUUGAUAGAUAUGUAAUUUUAUUUUAGUUAAGACUUGUGAACUAUGCUAUUAUUAUAUCAUUAUAUGCGACUAAAAUCAGCUCACGUGGCUAUCAGUUCUACGUUGCUUUGUCCAUUGCUCCCCUUACCUCAAAUCCUAGCUCUGCCCCUAGCCAGCAGAGAGUAUUUAUGUAAGGUUUCUUAAUUUAUGGGAACCAAAGCACACUCAAACCAUAUUCCAGAAUCUUAUUACAUGCAGAACCUGAAGUAAGGGAGAUUGAAACAUAUGGCACGCAUGCAUGCCUUUAAUUACACUAAUACCAGAAAUUAAAAUACACUGCUGCCACAAGUAGUAUAUAUAUUAAGGUAGCUGGUGUCACGCCAACAUCUGACGCAUGGUAAUGACGGGGAGGACCUGGACGUAGUACUCGAUCCUGUAGGCAACCUUGAGUAUGAGAUCGGGUUGCUGCCAAUUGUAGCCGCCGUCGACGCCGCAGAGGAAGGUCUGCGCGAUCCUGGUAUUGUUCUUGUGCUGCUGGUUGUGCAACACGAUCUUGUACGCAUCUCGGAGAUGUUCUUUCAGACUGCUCACCAUCGACCUGGUGUUCUGGUCCCGCGACAGCUUCCAGGACUGGGGCUGCUGCAUCAGGUCGGCUAUCUGCUGUACGAAUUGUACCAGCUGCUGGAUCUCCCCCCUGUUCUGCCUCAGCGCCUUCGCCUCCUGCACGAUAGAAAGUGCGAGGCGCACGACCUCGUCAUGGUCGCCGGUUCGAGCCCCCUGCUGGUCUCCGCGUCCUCCUGGACCUACCGACAACGCGCUGCUCCUCACUGCAUUCACGUCCCUGCGCAUGCAUGCCGAUCAUCUCUGGUUAAAUUUUUCGUUAUUUACGUACUCCAUAUAGGAAGUACUAUAUGAAUGUUUUAUAUAUCAGCACACGAUGAAUACCCGUCCGUGAUGUCCCUGAUUAUCAACUCCAUCACACUUUUAGCGUCGGAUGACAUAUUGUCCAUGUUAGUCAAGUUCCUGAUAUGAUAGAUGACUUCAGCUCCUCUUUUUCGCUCUGAGAGUGGUCAGAGUACAAAAAAUCCAAAGCUUCCAUGCAUGUUAAAUAUUCAAUAAGACAUGCAUAUAGUAUGAAUAUAGUCAUAAUGAUCAUGUCAUGCAUGAGCUUGGUCAAAAACUAUUAAUAUAUCGCAAAAUCAGGCAACAAUGUUAAUCUACCGCUCCCUCCAUUCUCUUUAGAUAUUAAUCCUUUUCGAACACUAGUACAGUCUAGUAUUGUGCACCCUAAAAGAGUCCAACGUGAUGUAACAUGGUGCUGUCUAUAAGUCAUAGUUUAUGUUUUGAACUUUACUACCUUUUGUUUUUUUAGAUAAUGGAUAAAUAUCCGGCUUCACCCUCCUCUUUCGACGAGGCGGAUCAGUCCACAAUUAUUACAAAACGUAGCUUGUUGCUACAUCCACACUAUGGUUUCGACCAAUCAAACCGACUCAAAGAAAUGAAUUCUGGAAUCAAAAGGUAGCUUGUCACUACCUUUUAUUUAUGUUGCAUUGUUCAUUGCCACAAAUUAUUUGCAAAUAUGAAUCUUAUAAUGCUAAACUUUUAUGGUACAAUCUACGUACAGUUUCUUUCUCAAGUUUUGUAGUUGUUUGCCGUUGAGUAAUAUGUAAUUCCGAUGGAUUCAAGAGUCUAGCUAGCUAGAUUUUGGUACCUGUGGAAGGCGCUUGCAAGCACCAUUUCGAAGCAGCUUCUCAAGCACGUUCAUGAAGAAGCGCUCCUUAUUGAUGCUUACAAUGAGGAUCAUGUUGGCAAUGUGGAACGACUCCAGGAUUUUGGAUAUCCGUGCAUCAACGGCGACGAUCUUGUUGGCUUUCUUUUUGGUUUUGAAGACAAGCGACCAAGUCCUCUUCUCCCUGCAGGACUCAACGAGCGCCUUCCCGUCGUUGAGCGCAUCUUCAAGAUGUUUCAGCGUGCUGUAGGUCACUGGGUCCGGCAUCCACUGGCUUUUCAGCUCCGUCAGGAGGAGGUUAAUCAUUUGCACGUGGUCUUUUAGCAGAGUACAUUUCUCCCUGUUGCGCUGAGCCGCCUCCGCCAGCCGAUUGAUCUGUUCCACGAUGCUCAUCAACGACGAAAUAAGCCCAAUUGCUUCGGCCACCCCAACCAUCUCGAUCGAUUGCGCUGCGCCUGUAUGCUUGCAACGUCAGAUUUGCACGUAUAUGAGUAUACAUGUCUACCCUCCGCCAUCCAAAAACAAUUGGAUGCCGACAAGUGGUAUUGACAAGUCUAUGUACAACACGUGAUGUCAUGUUAAAUUUUAGGUAAUUUUAGCUUUUCUAGAUUCAUAGAUAGUAUUAUGUAUCUAGACAUCCGCUAUGUCUAGGUGCGUAACAAAAACUAUGCAUCUAGAAAAUUCAAAAUGACCUACAAUUUGGGACGAAGGGAGUACACCCUAAUAAAAAGAUUAAUGGUGGAGCCCGAAGCCCAAUUUAUCGUAUAAAAAUAAUACUUGUAAAUAUAUAAAUUUAUUAUAAAAUAUAAAAACUCGAUUGACUAUCUUCUUAAUUAAUGGAGAAAUAUAGGCUGUGAAUUUUCAAAAGGAAAAGGAAAAAGUGUAUUUUUCAUCCUUCAAGUAUUGCAAAAGUGUAACAUUCAUCCUUGAUGUUUCAUUUGGUACAAAUCAAGCCCUGAACUAACUAAAUCGGUUCCAUGUAUCAUCCCCACCUUAGUUUAAUAAUUGUCUAGUGUCAUAUAACAUCGGUUAGACCAUGUAAUCAUCUUCAUAAUUAGUGUUUAGCCAUGUAUAAUAUUUAGUCAAUUGAUUCAAUAGUUUGGUGUGAAUCGGUUCUAUUAAUUUUUCUGAUAAAAUAGUUAUGUGGUAGUCAAUUUAGAGGAUUUAGUUUUCUUUGGGGCUUUAUAUCUUCGACUCAAUAUAUCACAUCACUAAGCAGUGAUUCUGAUGGUACGGAAUAUCCCUAGGAUGUAGUGGUUAGGCAUGGGUAUAACAGGUAUACGGAAAUGUAACUUUACAACACUAUAUAAGGAGGGGAACAGCCCACUAUAAUGGACACUAUUCAUUGAUAAGACAGCGAGUGAUAUCUUGUUUCCUUCGUGUUCGACUGUUACUUCUUCCCAUUUAUUGUGACCUCGCCUGCCCGUGAGGUUAGGUCCUAACACUCCCCUUCACUCCCGUUGUUGGCCGUGCCCGGUGCCAUCUUGAAGCCGAUGCUGCUCAAGCCUAGUGAGCGAGUGAAGGCCGGAGGUGGUUGGCGUGGGCCACGGAGGCCCUCGGGCGGCUACCGGGAGGAAGGCAUGGCGACAGGCCACCUGGGAGUGGCACGGUGGUGCAUAAGUGGCGUCGUACUUAGGAGUGGCAUGGUGGUGUGCGGCGUGGGUGUUGGCAGCAGCACGUCAAGGAUGCAGCUCUGUGUGGCUUGGAGGCAUUGUGGUAGCGCAACCAAGGGUGGUUCGCGCGAGUCUUGCUAGCGACACCAUGGUGGUAAAGCCAUGGAGGUGUGGUUGGGCAGCAACUAGCACGAGACUAUAUAUAUGUUAAUGCAAAUGAAAACUGUAUAAAUGUUCAUGCAAGUGUCAUAUAUGUGUGUGUGUUCAUUCAAAAAGUCGUAAGGCAGCAACUAGCACGAGACUAUAUAUAUGUUCAUGCAAAAGGUCGUAGGGCAGCAACUAGCACGAGACUAUGUAUAUGUUAAUGCAAGUGAAAAUUGUAUAAAUGUUCAUGCAAGUGUCAUAUAUAUAUAUAUAUAUAUAUAUAUAUAUAUAUAUAUAUAUGUGUGUGUGUGUGUGUGUGUGUGUGUGUGUGUGUGUGUUCAUUCAAAAAGUCGUAGGGCAGGCACUAGCACGAUACUAUAUAUAUGUUCAUGCAAGUAGUGUCUCAUUAAUCAUAGCGACGUAACGCCAAAACACAUCAACCAGUUGCAUGCGUAUAUCUAGGCGUUUUUGACCUGGUGUCACUACUACAUACAUAGUUCAGCUAUAACCAACGCUUUUAGAAAGAGUGAUAAUUUCGGCACCGUUACAAAGACCGCAAAAGACCUCUUUCAGAAAGAGCUUAUAAUGUUGCCAUGAUGCACCCACAAACGUCGAUCGCAAAGUCAGGACAGCAAGACAAUUAAGCAAGGAAUCAAAUACUCCUUGGCAUCAUCAACACCCGAAUCACCCUACUAGCUAGCUAGCUACUUGUACAUUCAGAAUUCAGAGCAGCCCUGAACUAUCCUGCUGGGGAAAAGGGGAUAGCCGAGAGACGCUUGCUACCGGCCAGACUCCAAUCUCAGGCCACCGACUGGAUCAAAGCUACCGUACCCUUGAUAAGAAUCCUAAUGAGUUGGAGAGAGAGAGAGAGAGAGACGGAGCCCAAGAACUCACCUUUCUGCAGGGGUCUGUAGCCUCUGGACGCUUCCUCCUCGUCCUAUACUCUUCCGAGCCCAGGCCUCUCCUUCCCCUUUGUUUCUUCCUCGAACCCCUGCAGUUCUUGGAAGUUAUAUUAUGCCGCACUCGCUUCGCAAGAACCCCUGCAGUUGAAUUUUAUGUUAGAAUAUUGUAUGGGCGAAUCAAAGAUGAUAUGACCAGUUCGUUCAAAAAAAAAGAUGAUAUGACCAAGGCAUAUAUAAUAAUCUCUAAUUAAAGGACUCAAGCUGUUUCGCGUACCAUAAUUAUUCUCGGAAUUUAUAUCAAAAGAAACUCUUAAUUUUAAUUCUUCACACAAACUAUUUUAAUAGAAAUAUUCUAGAGAAUACACAAACUAUAGCACAUAUUUACCGUAGCAUCACAUAACCAAGCCAUCACAUAUUUCACUACUUCAGCAGACUGAAUAUAUAUAGAAACUCCAUGUACAAGCAAGAGUGCGUUGCACGUAGGCAAAGGCAGACACUUCUCCAAAUUUUGGUCCCAGCAGAACCAAAAGAUUAAUUAGAGCCACGCGCUUAGGACACAAAAGGUGUCUUUCCCUAUCAACUUGAUCUUUUGUACUACUUAAAUGGUCCAUGACGAUGAAACUCGAUGCUUGAAAUAGGAGAGCCCUCAUGAUUACACACAUGAGUUCUUUCUGUUGGAACAUGAAGAUGUGAGUGUACUGAAUUCGAUCUAAUGAUCUGCAUGAGGUGUUCUGUCAAAGCAUAUAAUCAUUCACCUACAACGCUUCCAAGUUCUGUCUUUCUGAGUAUAUAAAAACCAUGGUAUGUAUGAAUCUAACUCUGUCCAUACGUCUGGUAGUUCAGUCCCUGCUAUUUUUACUAACCUUGUCCUCUAGGUAGAAGUACGGUGGACUUUCAGCGUUGGGUCCUGCAGAGCGAUGGACUUUUCGGUAUGGUGCAGUGUGCUCCUUUCUUGACUUAUGCUAACAGUCUAACACAAAGUUAUGAUUAGGAGAUUGACGACCGUGUGUGUGAUCUGAGGCUGACAACGGCAUGGUGGAGAAGUUCUAGUAGCUACACGGCUUGCAGCGGACUGUGGCGGCCAGUCCUGCAUGGCAGCGACUGGUUUGGCGUGGGGCAUCAUCAGAAACGAUGGCGCUGGCGAUAAGGGCUACUUGCCGGCUUUUUCUGCUAGGUGGUAGUGGUGCAGAGUGGUGGUGGUGCGCAAUGAAGCUUCCAUAUGGCAGUCGUGUGUACAUGUGACUAUGUGAGUCCCCUCCUUUAUGCUUUUCCAGAAAAAAUGAAAAGCAUAAAGAGGGCACUCACAUGCCUCCUUGAUGAAGCUAGCAGCGUUGGGAUGGGUCUCAUGAUUCUUUCGAUUGUUAACAUGGAUCUCAUGGUUCUUUCGAUUGUUGGGAUGGGUGGGAUGGGCAAUGCCACCUUUAAUUUGUGCAACUCAUUUAUAAUGACCUUGCAAUCGUGAAGCAUUUUGAGCUUCAGAGGUGGUGCUCUGUGUCAGAUUAGAAAAAAUCAUUGCAAGGAUGCAUAUUAGUGAUGGAAACUUAUAGAAUGUUUAUCAUUCAACUAACUCAGAUUUUUAUUUGUUCGGUCUGCCUACGCGUCACCUGAGUGAAACAUUAGCCUUCCUCACUCGAACCUCACUCGAACAUCCGAUCCGACACCUUUCCUUCAUCUUCUAUCUUCUAGUGAAGUAUAUAUCUAGGCACGUAGCAAAAAUUAUGUAUCUAGAAAAAAUGACCUACAAUUUGAAACGGAGGGAUUACGUUGGAACAUCAACCAAACAAAUGGACAAACCCUUUAAAUUAUUUGGCCUCCAAGAAUGCCAUACGACCUGAAUGAAUAACUGAAAGCUAACAGUGCUUGUUGUACAUACCAGCUGAGCUGCUUGACUUAGCUAUGUUUAUUCGGUCUGUUCGUGACCCGCGCGUGAUCUAGAGUAUUCGUGUGUUGGCUAGAAAAAGCACCAACACUAUAUUUAUUUGCAAACAGGUUUUAAAUGCAAUACAAUAAUUCAGAAAUCUAGACAUCCUGAGCCAUGCGAGGGAUAAGAAGAAGCUUCUCCUUCCUGUGCACAUCCAACCCAUACGACUCUGCCAUGUCGAUGCCUGCCGACCCCGGCGGAAGCUCCCAGUUGAAGUGGUAGAUGAGGUUAGCAAGGAUGAUCUCGAAGGAGGCGGUGGUGAAGUUCACACCCGGGCACAUCCUUCGCCCGGACCCAAACGGCAGGAAACGGAAGUCGUUCCCCAGGAAGUCGGAGGCAGCAUCCACGGCUUCCUCCAUGAACCGCUCCGGCAUGAACUCCUCUGCACUCUCCCAGGUGGUGGCGUCCCUGCCGAGAGCCCACGCGUUGACGAUCACACGCGUCCCAGAGGGUAUGGUGUAGCCCUCCACGUCGCAUUCGGCCAUGGCCAGGUGGGGUAUCAGAAGAGCCCCCGGCACGUGCAGCCGCAUCGACUCUCUCAUCACGGCCUUGAGGUAGCUCAUGCCGCUGCUCAGGUCGUGUUCGGUGACCAGUUCCUUCUUCUUCCCCUUGGAUGCUGCACACCCCCUCACCUCGGCUUGAAGCUUGGUCAUCGCCUUGGGAUUACGCAUCAGCUCGGCCAUGGCGUAGUCUAGGGCUAUGUAGGUUGUGUCCGUCCCGGCUUCAAACAUGUCCUACAUGAACAUAUCGAUCAGUCAUAUGUACCUCUCGUGAGAAAUAAAGUGGAGCAUAUAUGCCUUGUUUACCGAGAGCAAUUAUUUUGCUGAGUGUUUCUCUGGCGGCACUUGGCAAACGUAUUGUUUACCGAGUGUCCGAUGGAAUGCACUCAGCAAAAACCACCAGACACACGGCAUAUCUACUAUUUGAUAAAUUAAACAUACCAUCAGUAUCGCCUUGACGUUGUCUGUGGUCAGGCCGUACUCUUGUUGAACGGCAAGCAGCACGUCGAUGAAGUCCUCCUCGUCCUCACCAUCGACGACCGUCUUGCUCUUGUGCUUGUCGAUGAGGCUGUCCAAGAGGUCAUCCCAUAUCUUCCUGUGCUUCACGGCCUUGGCCGACACCAUGUCGAACCUCGCCAAGCUCGGGAAGUAGUCGUCCAGGUUGAAUCCCCCCAGGAGCUUGGCGUUCGUCUCCAGCAGCUCCCGGAACAGCUGGUUCCGGCCUUGUUCCCUGGGGAGCCUGCCCGUCACGGCCUGGCACACGAUGUCGUUGGCGAAGAAGCUGAAGAGCUCGCUGACGUCGACCGCCAUGCCCAUGGUGGCGGCGGCCGUCACCUUUGCCAAAACCAGCUGGACCUCGUGCUCGCGGGCGGCGCGGUUGGACCGGACCUUCGCCGCGGUAAGGAGGUGGGUGGUGAUCACCUUCUUGGCCUGGCGCCAGUACUCACCGUAGGGGGCGAAGCCGACGUCGGUGCAGCCGUAGAACAGGACGUCGGCCACCGCGGAGCGCGGCCGGGAGGCGAAGACGUGGUCGUGCGUGCGCAGGACGGCCUUGGCGGCGCCGGGGGAGGAGACGACGAGCGUUGGCACGGCGCCGAGGCGGAGGAGCAGCACGUCGGGGCCAUGCCUCUUUGCGAGGUCGCGGAGGGAGUGGUGGGGAAGGGAUCCGAUGAGGUGGAGGUGGCCGAUGAUCGGGAGCUUGAACGGAGGCGAUGGGAGCUUGCUGAGCAGCUUCUCGGACCUGGACUUUGGCGUAGCCAGGCGAACGGCGACGACGAAGAGGAGGAAGACGAGGGCUAGGGACUGUGGAGAUGCGUGCUCGAAGAGGUGCUCUAGCACUGGAGCCAUGGCGGCUGCUGUGCUCGAUCAACAGCUAGCUUGUGGUACUGUGCCCGUUGCAAUUUCUAUAGCGCUCUGAAGUUGGCAUUCAUUCAUGAUGCAUCGGACGAAGUGAAAGAACAGUAAUUGUGGACUUAUGGUGUGUUUAGUUGACAUAUAUUUAAUUAGUUUCUAAGUACUAAUUGCACAUGGAGUAACACAAGUGAAGCUUUAAAAAAAAAUAGAAUGGAUACGGAGGGAUAAUUCAUCGGUAUCCAUGAAUUGACAAAGCACAUCUCUCAAAGCACAUCUCUCAUCCAUGAAUGGAUAUGGAGUAACAACAUAAAUAAUUCAUGGAUAUAUACGAAGGGAUUCGAUCCAUCGGUAUCCAUGAAUUGACAAAGCACAUCUCUCAAAAACCCACAAGUUCUUGAGUGCAACUGCAUUAUUUAAGAUCCCAUGCAUGUGCUAUUUUCGUUGUCCGUAUCCAUCAGAUGCACACAUCCAAAAGUGCAAACGUUGACAAAAACCCGGCCACAAGUUCUUGAUUUGCAACCCCAUGUGCUAACUGGAAGGCCACUAUUAUUUUUUUUUGUAAUUUCCGCACCAGCCUGUUGAAUGUUUGACAAAACAACGGCACCUGUUUUUGUAAUUUCCGCCACCGUGCCUCCCUCCUCUCCGCCGCGGGUCACCACCGCGCCUCCCUCCUCUCCCACGCAGGUCACCGCCGCGCCUCUCCCGUAGGCCGCUGCUGCACCUCCCUCCUCUCCCCUAUAGGCUCCACCGUAUCCAGUGCCGUGCCUCCCUCCUCGGUUAGUUUUUCUUUUUAUAAUCCGAUAAUCUUAAUUUUGAUGCACUAAAAUGAUUUUUAAAUAAUUUCAUGAAUUAAAGAUGAUGUUUGUGGAAUAAUCUAUCUUAUUGCAAUUUUGAUAUAUGACAAAGUGGAAUGAAAAAUGUUCUGUUGAUAUAUACAUGAGAUCUAAAACAAGAAUUGUAAAUUUCUUCCAUUAUUUUGUUGCCUAUCUUUUAUUCUUAGAAGUAUGGACAAUCUUUUAUUCUUAGCAUUUCGUAAAUUAUGAUGUUUUAUGGCGUAAUGAUUAUUGAGUAGAUGUUUGUGGGAUAAUCUAACUUAUUACAAUUAUAUUUGGAUAGUUUGGGUUAACGCGCAAGUUGUCAUUCUUUCCGCCAUGAUGUUGGCGGCCGUGGUGGUGGUGGCGGCCGUGGAAGUGACAGUGGACGCUACAUUUUUGUGGAGCCACCAUUAGCUCAUCCUCCAUGAAUUCACUUUCCUUUUCACGCCAUUGACUUGCCUACCGGUGAUCGAAGUAAAGGAGUAAUUCUCAACAUAGUAAUAUUAUUUCCUUCUUAUAAUUGAUAUUUUUACUACACAUGAAUAAUUCAUAAAUUUACUUACAUACAAUGUAGCUUAUCAACCCUAUUAGAUGGCUCAAAGAAAUUGGCUCAAAGAUGUUGUCGAAGCUCUAGGUGGCACUUCUCCUUCAGUGCAAUUUGAGGCCUACCUACAACAGCUUAAGGAUCAUGGGUACUAUGUGCUAGUCUUAUCAUAUUUUUGAAUAAAGGCACUUUAGGUGGGAGAAAGCAAUGUGACAAUAACUACCGAGAGACUUUGUUAGCCGAAUGAAAAUGACAUGGUUUGGAACAUAUCUAAUAAAUCUUUUAUCUCUAGUUAUGUUACAUUUUUUAACUUUCAUCGUGUUAUUCUCAUUUUUAUGUUAUCUUUGGUCAAACCAUUGCAGCAAUAAGCUUUCAUGCGAUUCUGGGAUCAACUCUUGGAUGUGUUGAAUUAUAGUUACAUAAAUGGAAAUCCGAUACGCCCCAGAGAUUCCAAGCUCCAGAUUCAUCUCACUUUCUAAAGGGUAUAUGAGUUUACCUCCCUGUUGUUCGAGAUUUAUGGUAGUGCAUGUGACUGUUCAUGUGAAGCGAUAGAAAGUGCACUAAUCCAUGUUGUAGUUCAUAUUGAUGAAGUUAAAGGCUUUAGGAUUGGAGACUUAAACUAUGUUGAAUAUCUAAGGAAGCGAAGCGGAGUAUGAAAUAUGUAGCGAGCACUGCCUUGGUCGGCAUUGUCGCGGUCCUUGCGCAGCUGCUAGCACUAGUCUCUUGCUGCAUCUGCGUUAGCAACGGAUUGUUGUUGGGCGUUGACUUGCUCCUGCUGGCACCGUGCUGCACGGUUUUGAUUCUUGGCAUUACGGCCUUCUUCCUAAGAUUCCAUUUUGCCAUCAUGUGGUGGCUCAUCAGCGGAGACCAUGAAAGCUUCAUGAUCGGGCGUGAAGGAGUUGCUCUCAUCAUCGCUUCCAUAAGGAUUUGGUGUCAGGACGAUGCGGGGCACCUACAAUUCAUCAUAGUUUGGAAACUGGGUGGAUUUGGGCAGGUCUCUAGAUUGCAUCUGGAAAACCUAGUCAAGCUUACCGGAGUACUCGACGGCCGAGUUCCGUAGACUGAAAGGGAUGGGGAACGGACCCUACGCCAACCUUGUUGAGCAUAGUGCCACCUCAGAUAACUCUAUGCACUCAGCAAUAGUGCUGCUGAUGCGAUCUAGCUCCACGAUCAGAUUGUUGGGCAUGCGUGGGCGGGCGCCGACGAGUAGAUCUGGAACCUUCUUGGACAAAGAGAGAGUUCGCCGCCUUGCUAGGAGAGUGGCAUGACGAUCCUUGGGUGGAGAAUUUUUUUUGCUGCAACAGAUCCGACGGAAGCCAAGCUGGUUGUGGACGCUGAUUCGAUGGAAGACGCCAAGUCAACAGAACAAGCGGUCGGAUCGAAAUCUGCCAGCAUGGACCUGAAGUGAAUCUAGAUUGGGUUGUUGAGGAUGUCCUUCAUGCUCUCGGAGAAAACAACAUCGGGAUGGGAUGCCAUCAAGGUCGCAAAAAGGACCUCACAACCCCCUACCUGGUACACCAACUGUUCGAUUUAGUAGCCCGACAGUCCACAAGGUGGUUACCUAAGUAGUUAAUUUGUAGGCGAGGGUGAUUGCGAAACCAUGAACUCGAAGGUAAUUGCGAGAACAUGAAGGGGAUACGAGGGUUUUUAGACAGCUUCUGGCCUCUAGAGAGAGUAAUACCCUACGUCUUGUAUGCUUGGUAGUUUGUAUUGAUUAGUGGUUCGAUGCGAUUCGAUUGGAUUGCCCUCGGGACUACAAUUUAGUUUAAAUCUAAUCUACUUGGUAUUAACAUGGAAGGUAAUCUGAGUUGGACUACAAAACGUGUUCCAUGAUAUCCAGAUAGAUUUGGACUGUCUCAUUGCCUUCAAGUAACUUCAUGUCCUCAGCCCGCACGCUCUGGUCGGGCAGGCCCACUUGUCAGGUCCAGCCAGUAUCCUAGUCGGUGGGGACCCAUGGGGUACCCAUAUCCCUUAGAUGUACUCGGUACCAUUUUCACAUGGAUUUGAAGUUGUUCUCUCUAAUACCUUAAAUAUUGAUGUAAGAACUUGUGAGACUGGUUAUAUAUAUAUAUAUAUAAAUAUAUAUAUAUAUACAUAUAUCUAUAUAUAUUUCAUUGCAUAUACAUUGUUCUAUGAUUGUCUGAUCUGAAUGGGUUGAUACUAGUGAGACUUGGAUUUAAAUGGGUUGAUACAUGGGAGAACCACUUUUAAAAAUUUGGUGUGAAAAUGGCACUGAAUUUGGGGUUUGCUGAGUGUCAAAAAAUAAGGGGUUUGCCGAGUGUCAAAAAAUUACACUCGGCAGGGGGGGUGUUGCCGAGUGUAAAAAACCAACACUCUGCGAACAUUAAAAACCAAAAAAACCACCCCCUCCACGCCCCUAAAAUCACGCGCACCUGGCCCCCUCCGCCUUCCCCAUCCCAACCCCUCUGCGUUCCCCACUCCCUCUACCUCCCCCGCUCCCUCUCCCACGCCUGCCGCCAGGGGCCGCCCCCCGCCCCACGCGCGCGCCGCCAGCCACGCCCCCCAGCCCCGCCGGCCGCCGGCCCCUCCCCUCCCCUUCUUCUUCCCUGGUGCCAGCCCUCCCCCUCCCCUUCUUCUUUCCCGACGCCGACCCUCCCCCUCCCCUCCCUCACCCUCCUCCCACCCUCCCUCGCCAAAUCCGGCGCCCCCUUCCCGGAUCCGGCGGCGUAGUGGAAUGGGUGGUGGUGGCACAGCAUGUGGCGGUGUUGGCUUGGUGGUGGCAGUGGUGGAGCCGGUGGAAGAGGUGGCGUUGGUGGCGGCGGCCUUCGGGGUGGCGGAUUCGCCGCCUCCUCGCCGGAUCCGGCGGAUCCACCGUGCCCCUCCCCAGAUCCACUGCGCCCCUCCUCGCAGAGCCGUCUGAAAGCGUGGUGAAGGCGGUGGUCGGUGGUGGCGUGGUGAAGGUGGCGUCGGGGAGUGGCAUGGUGAAGGCGGCGUCCUUGAGUGACUUUUUCACCAAGCCAGCGGGGAACAUGGGGGCUUCGGCCAGCAGCAUCAAGCCGGCGGCAAAGGUGGAUGGCAAGGCCAAGCAAGCGGCGGCGAGCAGCUUCGAGCCGGUGGCGAGGUCGGAGGGCAAGACCAAGCAUGCGGCGGAAAGCAGCUCUGAGACGGCGGCGAAGGUGGAGGGCAAGCACGUGGCGUAGGUUGUGCAGGCGGCAGCGAAGACCGAUGGCGGCCAGCGGAUACUGGCCGCUGGUGUUUUUUUUCGAAAAAAUGGUUUGCGGAGUGUUUUCUGGGCACUCGGCAAAGUGCCCGACAGAAAAUACUCGGAAAACACUUUGCCGGAAGAAUUUUUACCGCUUUGCCGAGGGUUCGCCAAGUAUUUUAGGGGCUUUGCAGAGCUUCUGUUCCCCGUAGUGGAAGCAUUUCUUUUUUCUUUGGUUAUACUCUUGUGUUAGUUAUCCUCAUCCCCUCGUGUUAUGGAACCCGUUUGUAAGUGUUGCGUUCUCUCUGUCUCUCCACAGCUUUUCAGUUGUCUCUUUUACUAUUGUUUUUAUUCCUUUUUUCCUUUCUACUAGGUCCCGUUUGGUUUCCUCAACUUAUUUUUAGCACCCGUCACAUCCGUUUGGUUUCCUCAACUUAUUUUUAGCACCCGUCACAUCAAAUGUUUAGAUACUAAUUAAUUAGGAGUAUUAAACGUUGACUGUUUACAAAACCUAUUACACAGAUGGAGGCUAAAUGACAAGACGAAUCUAUUAAGCCUAAUUAGUUCAUGAUUUGACAAUGUGCUGCUGCAGUAACAUGAUAAUCCUCUUGCCAUCUUUUUGGUGAAAAAAAUGUGGUACGCUGCUUGAUGAAGCUAGAAACUGGAUCUCAUGGUUCUUUCGGUUGUUGGGAUGGGUGGGAUGGGCAAGACCACCUUUAAUUUGUGCAACUCAUUUAUAUGACCAUGCAAUUGUGAAGCAUUUUGAGCUUCAGAGGUGGCGCUGUGUGUCAGAUUAGAAAAACAUUUGCAAGGGUGCAGAUUAGUGAUGGAAACGUAUAGAAUGCUUAUCAUUCAACUAGAGUGUCUAUAGCUCACCCAAGUGAAACAAAGAUCCUCCUCACACGAUUUUUUGUGCCAGUGUAUCAAAAAUCAGCGGCUCAGAUCCCUCCUCAAUGUCUACCUUAUCUCCUCCCCCACCCCUUCGCUACCCGCCGCCUAAACCCUCCCCGACCCCUCCGGCGCGGGCGGGCUAGGAUCCGCCAGAGCUCCGUGCCGACCGGCCCCAAGCCCGCCGGCGCAGACCGCCUCCUGCCCCUCUCGCCGCCACCUCCCACCGCCGCCUCCCACCAUCGGCACCCCCGCUCUGGCACCGCCCAACCGCUAUCUUCCGCCGCCUGGCUGGCAGCGCCCAAGCCGCCACGCCUCGCCGCCGGCAGCCCUCCCUCUAAGGCCAGCAGUGAGGAGCCCCACCCCGGCAACCCCUAUACCCCUAAUCCCGAAACCCUAACCUCGAACCCCUAACCUUGCCGGAAUCUUGCUGGAGUUGGAGAAGAAAGGGGGAUGGGGUAAAGAAAAAUUGGGUGACGAGAGGCUUUAUUUCAAUCGGGUGAGAUUUAGCUUUCCCUUUCAACUAACUCACAUUUUUUUGGGUCUGUCUAUGCGUCACCUGAGUGAAACAUGAGCCUUCCUCACUCGAUUUUUUUAGCUGUCAGAUGAACAUCCGACGCCUUUCCUUACUAGGUGAAACAUGAGCCUUCCUCACUCAAUUUUUUUAGCUGUCAGAUGAACAUCCGACGCCUUUCCUUCAUAUUCUAGUAAGUAUAUGUCUAGGCGUAUAGCAAAAAUUAUGUAUCUAAAAAAAAUAACCUACAAUUUGAGAUAAAGGGAUUACAUUCGAUCAUCAACCAAACAAAUGGACAAAACCGUUUAUUUGGCCUACAAGAAUGCCAUACGACCUGAAUAAUUGAAGCUAACAAGGCACUUUAUUGUUGUACAUAGCAGCUGAGCUUGACUGUCGGGCGUACAUCCUCGGGCCCACGAGUACACCUUGUACAGCCCAUCCAAGGACGUACUUGGACCUGAUCAGGACAUAGAGGCUACGUCACAGGGUAACGUAGCCUACACGGACUCCUGAAGACUAGUCGCAGUGUAUAAGGAAACUGCUCUGCCUAGUCAGAGUAGGACUCUAUAAUCGUACUCGACUAGGAUUCCACCCUGUAACCCUGCUCUUCCAGAUAUAUAAGGGUGGGCAGGGACCCCCUCCAAAACAAUCCCAUACCAACGCAAUAUACUCGAUCAUACAUACCACACAGGAUGUAGGGUAUUACGCGAUCUAGCGUCCCAAACCUGUCUAAAUCGUGUGCCUUGCGUCACCAUCGUCUCCUUGAUUCUCGAUAUCCCCACCGCACAAAAUACCUCCUAGGGGCCUCCCUAGACGGGUUGCCAGUCUAAAACAUCGACAACUAGCACACCAGGUAGGGGAGUUGCCAAGUUUAUCCACGCGAGAUCGAUGGCAUCAAUCAUCAUCAAGCCGGCGUUCACUUUCGAAGCGGGCACAACUUUCAUCUUCGGCUCCUAGCUUUGCAUCGCUGACGACGCUGGAUCCUUCCAAUACUGCAUCAUCAACAACCGGGAGAAGAAGCAUCUCGACAAAAAUUCUCUUCGACAAAAAGUAGACGAUCUCGUCGAGAAAAUCAACAGUUUUGAUCUAUUCAAACAUCCAGUUCGACUACAGCUCGAACUCGAUCAUGGCUCGGACUAGUCCACGUAAGCUAGCAAAGAAGUCACUGCGCAGAUCGGUUUCAACUCCAAAUCAAUUUCCAUUUGGACUCCAUAAUACAGCCAUGGUCCAUCAAGCACUCCUUACUCGAAUCAAAUCUGGACUAGAGUCAGAGGAGGACUACGACUAUGACUUGGAUACACCAGAAGAGUACACCAGCAACUAUCGCGGCUUCAUUGACGAUGACUUCAACUACUCAUCUCGACGACUUCGACGGGCGGCUCCCUGACGACUUCUUCGGCUACGUCGUGGCGCCCGCCGAUGAUGACCUCGUCAUGAAGCUCGCCGACAACUACUCCAACUACAUCACGGCAGUCAGCGAUGACUACUCCAACUAGGUCGUGAUGUCCGUCAGUGAUUUCUCUGACUACGUCGCGACGCUCGACGACGACAACUUCGAUAGGCGAUUCGCCAGCGGCUACUUUGACUAUGCCAUGACGCCCGCCGAUGAUGACUCUGAUUACUUUGUCGGGCAGCUCGGCGACGACUACUCUGGCUACAUUGUGACACUCCCCGACAACUUCUUCGACUACAUCGUAGCACCCGCCACCGACUACUCUAACUUCAACGGGUGACACGCCGAAAACUUCUCCAACUACGUCACGACACUCACCGUCAACUACUCUGACCGCAUCGAGCCACCGCCGACUACAUCAACCUCGCGGGGGCGCUUGGCAACUCACCGACGACUACUUGGCUCGGCGACACACCAACGACUACUUUGUCGUGACGCUUGCCAACGACUCCUAUGGCGUUGUGACGCUCACCGACGACUACAUCGAUGAGCAACUCGUCGACAGCUACUUCGACUACUCGUCUCGACUAGAAAACUAGUCGAGGGCGGGCCUCCCACCAUCGACAACUAGUUGGAAUCGACUCCGACUAGUCGGCUUCAUCAAACAACUGUCGCGGUUUCAUCGACGACCGCCACAGUUUCAUCACAAUCGGCCACGAAUCAAGCUAAGUCACUUAUCUUACUACUUCCUAGGUUGCUUUCCUCUCGCGCACAACACACACUCUAUUUGCCGGAGGGUAGCAAACGCUUGCACACAACAUGCGCUCUACUCGCUGGAGGGCAGCAAACUCUUGCGCACUCGCACUCUCUUUUUGUCGUAGCAGUGACUACUCUUUUUUGUCUUCUCUUAAGGUCACUAAUCUUCUCGAGCAGAACAUGCCUUAACUCGUGAAAGUGUCAGGUGCACCUGUGACACCAAAUGCUAGCACACAUACACGAGACCACGCUCUCAGCUAUGCACAUACACGUAUAUGAGACAACGCACUCACACACGUAGUGCCUAUGGCUAAACGGGGACGGAGAGCCUAAAACGUAACAGGCUAACUGCUCAAGAAGAAUAUGACCGAAACAAGAGCUUGACACACAACUUUCAUAUUAAUCGCUGAAUAACUAUAAGUAGUUUCAAUAUUUUACAAAAAUGCUACAUAAUGUACGCAUCUUUUCUUUCAGGUCAAACUUUGGCGAUGACGCUCAUCAUGUCGCUAAGCGUGCAUUCAACGGCACAUACUACUUGCCGAACUCGGGGGCUAAGCACCAAUCACUACUCGAAAUAUCUCCAAUGGCUCAGCUAGCUCCAAAGAUCGAGGGCUGAACGCCGCAAUAACUACUCGAUGUGGCUCCUACGGCUCGCCCAGCACAUAAGCUCGGGGGUUGGAUGCUGCAAAAAUUACUAGGAUGAUGACUUGUGCAUAGAUUCAAGAUCCUUGAGUUGAUUAUUCAAUCAAUUCAAGGCUCGGGGGCUGCAUAUACCGUUACCCAUCAAACAAAGAUUUCUUUUUCUCAAGACAAGGAGAAGACGAAGCAAAAUUACAAGUAUGACCCUCAUCUUGAUUCUUCGGUUCAACCUAAGGUUCGGGGGCUACUCCACAUGGAGUGCGAUUGUCAUCGCACUUCCAUAUAAAGAUUCAAGCCAAGUCUACACGAAGCAACUUCAAGAGAAGCGAAGAAUACCUUGCAGCCAUGUGACAGUACUCGGGCACUCGAAGUUUGGUCUGUUGGAGGUAUGCCCUAGAGGCAAUCAUAGAGAUGAUGAUAUCUGAUUGUAUCCAUGAUUUGUAUAUUGUGUUCAUUGAAUAUCCAUUAAAGGCUACUUGAAUUGAUCUGCAAUUAUGUGAAUUGUAUGUAGAACUCUUUACUUGUAUGGUUAUUCUAAAAGUUGUCCCUAGUCGGAGUUCAUGUGUGGACACACAUGAAUAUUAGACUGGUACAUGUAUUAGUUGAUGACUAUGUUUCACAAGUCAUGGACAUGGAAAUGUCAAACUAAUAAUGUAGGCAUAUGUAGAGACAUGUGCUAGGACUGACCCAACGAGAGAAGUAGUUCUCUCUUUACACAACAUGUACGCUUUAUCCUUAGACCUGAGAUUGUCGCAUGUACUCAAGAUGUGGUUUGACUUACUUAGGGGCUAUCAAACGCUACACCGUAACAGGGUAGUUAAAAAGGUAGCGUUCGGGUUGGUCAGGAAGCAUGCUGUGAGGCAUGGUCAAUCAAGAUGGGAUUUGCCCCUCUCUGAUUGAGAGUGAUAUCUCUGGAGCCCUCGAGUGAUCAGAUUCGAAAAUGCAUGGCCAUGCUACGUACGGUUAAGAGUUAACCUACAAAGGGAUUUCAAAUCAUAGUAUCGAGAAAGAGCGGUCGGUUUGAAGCUAGACCAAAUAUCGUGAGGCAAAGGGAAUAUCAUGUACAUGAUGUUGUGACGGUUCGUCUGAUAUGAUCUUCGUGUGCGUAUAGGAGUUGGCACGUCUUGCUAGAGGCUGCUACCGACUAUUGGGCCGAGUAGGAAUACUCGGGCCAUGUCUAUACGUAUCCGAACCUAAAGGGUCACACACUUAAGGGGCUAGAAGCCCAAUUUGGAUAUGAUCCGAGUUGGAUCAGGUUUAGAAGUACUAAUGGGCCUCAGACCUAGAGGCCCGUCAGGAACCUCUAUAAAUAGAGGGGUGGGGCGCCCUAGGGUUUCAUCCCUUUGGCCGAAACACAUCUGCCGUGCCUCCCACACCCUCGCCCUGUUGCAACUUGCGAACCUAGCAGUCUGGCUUGCGACUCUUCCUCCCUGCACGUGUGGAUACCUUGGAGGUGUUGCACCUGUAGCACUUGGACGAGCCGCGACGAGCCACGACGAGCCGCCGACGAGCCAUGGCACGAGGACGACCUUGCUGCACGUGGACGAGCUACUGAGGAGCUGCUCGAUGUCGACAUGAUCGACUACGUGUUUGACUACGCUGAUCGACUUCGCUGCCCCAACGCGAUUUUACAUCUUCCGCACCAGUGCGUCGAGUGGUAAUCCCGUGAUCCAUAUACGACAGUUUUCCUGGUUUACGCGGUAGAAAAUUUUUGUUUUGCGCUAGCGUAGCCUACCUCGUAGCCCCACAUGGUCACCACGAGGAAGCGCUCAAAAAACACAGGCUACAAGUACUCGGAGCUCUUCCACUCGACUACAAAGUAUUCGGGGGCUUGUCGGGUGUACUCGGACGUGAUCAGGACUUGGAGGCUACGUCACAGGGUAACAUAGCCUACACUGACUCUUGAAGACUAGUCGCGGUGCAUAAGGAAAUAGCUCUGCCCUGUCGGAGUAAGACUCUGUAAUCGUACUCGACUAGGAUUCCAUCCUGUAACCCUGCUCCCCCAGAUAUACAAGGGAGGGCAGGGACCCCCUCCAAAACAAUCCCAUACCAACGCAAUAUACUUGAUCAUACAUACCACACAGUACGUAGGUUAUUACGCAAUCUAGUGGCCCAAACCGCACAAAAGACCUCCUAGGGGGCUCCCUAGGCAGGUUGCCGGUCUACAACACCGACAUUGACUUAGUUAUAUUUAUUUGCAAACAGGUGUGAAAUGCCAUACAAUAAUUUCAACCCCAGAAAGCUACCAGUUGAAGUGGUAGAUGAGGUUGGCAAGAAUGAAUUCAAAGUGGCGGUGGUGAAGUUUAUACCCGGGCACAUCCUUCCCCUAGAAGUCGGAAGAAGCAUCCACGGCUUCUUCCAUGAACUUCUCGGGCAUGAACUCCUCUGCACUCUCCCAGUAGGUGGUGGCCCUGCCUAGAGCCCAUGUGUUGACGAUUACACAUGUCCCAGAGCGGUGGGACGGAGUGGUCGGAUCCGGGUGGCGUGGAGUGGAGCAGAGCUGGCGGUGUGGGCGGAGCAAACUAGGGGAGGGAGGCGGAGCCGAUGGGGCCGCAGGCGACGAUCGGGGGGCUCGCGGGGGCAGCGGUCGGCUGGCGUGGUGCGUUUUUUUUCGAAAUUUUUUUAGAACUGGGACUAAACGGGACCCCUUUUGUCUCAAAAAAUAUAAUUAGUCCUGGUUGGUCAUUGGAGAGAUAUGCUCCUUCCCGAUUGGGACUAAGAGCAACUCCAAGAGACUGUUAAUUUUACCCCAAUACCUUUUUUAGGGAAAAAGAAAAAAAAUAACUCCAACGGUCCACCAAAUAUUCGGGGCGUCCCCAUCUUCCCCAAUCCGCUCCCAUGGUCUUUCCCUUGGGCGUCGUCAGGAUCUGCAAAGUCCCGCCGUUAGCGUCGUCAGGGGACCAUGCACCGGAUCUCAGUGGCCAUGGCGAGAUCUCACUAGGGCACGGGCACGGGCAAGGGAUGCAUCAUCAUCGCUACCACCAGUUCGGCGUUGAGGGGAAGCUGCUGGACGGUGGCGGCGCCGCUGCCGCGGCACAGCAGCUCGACGCCAGGGUUUUUUCUCCAGUCCCGUCGUGGAUAACGGUGAGUGCCAUUGGUGCUGCUCUCCCGUCUUUGUUUGUCUCCACCCGCAACAACACCAAACUACAAAAACGUUGCUCUUUACUCUCUUCAAACUACACAUGAUUCUUGAUGAGCUAGCUAUCUGGACUAGAUUAAUCUAUGUCGUUGUGUCAUUGGCAUUUCGAACUUCCUACGAAUCUCGCUUUUGGAAUUCUCUCCUAGAUUUCUGUCUGACAGGAAAUAACAUCAUCAUUUUCUUUAUUUCGACCUGUCUGAUAUCGAUUCGAGUGUAGAAGGAGGUAUGUUCGGUAGGUCCAAUUACGAUGAUGUGGCAAAUAUUAAUUGAGGAGUAUUUUUAACGUUCUGCUGUGGCCUGAGGGAAAAUUUUUAGCAUAGCUCCCAAUAUCUUAUUUUCGGGAAAAAUUUUUUGGGAACUUUUGAAGUUGCUCUAAUAGUCAAUUUUCUACCACUGGUUGCAUAGAGGGGGAGGAGGCGAGGGUUUUAGGUGAGGACGAUGAGGUGGCGCCCCCCUCCCUUUCUCCGAUUCCUCCAAUCUGUUGUGCGAUGCUUUAACUGUCUCUAUAAAAUUGAUAUGGUUAGAUAUGUCAUAUUCUGUGGGUGGCACCUCACGAUCAGAAUGUGUGCCUCUAUAUAUGUUGUGCCAAUGCAGUCCAUUCGAGGUAGUACCAUAGCCUGACUGAACUACUGAAAAUGAAAAGCCUACCAGACUCCUUCUGCAACAGCACAGUCUACCCCUAUGUUUACAACCUGACUUCCUCCUACAUCGACCAGAACAAUGAGGCCACCAUGGUGACCACCACCUUGGCCAUGUUCAUGCUGGCCGUGUUCUUCUUCAACCUCAACCUCUUCAGCCGCUUCUCCGACGUGAGCGCGAUUCUCAACCCUAGCGUCCGCCUCUUCCUCUCCACCUCCCUGUCCCUCUUCCUGCCGGUCAUGUCCUACCUCUUCUCCGAGGCCAAGAACCAAGGUGCAACGACCAUGGCUGCUACUACUAGCAGUAGCUCCAGUUAUGGCGAGCUCGGCGACGAGCUGUCGCUUCGAGCUAGGACGAUCCUCAUGUGGAUGCUUCUUGUGGAGCUCCUCCGCAAGAAGGUGGAGGCCGUCCUGGUCAGCGUGGGCAUGCAGUGGUACUCAGGCGCCAUCGAUCGCUUCGCCCGCAUCGUUUGGCUCGGCUACCUCGUCUUCUACAAUGUCAAAAGCCCCGGCAAGAAGGCGAUCUAUGGCACCUUAUGGGUCCUCACUGCUGCCAAGUUCCUGCAAAGGGUCGUCGUCAAGAUGGUGCUGGAGCGUUCCUUCGCCUACGGAAGGAACACCCAGCUGCUCAACUCAUACAUGGCCCAGAUCAUCCAACAAGAGCAAGAGCAAGAGCAAGAGGAGCACUCGGGAUCAUCGUCGUCGGCGGAGCUGUUGAAGAAGUGCGAGUACACCGUGAUGGGAGAAGAAAAUCUGGAGAGGACGGCUGGCCGGCAUGGCUACCAGGUGGAGCUGAACAAGGCGGCCGUUGUCACCGUUGGUGACAUUUGGACGCAGGCAGCAGCCGAGCCGGACAGCCUCCUCCGGAGAGAACACCUUAGAAGGCUCUGCCUCUCCUUUGCUCUCUACAAGCUGCUGCGCCGGAGGUUCGAGGACAUCCCCACAACAAGAGAGGAGACCCGGAACUGCCGGAACCUCAUCUUCAAGGGCUUGUUGAAGGAGCAAGAAGGUGCCGAGGUCGCACUGUUCCAAGUCUUCAACGAUGAGACCCAGUUCGUUUGCGAGUACUACCAUUCCGUCCUACCCGUCGUCUUGUCCGACCCUUUCUUCUUCCUGGUCAACUACAUCCUGUUUCCCAUUGUAGUUUCUGCCUUCUGCCUCCUAACACUGAUCAUCUGCGGCAAUGGGAGCGUCCGCUACGCCUACCAGAGCAUCACAAGUGACAACUACAUCAUAUACACUGGCGCGACGACGCUGACCAGAUGCCUCCUGAGAAACAUCGCCCAUUCACCCGAGGUGCUGUUCGCCAGCAUCGACCUAGGCACCACCACUCUGCUCAUCCUGGCCUUCGUCUACGAGGAAGUCGUGGAGGUCCUCGUCUUUAUCCUCUCCAAUUGGCUCAUCGUGUCGCUCCUCUGUCAGUACACCGCCAAGCGCCACUGGCGGCAGAGCCGCAUGGUAUGUUGGCUCAUCCGCGGCAUCCUGUGGGUGCGAAGCAUGCUAAGCCACCCUAACCUCAGCUUCAAGCAGCUCUCCGUGCUAAGGUUCUUCCAACUGUCGUCGCCUUCGCCGAUCAUGGUGCCAACCAAGGCAGUGCCCAAGGAAGUGAUGGAGUCGAUCGUGGAUUAUCUGGUGGUUCACUUGGAUGUCUACGGCAUCGAUGGCCAUGACGACCCUCUCAAUUCGGCCUGGUCCUCCACACUGCAACAGGAGAAGCACAGGGCAUACCGUCCCCUGCUCUUGCCGGUGUGUGAGAGCAAGAGCAUCGCUGAGUUCAUCCUCACCUGUCACAUUGCCACCGCCCUAAUGGAGGUGAGGUACCCGCAGGACGAAAAGGAAAUGGGAUCUCAUCGCAAGGUGGCGACGACGCUGUCCAAGUACUGCACUUACUUGGUGGGCUUUUACCCAGGGCUUCUUCCGGACGACAAGAAUGGGACAAAGCACACUUACAAGAAGAUGAAGGAGGACAUGAACAAGGAGCUUGGAGGGUGCUGGUGGUACCACCUGUCGCUGCAGGGAACCAGGUACAAGAGGCUGAUGGAGAUCGGCGAAUCGAAGCAGAAGGCCGUGACAAUGGUGCGCAACGGGGCCAGGUUAGGGACAGCACUGAUCGAGAAGGCCGAGGAGAACAACGAGGCGCGUGAUCGCGUGUGGGAGCUGCUGAACGACCUUUGGACGGAGGUCAUGGUGUAUGUGGCGCCGUCGGCCGGCGACCUCCACGUGAAAGCCCACAAGGAGGCGCUGGCGCGCGGCGGUGAGUUCAUCACCGUGCUUUGGGUGCUGUGUACGCACACCGGCAUGACCAGGCCAGCCCUCGCACCGUGGGAGGUAGCACGUCAUGCGUUUGAACCAUAGAGCAUUAUUGGCUUCCCGUGUGUGCCGAUCUUUCGAGGACAGCUUGCUUGGGAUGGUUCAUCUCACAUGCUCCAUUCCGCUACUAACGCUAACAUUAGUACCGCGUCAUAAUGUGACCGGUACUAAGGGAGUGGACGAAAGAUAUAUUAAAAAUAGAUAUAUAGCCACCCGUUGUGAAUGCAUGGGUUGAUGCCAGUAAUUCCUAGAAAACGAGGCCAACCACAACCUCUUCAUCCACUUCUCCGACGUGAGCGCACAAUUCUCAACACUAGUAAGAAACAGAGCUUUAGUCCCGGUUUUUUAGUCCCGGUUGGUAAGGAUCAUAGAUCCCAAAAAUCCAAUCGAGACUAACUAUUCAAGGCUAAAUGACUCCUUUAGUCCCGGGUCAUUCACCUGGGACUAAAGGUGCCCUUUAGUUCCGGUUGGUGUUACCAAGCGAGACUAAAAAAAUUCCAAAAAAAAUAAAAAAAGCCAUCCGCGCCCGCCGCCCGCCUGCCUCCCACGGCCGCGCUGGCCUCAUGCUGCCCGCCCGCGCCCACGCCGACCACGUGCUACGACCCGCCCGCACCCACCCGACCGACCGCCCGCGUCGGAGCAUGGAAGAAAGGGAGAGGAGGAAGAAGAAGAGAUAAGGUGGAGAGGCCCUGCGUGGGAGAUAAGAAAGGGAGGGGAGGAGAUAAGUGGAGAGAAAGGGAGGCGACGAGAUUUUGUCUUGGUUGGAAUUUCCAACCGCGACAAAAGAUUUACUUCCGGUUGGAAUUUCCAACCGGGAUAAGGGUGGCGUCGAUGUCAGAUUUUUUAGCUGUUAGAACCAAGCCUACAACCGUGACUAAAGCCCCUUCAGUCGGUGGCCUUUGGUGCCUCAUACCUGGGACUAAAGUCACUUUAGUUCCGAGUCCAAAGUCAACCAAGAUAAAAGCAUCAAGAUGGAAGGUCAGUUCUCUAGUAUUGCAAGCCUAGUGUCUGCCACCUCCUCUCCACCAACAUGUCCCUCUUUCUGCAUGUAACACUUUCACACAUGCAUGUAACUUGAUUAAUCUUCUCAUGCGUGUUCACAACAAACGCAUGGAUGAAAAACAUGUCAAGAUUAAUUUCCAACACUUUUUUCUUCUAUAGAUAGUUUCCACUAAGUGGUUCACCACAUAAUAAAAUUUAGAUACUUGUCUCUGCAUAUCAUCGAUCAAUGUUGUUAGAGGGAUACAACAUUAUCAUUGUGUACAUCAUAUCAAUGACCGAACUUCAACUAUUAUAGAUACUGUUAUACUGUUAGCAAUGCAUAUAUCUCAAAUAUUAUUGCUUCUCUUUAAUUAGCUAAAGAAUAGGAUGCUAGAAUGAAAACGUCAAAAGAAAAAACAUAAUGAUGAAGGCAUCAGGUCCUCUCUUUUGGGGGCCAAGAUUCCUGCUGAUAUUGAUAACAAAAGAAGGAUACCAUGGGUUCUCUCCCAUUUGGAACUAUAUGUGACAAAAGUUAUGCCAGUACCUUAAAUGCUAAGGCUUGCUCAUCUUUUGAAUUUUUGUUCUUUGGCGGCCCCUGUCAUUUGAGCCUUUUGAUAAAGUAAAGGAGAGGAGAAUAAGCGCUAAAGGAAAGACCAACUGCUAUGGUGUUACCCGAACACCAUUGGCGGCAUCUUUCGAUUUACAGUACAUGCAGGCACGCCAAUACUCUCCUUCAAUCGUGUGCUUGCAGAACCUAUGAAAACGAUGCUCAUGCUUUGCAAGGGCACGGAAAUUUCGACUCAGAACGUGUCCAGAGGAAAUGGGCCCACUCGUAUGAUUCAUGGGAACAUGAACAAACAGAGACGUUCAGAUUCAGAAGUAUGGAAUUUGCAAGUCCCCGCAACCCACCGCCCCCACGUUGCUCCCGCAUGAGUGACACUGGUGGACGAAACCCUCGCCGCUGCCGCCCCUUCCUCCCUCUCCCCACCGCUGUGCCACCGCCCAAGCCGGCCGCUGAAAGCCUACGCGUCUCAUGAGGACGGCGGCGGUGGGGCGGCCUGCUUCUCCCCUUGAUCUCCUGGUGGGCGUGGCCGCUGUGGAGGUCAGAGGGAGUCGCCCGUAGGGCGACACACGGCCGUGACAGCGAGGCCGGAUCCGGGGCCCCUGUGGCCGGAUCCGGGGCCCUCGAUGCCGGAUCUGUCUCCAAGUGCGGUGGCGGUGGCUUCCCCCACGCGGGGCAGUGGUCACCCUGCCCGGUGCGGAAGCUGCACGAGCGGUGUGCGCCAGGGUGGAUGCCGCGCGGUGGCGGCUGCGUGGGCCAAGGCUGAGCAAGGGGCGAAGUGGGCGGCCGCGGUCCUAUGGCAAGGUGGGGUCAACGUGCAGGCCUCCUUCGAUGACUACCUCCAGGACCGCACCAUGUUCCCCGACGAGAGCAAGAGCCAGCGGAUCAGUGAUGGGGAGUGGCGGGUCCAGAUGCUGCUGCUGCAAUUCCUCCUCGUCACAGUGCGCCCUGUGGUCAUCAUGCAGCUGCAACACCGCACUGGUGGGCUCGACCCCAGUGGCGACAUCUGCAGUCCUCGGCGGUGAGCUCCUAGGGAGCGGUGACAGUGUGAAGGCGACAACGGCGAUCUGGGUGGUGCGGCGGUGGUCCCGAUGCGAGGCAAAGAAGGCACAUGGUAGCAGGGGCCGCUAGGAGGUGGGGACACGGAGGAGGCGCCGAAGGACAAGACGAGGAGGAGGUGUCGGGCAUACACCUCAGGGCCACGAGUAGGCCUUGUACGGCCCACCCAGGGGCGUACUCGGACAUGAGCAGGAGUUGGAAGCUAUGUCACAGGGUAACGUAGCCUACACGGACUACUGAAGACUAGUCUUGGUGCAUAAGGAAACUACUCUACCUAGUUGGAGUAGGACUCUGUAAUCAUAAUCGACUAGGAUUCCACCCUGUAACCCUGCUCCCCCGAUAUAUAAGGGUAGGCAGGGACCCCCUCCAAAGAACCAACUCAUACGCAAUACAAACAUCACACAAGACGUAGGGUAUUACGCGUUCUAGCGGCCCAAACCUGUCUAAAUCGUGUGCCUUGCAUCACCAUCAACUCCUUGAUUCUCGACGUCUCCACCACACAAAAUACCUCCUAGAGGACUCCCUAAGCGGGUUGCCGGUCUAAAACACCAACAGCUGGCGCACCAGGUAGGGGAAGUCGCCGAGUUUCUUAGCGCGAGAUCGAUGGCACCAAUUGUCAUCAAGCCAGCGCUCGCUUUCAAAGCAGGCGCAACUUUCAUCUUCGACUCCUGGCUUUGCAUCACCAACGGCGCCGGAUCCUUCCAGUGCUACCUCAUCGACAACCGGGAGAAAGAGCAUCUCAACGAAAACCCUCUUCGUAAAGAAGCAGACAGCCUCAUCGAGAAAAUCGACAAAUUCAAUCUCAGAUCAAGAUUCGACUACAACUCGAAGUCCAACGACGACUCCGAGUUCGACUACAACUCGAAGUCUGACUAUGACUCCAUUUUUAGUUUCGAGUUCAACCCCAACUUGGGGUCCAACUACAACUCCAAAUCAUAUCCAGGUCAAACUCCAUUCGGACUCCACAACGCAGCCACGGUCCAUCACUCCUUACUCGAAUCCAAUUCGGACUAGAGUCGAAGGAAGACUAUGCUACGACUCGGAUACACCCGAAGAGUUCAUCAGCAACUGCCACAGCUUCGUCGAUGACGACUUCCACGGGCGGCUCGCCGGUGACUUCUCCGACUACGUCGCGGCGCUCACUUAUGACUAUGGGCGGCUUGCUAACAAUUUCUUGGACUAUGUCAUGGUACUCGCCGACGACUACUUCAACAGGUGGCUCACCGGUGACUUCUCUGACUACGUCGUGGUGCUCACUGAUGAGUACGGGCGGCUCACCGACAAUUUCUCAGACUACGUCAUGGCACUCACCGACGACUACUUCGCUUGGCGACACACCGACGAAAACUUUGUCUGCUCACUGACGACUUCUCCGACUACGACACAGCGCUGGCUGACGACUAUGGGCGGCUCGCCGAUGAUUUCUCGGACUACAUCGUGGCACUCGACGACGGCUACUUCGACGGACGGCUCCCCGACGACUAAUCCGACUUUGCGACGUCCCUCGGCGACCCACCGAUGACUACUUCAACUUCGCGCGGGCGCUCGACAACUCGUUGAUGGCUACUUCGCUCGGCGCACACCAACGAAUACUUCGACUGCUCACCGACGACUUCUUCGACUACGUUGCGAUGCUCGUCAACGACUACUUCGACGGGUGACUCGCUAGUGACUACGUCGACUACUUGUCCCGACUAGAAAACUAGUCGGGGCAGAUUUCGCACCAUCAACGACUGGUCGGAACCGACUCCGACUAGUCAGCUUCGUCAACAACCGUCAUGGUUUCAUUGACGACCACCUUGGCUUCAUCGACAAUCAUCGACGAAUCAAGCUAAGUCUCUUUUCUGACAAUUUCCUAGCUUGAUUUCCUCUUGCGCACAAUACGCGCUCUACUCGCUAGAGGGCAGCAAACUCUCGCGCACAACACGCACUCUACUCACCGGAGGGCAGCAAAACUCUUGUGCAAUCGUGCUUGCUUUUUGUCGCAGCAGCGACUACUCACUUUUGUCUUCUCUUAAGAUCACUACUCUUCUCAAGAUGAACUUGCCUUGACACGUGAACGCCUCAGGUGCACCUGUGACGCCAAAUGCUAGCACACAUACACGAGACCACGCUCUUAGUUGUGCACAUAGCAAUGCCCAUACAUGUAUAUGAGACAACGCUCUCACACAUGCAAUGGCUACGGCUAAAUGGGGACUAAGAGCCUAAACGUAAUAGGCUAAAUGCUCGAGAAGAAUAUGAUCAAAAUAAGAGCAUGACACACAAUAUUUCAUAUUGAUCACUGAAUAACUUUCAGUAGUUUCAAUAUUCUACAAAAAUGCUACAUAUUGUACGCAUCUUUUCUUUCAAGUCAAACUUUGGCGAUGACGCUCGUCGUGUCACUAAGCAUGCCUCUAACGGCAUAGACUAGUUCCCGAACUCGGGGACUAAGCACCAAUCACUACUCGGGAUAUCUCUAGUGACUCAGCUAGCUCCUAGGCUCGGGGGCUAGACGCCGCAAAACUACUCGAUGUGGCUCCUACGGCUCGCCCAGCGCAUAAGCUCGGGGGCUGGAUGCCGCAAAACUACUCGGAUGAUGACUUACGCAGAGAUUCAAGAUCCUUGAGAUGAUUAUUCAAUCAAUUCAAGGCUCGAGGGCUGAUAAGCUACACCCAUCAGUUGAUUUUUUGUCAAGCCGGAAGAAAAAGUUUCAAGAUUUUGACCCUCAGCCUGAUUCUACGAGUCAACCUAAGGCUCAGGGGCUCCUCCAUAUGGAGUGUGAUUGUCAUCGCACUAUCAUAUAAAGAUUCAAGACAAAGGCUACUUGAAGCAACGUUACGCAAAGCAGAGAGUACCUUCCAGCCAUGUGACAGUACUCGGUUACUCGAAGGCUAGCCACCACGAGAAGCGCUCAAAAAGCACCAGAUAGUACUCGGGCAACCUCUUCAAGUACUCUGAGCUGUUCCACUCGACUACAAAGUACUCGGGGGCUUGUCAGGCAUACAUCCCCAGCCCCACGAGUAGGCCUUGUACGGCCCACCUAGGGGCAUAGUCGGACGUGAUCAAUACUUGGAGGCUACGUCAUAGGGUAACAUAGCCUAAACGGACUCCUGAAGACUAGUCACGGUGCAUAAGGAAACUAUUCUACCCAGUUGGAGUAAGACUCUGUAAUCGUACUCGACGAGGAUUCCACCCUGUAACUCUGCUCCCCCGAUAUAUAAAGGCGGACAGGGACCCCUUCCAAAGAACCAACUCAUAAGCAAUACAAGCAUCAUACAGGAUGUAGGGUAUUACGCGAUCUAGCGGCCCAAACCUAUCUAAAUCGUGUGCCUUACGUGACCAUCGACUUCUUGAUUCUCGACAUCCCCACCGCACAAAAGACCUCAUAGGGGACUCCCUAGGUGGGUUAUCAGUCUAAAACACCGAUAGGAGGUGCGAUGGACAAUAGUGACCCAUCUAGAAGAGCUGCAUGGAGAGGAUGCCGGUGCAGAGGACGGCAACGUGGAGAUGGUCGUGCAAGCGAUGAGGAGCGGAGCGGCGGCUCGAAUGCCACGAGGCCAUUCUGGUGCCGCGGGAACCACUCACAUGCUGACGUUGUGGUGGUGUGAGGAUCUACGCUGGUGGUAGUGGGGGCCAUUGUCGCAGAAAGCUUUGUGUUUGCGCACAUGGUACAACUGAGAUUAUGACGGCGGCAAGGUGGAGGUGAAGUUAUUAGAGUAGCUCGGUGGGACCAUGUCACCCUGAUGGAAAAUCAUGUCUGGAUCCUUGGUAUGGAGUCCAGCGGUGGAAGUGGUGAGAUCCCCGUUUGCUUUAAGGUGAUGUGUACGAGGAGUUGUGUGUGGCGGUGAAUGUGGCUAGAACCCCACACAUUUUGAGUUGCCUUGGAGGGCCAGGAUCCGGUGCAGUGUUUUGAUGGUUGGUGUGUACGGUGCGAUAGCAGUGCUUCGGCGUUGGGUCCUGCAGUGCGGUGGUCGUUUCAGUGUGGUGCAGUGUGCUCCUCCUUUGACUUAUGCUAAUACAAAGCCGUGGAUUGGGAGAUCGAUGACCGUGUGUGUGUGACCUGAGGACGACGACGACAUGGUAGAGAAGCCCUAGUAGCUACACGACUUGCAGCGGACUGCGACGGCCAGUCCUACGUGGCUUCGGCUGGUUUGGCUGGGACAUCGUCGGGGACGAUGGCGCUAGCGAUGAGGGCUACUUGGCGGCUUUUCCUGCUCAGUGGUGGUGGCAUGGUGGUCGCUGCUAGCUCAAGCGUUAGCGUUGAGUGGCUUUGCGUCGACGACCACCCAUAGAGUUCUUUUUUUGUUUUGAGUUGAGUCGGCAUUAUCUGUUGGGAGCUACUUCGGUGGCUCUGUUGUUAUACCCAGUCUAGGAUCUUUCUUCUUUUUAAAUAAUCGACAGCUCUCCUGCCUGGUUUGUUUGAAAAAAAUUCAAAAAUACGGUUGGAUGUAAGAUUAACGAGUUAAUCUUCAUGUAGCAUGUACAUAGACAUGUAACCAAGAAACACAAACUUUUUUACAACGGAACUCAAGUGUAUUUGAGUUGUACAGGCAGAGAUAUGACUAUAGAAAUUGGGGAAGCAGCACUUUGCAUGUAAUAUAGGGUUGAAUAAAUCACCUCUACCGUGGUUUAUACGUCAGUACUGUACAACAAAACCUGGCCACCAUCCCUAAAUUACAUGAUAAAAACUCUAUCAUCUACAACCAACAACUCUAGGUACGGUAGUUGUACACAUUACACGAUAUUGGUACGUAUGUUUAACUUGACCUGAAUGCAUAUGUUUAACCUUGGAGAAGAUAGUCCGAUUCAACCCUUAGAAAUCCUUUAAGAGAUGUGUCCAUGUUAAUCUUGCUACUACUAAUUGGAGAUACCGGAGGAUUCUCAAGUUAAGACGCAUGGGCGGCCGUGCUAGAAAAAAUAAGAUCUCAAAAACUCAUGAAAACAGAAAUUGCACCUCAUCACAAGGUGGACACGGUGCCCUACUGCAGCCCAAGCAACUACUACACUUGCAUUGGUGUUCUUUUCAGACAGUGCUCGCUGCAGGACAAAACGCUGACAGAGAUUUGUUGUUGCCAUUCUAGAAUCGUUUUAGCUGUGGCUUCGUUUCAUUCAGGAUUAAUUUGCAAAAAAAAUGUAUUUUCAGUGGAAAAUAAUGUAACCAGAUUGGCUCGAUUGCCCCAGAAAGAUAUAAUAACUCCAUGCAGUAACAUAUACAUGGUCAUACUUUAAUUAUUGUGCGUACAGUUGUACUACAGCAAGGCAUAUAUCUUAGCUGUCUCUUCGCUUUAACUAAAGAAUUGGAUGCUAGGAUGAAAGAUCCAUGGUUUGGGGCCACUAUUACUAGCUUUCUGCUGAUAUUGAUAACGAACGUAGGAUGGCAUGGGUUCCCUCCCUUUCUACAAAUGGGAGAGAACCCUGGUAUCCUUCUUUCGCUAUCAAUAUCAGCAGGAAUCUUGGCCCCAAAAGAGAGGACCUAAUGCCUUCAUCAUUAUGUUUUUCUUUUGACGCUUUCAUUCUAGCAUCGAUCCUAUUCUUUAGCUAAAGCGAAGCAAUAUUUGAGAUAUAUGCAUUGCUACAGUAUCUAUAAUAAUUGAAGUUCGAUCGUUGAUGUACACAGUAAUGUUAUAUUCCUCUAACAACAUUGAUCGAUGAUAUGCAGAGACAAGUAUCUAAAUUUUAGCUCCAAGUAAGUUUUAACCAAAAGUUUAUCUUAAGGGGUUCCACGACCCAAAUCUGUACUCCCCUAAAAAUAAACUUCAAUGGUAGUCCGACGGACUAUAGGGCCACCUGAUUAAACCUAUGAUUAACGACCAACAUAUCUAUCACUUACUCUCACUAUUUCCUUAUUAUUUGGUGAACCGCUUAGUGGAAACAAUCUAUAGAAGAAAAAUGUGUUGGAAACUAAUCUUGACAUGUUUUUCAUCCAUGCGUUAGUUGUGAACGCGCAUGAGAAGAUUAAUCAAGCUACAUGCAUGUGUGAAAGGGUUACAUGCAUGUGUGUGAAUGCAGUGCAUGCAUGCGCGUAUGGAGAAGACUAGGAUCUGCAUGCAUAUGGAAGCUUAGGGAGUUAUGUGUUACUCAAAGAGUCUCUAGACAAUGUGAAUCGAACGUGUCUUGGUACACUGGUAGAAAACUGAGUAUUAGUCCCAGUUGGAACGUUGCAAAUCUCCCAAAAAACCAUCCGGGAUAAAGCAAUCGAGAUAAAAGGGGGUGUCUUUUAUCCCAGGUCCCUCAACCGGGACUAAAGACACCCUUUAGUCCCAGUUGGUAAUACCAACCAGGACUAAAUGGUUUUGCAAAAAAAAUUAAAAAAUAAAUAAAUUCCUGUGGGGUCCUAGGGAGGCCUCCCCGCGACAAGCCACAAGUCAUGCGAUUUUCACGCGAAAUAUGCGCAUGCGCGGCUCGUGGGAUUCGAACCCACGACCUCAAGCCUCGCGCGUAGCUUCCUUGCCAUCCAACCUACACAUCAUAUCUAACUAUAUAGGGGAUCCAAUCCUUUUAUACUAACUUGUGGGGAACCCUUUAAUCCCGGUUGGAGAUACCAAACGGGAUAAAAGACCCCCUUUUAUCCCGGUUUGCAUUACAAACUGAGAUAAAAGGGUCUGGAACAUUUAUUCCUUCCCCGGAGCACAUGUGGGGGACCAUUUUAUCCCAGUUGGAAACACCAACCGGGAUAAAAGACCCUAUUUUAUUCCGGUUGGUAUUACAAACCGGGAUAAAAGGGUCCGAGGCCUUUAGUUCCUUUUCAGCCACCCGUGAGGGACCCUUUUAUCCCGGUUGGAGUUUCCAACCGGGAUAAAAGACCCCAUUUUAUCCCGUUGGUGUUGUGAGCUUUAGUCCCGGAUGAUAACACCAACCGGGAUUAAAAGGGUGACCUUUAGUCCUGGUUAUUCUUACCAUCCGGGACAAAAGGGUCCCCCACAGGUAGCUAAUUUUUUCACCCGGGACUAAAGGGUCCCCCACGGGUGGCUGAUUUUUGAACUGGGACAAAAGGUAACUUUUAGUUCCGGUUGCAAAUACCAACCGGGAGUAAAGCUCUGCGAACGCCCUUUUGUACCAGCCUUCUUUAAACCGGGAUUAAAAGGAAGCGCAUCGAAAGUUAGUUCUCUACUAAUGGUAGUGUGAAACCCGGUAGUUCCUCAGCUUCUCCUGCUUCGAAUCUGAACUCCCCUCCCCGUGCUGACAGAAAAAGGGGUAUUUAUACCCUAGAGACGCCAUGGUAUAAAAGAGAAGUGGGCGAGGUGAAAGCCCAUGCCGAUCGGCCUAGGUGGGUCCAAGCCGAUCGACCUGGCCCUUCCUUUCAUCCCCAAUUGCUCAAUGGAAACUCUCAUUUCAUCAAGUCUCUCAAAGCCUAUGCUAGAACAUUGUCAACCUAUUCUACUUACAAACAAGUGGUAGGCUUAUCUGGAUCUUGGUAGGUAGAAACAGUCCUUGCAAAGUAUAAUAGUCAGAAUAUUAUCAAAUUAGGAAACACUUCUAUUGGGUUGUCAAAAAGGUCAUGGAGAAAUAGUUGCUUAUAGAGAGAGAAUGGAACACACACUUUUUUAGAUGGCGGACAUGUGCAAGGGAAAAUAGGUGAUCCCGAGACACAAAUGAAGUUAUUGUUAUCGAGUUGCAUAUGGUUAGAAAAUUUUAGUGUUAACCCUGCUCUUAAUCAUAUGUAACAAGACAUGGCACUCCAUUUAGAUGUUCAAUUAAUAUUCUAGCUUAUUAUUAUGGAGGAUAGACAUUUUUCAAUGAUGAACAAGCCACAAAGAAUUUAGAACAAUGCUCUCAAAUUUAAAUCAACUUCAGAACUUUUCUUUCAAUGGAGCAUAAUUUUCAAACAGGACUAGAUCAACAUCAGCAACAGAAUUCUUGCAAUUGCUCAAUGGAAACUCUCAGCUCAUCAAAUCUCUCAGAGCCUAUGCUAGAACAUUGUCAACCUAUUCUACUCAUAUAAACAAGUGGUAGGCUUAUCCGGAUCUUGGUAGGUAGAAACAGUCCUUGCAAAGUAUAAUAGUCAGAAUAUUAUCAAAUUAGGAAAUACUUCUAUUGGGUUGUCAAAAAGGUCAUGGAGAAAUAGUUGCUUAUGGAGAGGGAGAGACUGGAACACACACUUUUUUAGAAUGUUGACAUGUGCAAGGGCAAAUAGGUGAUCCCGAGACACAAGUGAAGUUCUUGUUAUCUAGUUGCACAUGGUUGGAAAAUGAGUAUGGAUUUACCUUUAGGGGACUGGGAAAUUUAUGAAGCUCAAAGAACUAUUGAGAAUUUUUAUUAUCAUCUUUCUUUUUGCUCUUUUUCUUCUUUUUCUCAUCUCAUUUUUAAUUUUAUUUUUUAAUUUUUUUCUUUUGCUUCCUUAGAACUUUUUGCAACAUAAUACUUACUUAGCAGUGGUCAGAGAUAACGCGAUGACUCCAACCCCCAUGCUUGAACGAUGCUCGUCCUCGAGUAUGAAAGAGAGAACUAUUGUGACCCUUUUGAGAUUCAUUUGAUGCUUUCAUGAUCAAGAUCACCUGCACUCCACCUAUAUAUGCUAAACUCCUACACUAGUAGUUCACAACAAUUAUCACCCAUCCAUUCCACAAAAUAAAUACUCCACUACAUAUGUUGAUUUCUCUCAAGUUAUCAUUACAAAAGAAACAUGGGCUAUUGAAAAAGAGAGGGACACAUGAAGGUCCCAGUAUAGAAAAAAAUAUGAACACAUGAAGGUCCAAGUAUUAAAAAAAUGAAGAAAAAAAGGAGUCGGACACAUGAAGGUCCAAGUAUGUGAAUAAAGUGGAAGAUAGCCAUGUUCUCAAUAUUAAAUAUGUCCAAAGGGAGAGAGAUUAUAUAAAAUGGAGUUUCCAUACAUUCCCUAUCCACCACCCACAUAUUCACACACAUGCACAUCUUGAUCUGAUUGUAUGACUUGUUUUCUCCUUAAAUCCGGUUUUUGAAUUUGCAAUAUAUGUAAUACAAGUAUGCUUUAUUUUCAUCCCCUACCUUGAGCUCCACAAAAAGCUUUAUUAGAAGUAGGAAGGAAAAGAGGCAAACAAAUGCCUCGGUAAGGAACCAUACACAUUGAGCGAUCUGAGAUAAUCAUUCGAGGAGCAAGUCUAUGCUUUGUUCUGAGAAUAUUUCAAAAACCUAAGAUAUCUGAGUACGAGAAGUUUGUUACUUCUCUUCUUCCUUUUUAUAUAUGUGCUCUUUUAUUGUACACAAUACUAAGCUAUACUACUGUUCAAAAAGGACUAGUAUACAAAUAUUUGACGGUUAAGAUUAAUUGUAUACUACUGAAACCUUCACCUGUGGUAUGGGUAGUAUACAUGACUAGUAUAAGGGUAUUAUGGUAAAAGAACACAAAUGAUAUCACUAAAAUUUUAUUUUUGACACUAGCAUAAAGUUUAAAAUGCCAUUUCAUUUGAAAUAUCACUUUUCACAUGUAAUAAUUACUAAAUCAUGAAUAUUUAUAUCUUAUAUAUACUUAUAUACUACUAAGUAGUAUAAGCAGCAGGGGAUUACCCCUCGUGUUCCUAAAGAUAAAAUAGAUUACAACUCCAGCGGACGUGCUACAAUUCUUCAGGGCGCCGUGCCUGCCCUGAAAAAUUCCUGAAUGAGGGACGAUUUGCCGAUGAAUACUGCUGAAAUCAACAAGCUGGCCAAGAGCCUUAAAAAGUGGUUGAAUGUUGAAAGCUAAAGUAAGCAAAGCGCACUUGAUCAGUCCAACACACAACUUCCACAAAUUAAACAUGAGCUAGCACGAAGCAGUUCAUCACGAGAUCGACACACGACUGUGCGGACAUGAAGUUGUUGAUGCAUGCGGUCUCUGAUCAUCACGUACCAGCAGGCGGUGAUUUACCAUUACCGCCUGCCACUGCUGGCGGAGGAGACGGUGCCGGCGGAGUGCUCCCCCAUGAGACCGGGUACUCCAGUUCUUCUUCCGUCUUGCAAGGGACCUUGCCGCCGUCCGGGGUGCUUGCAUCGCUACGGAGGAAGGUAACCGGCCAGCAGUAAUAGGUCUUGUUGAUGAUCUUCUCCGAGUGAGCACGCUUGUAGCUGGUCUCCACCACCACCAUCACGGGGAAGCUGCGGUGGUGCCUGUCGGAGAGGUAGUGCACCGACGCGUAUUGUCCUUGCCUGUAGAGGCUUACCCACCUCCUGUACCUGUGCGAGCUGUGCGGCUGCAGGUCGAAGAUGACGUUCGUCUCCGGCUGGUACCAUAAGAACUGCACCAUCUCCGUGAAGGAAGCAUUGGGGUUGUCUAUGACCCUGAUGAUGCUGAUGUUGCACUGGAUCUGGCCGCGGCCGCUGGGGUUGAGGGCGUCGACGAUGAUCAGCAUCGGCACCUCUCCCGCUGGCGAGUACACAGACGUGGUGUUGUCGUAAAUCCACCACCAUUGUUGUGUCUGGACAUAGCCGUAGCUCUGGAGGUCCAUCUCCACGGGGCGGUUGACGAAGACGAUCACCAUCACCACCACCGCGACGGCGAGCACGGAGACCACGACGGCCACCAGUGAGCGCACCGUGGCUAGGAAGGGGAAUGUAGUGUUCUGGCCAGCGCGGCAUGUUGCCAUUUUUUCUCACGUAGGUAGCUAGGGCGGUGGAUGAUGGACUUGUCCGCUAGGGACCUGCAGCCAUAUAUACACAUAAAUUACUGACCGAAUGUUCAUUCCCUUUUUUUGGUUAGAUGACUCAGAUUAGUCUACCGGUUAACAGGGGGCUUGGCUAACAAUUAGGCUGCCUAUUAACCUCCUGUUAGGAUCAGCCAUGGCAAAGUUUUGACGGUUAACGAUCUCCCUAUAUAUCUAAACAAGUUCUUAGGUCAUGUUCCGUUCUUUAGGAGCUCCUAAAAUUCAUGUCACAUUCGAUGUGACAUGAAUUUUAGUCUGGACUAAAGAACCAAACACCCCAUUACUCCCCUCCCCCUCCCACCUCCCACACCAAUGUUCAAAAUUUUGGCCGAAAUUUCAUGAAAUUUGAUCUUUUGGUAGUGACCGAAAUUACUAUUUGCCCGAAAUUUCGGUAUGUCAACCGAAAGAUGCACUUUUUGCACCAAAUUUCACAUGAAAUUUCAUGAAAUUAGGUGUUUUCGAUGGGGACUGAAACUUUUCUGAAAACAAAAUCCCAAUCCCUGCCCCACACCGUCCAAGUAGAAUUAGGACACACUCUUUAUACAGUGAUAAUUCAGGCUUCUGCCAACCACAGGAACCGGAGUUGUUUAAUUUUUUGGCAAAAUGUCGUGCAGAUGCUUACAUACAAAGCAUUCGUACAUGCACCAAUUAUGAGUACUUCUGCAACACCGUGUCAUUAUGCUUUCAAUAUCUGGUCUUUAAAAACCUUAGAUUUACCUAUGAUGACUUGGUUAAUUAAUCUCAAGAUCAUCUGCUACCUAGAGUUUUGGUGGCACUGGAUCAUAGGGCACAGUUGUAUGUGUAUUCAUCAGAAUGAGUGCAUGUGCAUCUAUAUGAUGUCCGUGUUUUUUUUAAAAAAAUAAACCUGCGCAGGUCAUGAUGCUUCCACUAUCCUGUCUUAUCUGUUUGGAUACCAGGGGCUAUACUUUAGCUCCUGUCAUAUCAGAUGUUUGAUACUAAUUAGAAGUAUUAAAUAUUGACUAAUCACAAAACUAAUUGCACAGAUGGAGGCUAAUUCGCGAGACGAAUCUAUUGAGCCUAAUUAGUCCAUAAUUUGACAAUAAGGUGCUACAGUAACCAUUUGUUAAUGAUAGAUUAAUUAGGCUACGUCUCGCGAGUUGGUCCAGAAUUUGUGCAAUUAGAUUUAAAAUUAGCUCAUGUUUAAUUCUCCUAAUUAGCAUCAAAACAUUAACUGUGACAAGGGCUAAACUUUAGCCAAGGACAACCAAGCAACAUGCACGCCUAUAUAUGCUCUUUGAUCAGAAAAGGAAAGAAAUAUUCCCAAAAAAAAGGAAUAUGUGCUGCGGUCCAUACACGUUCUUUGAAGAAAUAUUCCAUACUUAUUUUAUGUCAUUGUAGAAGGACUUUGAAUAAGGUUCGAUGGAGUCACGUGGCUGCGUCUGCUGGCAGCUGAUCGAUGAGUCAUAUUACUAUUGGACUUGUGUUUUGGAUGCUUAUGUUUUGGAUUACAUUCAGAAUGUACGGGCAGGGGCGAAGCCACGUAUAAGAUUUUUAUUUACCACUAAUUAGACUCAAAAUUACCAUAUAAUCCUAGCUUGUAAAUUAAAAUUUACAAGUCUCUUGAGCAGUGCACCACGGUCAAUUCAGCGCUAGCUUCGCCCCUUUGUACGGGGAUUAUGCAACCCAGAAACGACGACUAAGAGCCUCAUUUCCGGACAUGCGUCCCUAUGAUCCUUUAUAUACUCCAAAUGUCUGAGUGGCCGGCUCAUACUUGCCAUGGCGAUGUCUAUCCCUCCUCUCAAAGGAUGGAGCAGCAAGCUCCUUGUAGUUGCGGCCAUGAUAGGAACCCUGGUCGUGGUCGCCAUCGCCGCCGUCAUCAUCGUCGGCCUCACUCCGCCACUGGUCUUCUUCUCCAUCCAAGAUGCAAGCCUCCAAGGCGGGCAGUUGAAACAGCAAAAAUUCUACAACUUCACCCUCUAUGCCAACAACACCAGCCGGCGCAUGGAGGUGCACUAUACCAACCUCAACACCGAGAUCUGGAUAGCCCCGUCUGAGUGGUACCCGGCCGAGGUGAGCAUGAGCGGGUUCGAGCAGCCACCGGUGAGCAUCAACGGGUACAAGCAGCCACCGGACAACGUGACCAAGGUCGCCGGGUGGGCCGAGUUCUAUCAGACGACGUCGUUGACGGCGGCGGCGCAGGGCGGCGGCGCGGGGAAUUGGCCAAACUGCACUGUGGUGGUGAUGGCCAAGGUGUUGUUCAAGGUCGGGCUGGCACGCACACGGCCGUACCACAUCAGGGUGUUCUGCUUCCCCGUCAACUUCCUCAAUACGACUCGGUACGCCAAUUGUACAUACUGAUCUCGAUCGACGUGUAUGCAUGCAUCCAUGUUGUUGAACGUGUACAUGACUGUUGUGACGUGCUCCUUUACCAUAGCUUCAGAUCCUGACUUGUAGCAUUGACAGAGUAUGCGUCUAUUAUGGCAGAGAGCCUCUUGUACAUGUAUUUAACUCAAUCCAGAGAUCAAUAAUGAAAGGAUGCGGUUUUUUUUUAGGAAACAGGAGGGGAAGUACCCCUGCUGAUUAUAUAUUAAUAUAUAGUUGACAGUACACUAGUGAUACAAACCUUGUUUAUGACACAAAGAAAGAAACAAAAAAGAUUAAGAAAAUUACAGUGAAUGCUCUAACCAUUGAACCAUUGAUUGUUUCCAAGACUCUCUGACACGAAAUACUACCAAACUGAAAAUCUGUUUGAACCGUUCCUUUGCAGCUUGAUAAGCUGGCACUAGGGCCUUUGAAGAUGCAGUCAUUGCGUGUCAUCCAAAUACUCCAGCUCAUAAUUACGAUAAUUUCCAUAAAGAAAGGCACUUGCAACUGGUUCCAGCUCAUAAUUACGAUAAUUUCCAUAAAGAAAGGCACUUGCAACUGGUUCCAGAAGCUAACGAGAAUAUCAUAAGGUUGUUGCUGCAAAUCCACAAAGAGGCCGAGAUUGAUCCAACACUCCUGUGCGAAUGGACAAUCUAGUAAUAGAUGAAAGAGGGUUUCUUCCUUGUUGUGGUUCCAGAGGACGCAGUUAUAGGAAGGGAGAGCCAUCUGCUUUCGUUUAAGCUCCACUGGCGGCAGAGCCGCAUCCUGUGUCGGCUCAUCCGCGGCAUCCUGUGGGUGCGAAGCAUGCUAAGCCACCCUAACCUCUGCUUCAAGCAGCUCUCCGUGCUAGGGUUCUUCCAACUGUCGUCGCCUUCGCCGUUCAUGGUGCCAACCAAGGCAGUGCCCAAGGAGGUAAUUAAAGAUUUCUUCAUCGGUAAUGUCGCGCGGUUCUUGGUUUCAAGUACUGCCUGUAUUUUUUUAUUUUUUAUUUUUGCCUUGUCAUUUGGUCCGUCAGAACUAAGUUUGUCGAAUUCCUUCUGAAUAAGCUUGAGACGCUGGUCGUGCUUGUUUGUUGGUGUGCCUACGUGCCGCGUAGUUGUCGUAGCAAAUACUUUCGGUUCCAUAUCGCCUGUGACUGGACCGGGAUGUUCUUCAAUCUGUUAUGGCCCUGUAUUCUGUUUUUAUAUGGAUCCCACAUAUAAUCAAUUUCCAACAUUUGCUUUCCUCUGUACAUUCAGCAUGUUGUCUUUUUUUUUUUUUUGAAGCGCAUUCAGCAUGUUUCGCAGAUGUUUGGAAGGAUGAUCCAAAUUCUGAAUGCACAGACCCUGUUGGGAAAUUGAUUUCCCCACUGCGUGUCUGUGUUUACAUGCAUCUUCUAACUGUGGUUCCAAUGGCCCGUCUAGGCCCAUACAGGCCUAUCAGGUGGAUGGGCCGGCCGGCCUCCUGGAUCAACAAGACCGGUAUCCCUUCUUGGCCCGUCCGCCCCCGCUGUAGAAACAAAACCAGAACCAGCAGAUCCCCCGGGCCCUGAAGAGAAAGACGAUGGCAACAGAAGAAAGAGCUCGCGACGAAGCCGGCGAAAGCCCCCCAAACCCUCCCCAGCCCAGGCAGCGGCGGCGCGACGAGAUGGCCGACGACCCCACCGCCGGCGGCGGGAACACCGUCGAGGACGUCGUCCGCGCGGAGGUGAGCAUCCCCGGCCGGCCCUCGUCCUCUUUGCUGCGAGUGCCGGGGAAUCCGAUCUCCGCCCGGGCCGACCUGGCUCUGCUCGGCUGCCUCCCGAUCUGCCCGCGCGGGUGGCGGCGCCUCGCCCCUAGUUCGGUUUCGGGUUAGAGGUGUCCCAGCGUGGUGUCUGGGCGGGGGGAAUCCGGCGACGAGGCGUUCUCCCUCCCGUUGGCUCGGUUGGCGCGGACGGACGCGGUGGGCCUGGUUGGGGAAAUCUGUGCCCGUUUCGAUUUGGGUGUAGAAUAGGUAUACGUCUUCAAAAUUGAUAGAAUUAGGCCCGUUUAUAAAAAAUUGAUAGAAUCUGCCUGCAAGGCGCGGUUUCCCAGCUGGCCCGUCCUCAUUUACUAAUCCCCACCAAGCUUAGCAUCUUUCCUUUCGAUGAAAUAAAAAAAUGUUAAUGUCAACAGCUCCUCGAUUACCGCAUAGAUUAACACCUCUUUAGCCUUUGUGGCACGGCACCUAAUACUUUCCUCACCUUUGCAGUGCCGUGGGCCCGCCACUUCCCUUCUGGCCCACAAGUCAUGGAGGCGCGCGAGGAGGGGUAUCGGUUUCACGAUGAUUAAUCAAGAAAGGCCCAAGACACGUCACGCUGGGGGUGGGGGAGGGAAGACACCGCACCGCAUGCACCUGCAUGCACCUUUGCCUUUGCUUUUCCCCGGCGUCCUAGGGACCUCGAGCUCGCCCGCCUAGGAGCUCCAGCAGCCGGGCCGCUCCGCCGCCGGUGCGGCAACCACGCCGCCGUCAGACCACCUCGCGCGGCCACCCCGCGCCGGUGCGCCGUGCGCGGCGGUGCUGUCCCGCCGCUCCUCCGCCUACCGUCCUCCUGCGCCACCACCAGCUAGCGCACCGGCAGCACCGCGAGCUGCCGCGCCGCCCCGACGACGUUGGUCAUUCCGGAGCCCGGUGUCGUCACCAGCGUCGCCGGAGAAGGUAAUUACCUGAAGCAAUUUGUAGAAACGAAUAGUACUGGUUCGUUCACUUAUUUCAUUGCUCAAACUUAAUUUCUGCUUAUUAGAGUUUGUGCCUUGUCGUGAGACUAAAUUAGCUGCUUAUUCUGCAGGUUGCAUUCAGGAGAUCGAGCUGCCGGAUCGGAGGAGGUCAUAUCAGCCGUGUUGGUUGUGCACUUGUGUUGCUGCCGGCGGAGAAGGAACCAUGGUGAUCGGGCCACUGAUCUCCAUAAUGUAGUUGAACUAAAAUAAUCCCCUUCUGAGUUUAGCAUCUUUCCUUUGGAUGAAAUAAAAAAUUGUUAUUCCGGAUCCGUAAUCUCAACUGCUCCUCCAUUACACAUAGCAUCUUUCCUUGAGUUUAGCAUAUUAUUUCAACAUUUCAAAACUCUAGAUUCAACAUUUCUUGAAACUUAGUGCAACAUUUUAGAUAAAUCGAUUCAACAUUUAGCAUAGUAUUGUUGAAAAUGUUGAGCUAGUAUAUGUUAUUUCAACAUUUCUGCAAAGCUAGCUCAACAUUGAGGUAAUGUAGUUCAACAUUUUGUGUAGUAUUGUUAAAAUAGUGUAUCUAAAAUGUUGAGCUAAUACACAAAAAGUGUUGAGCUAGUAUAUAUUAUUUAAACAUUUCAAAAGUCUAGAUUCAACAUUUAUGGAAACCACAUUUUAGAUAAACUGGUUCAAUAUUUUGCAUAGCAUUGUUGAAAUAGUGUACCUUAAACGUUGAGCUAAAUAUAUAAAAAUGUUGAGCUAAUAUAUCUAAAAUGAUGAAACUAAGAAAAUAAAAAUGAAAAAAAUAUAUACAGUCAUGUGGGAUCUUAAUCCGUUAGAAAAAUUUCGAAAAGGCUCAUAGUUUAAUCGGAAUUAAAAUUAAAUGCACCGUUAGAGAGAUAAGUAAGUUGAAAAGUUCGAAAUCAAAACUCACAUCACCCAACAAGUAGCUGAAACCUAUCCGUCCUUUCAGCAGCUCCACCCACCUCGCACCAGCAUACUAGCACAUGGUGGUCCCCAGCCACCUCGAUGCCGUUGCGUCGAAGGAGAGGGCGGAACCGACGAGGGUCGCCGGCGGCUCCCACCCCGGCCGAACGCGUCCUGACCGACUCCGGCAGGGGGCGGCAGGGCCUCCCGCAGGUGAGCGCUUCCAUCCGUGGUCCGCAGCAGUAAUGUCUGAUUUUUCGCUUUCUUCUCCAGAAUUCGUCGCAUAUACUUAUAUGUCAUCGUCCUCUUAUUUUUCGCUUUCUUCUCCAGAAUUCGUCACAUAUACAAAGCUUUCACGAUUUCGAUGAGAGAUUUGGUCAUGUUUGUGGCCACGGAGACACAGUCUAGCUAGCGUAGUGAAAAGUGGCACUAGUGAUUGCAAUACGCACGGAAAUUGGUUUUUUGUCUGUUCUUUCUCCAUCUCAAUCAUCAAUCAAAUGGGGGUAGUCGUCGGUACGCCGGGUGGGCCGAGUUGGCCAAACUGCACAGUGGUGGUGGCAGCCAAGGUGUUGUUCAAGGUCGGGCUGGCACGCACACGGCCGUACCAUAUCAGGGUGUGUCCUGCUUCCCCGUCAACUUGGGGAGGUGGGCCAAGCGACAGCUAGCUGUGGUGUGGUGGGCAUCCAGCAGGCGCGCAGGGCCCAGCCGUGGCCGUGAUUAUGCGCCGGGGUGAGAGAAGAAGACACGGCACCUAAUACUUUCCUCACCUUUGCAGUGCCGUGGGCCCACCACUUCCCUUCUGGCCCACAUGUCAUGGAGACACGUCAGGCUGUGGUGGACAAGGGAAGACACCGCACCGCACGCACCUCCACCACUUGCCUUGCCUUUGCCUUCGCUUUUCCCACUUGUGCUGUGGGAAGACACCGCAUACACCUCCAGCUCGAGCUCGCCCGCCUAGCUAGGAGCUCCAGCAUCCGGUCCGCUCCGCCGCCGGUGCAGCAACCACGCCGCCGUCAGACCGCCUCGCGCGGCCACCGGUCGUCCCCGCGAUACACCGCCGCCGGUGCGCCGUGCGCGGCGGCGCUGUCCCGCCGCUCCUCCGCCUACCGUCCGCCUGCGCCACCACCAGCGCACCGGCAGCACCGCGAGCUGCUGCGCCGCCCCGACGUUGGUCCUUCCUGAGCCCGGUGUCGUCACCAGCGUCGCGGAGAAGCUAAUUACCUGGAGCAAUUUGUAGAAACAAAUAGUACUGGUUCGUUCACUUAUUUCUUUGCUGAAACUUAAUUUCUGCUUAGAGUUUGUGCCUAAAUUAGCUGCUUAUUCUGCUGGUUGCACGCAGGAGAUCGAGCUACGGGCGUACGGCCGGAUCGGAGGAGGACAUAUCAGCCGGGUUCCUGUUGGUUGUGUACUUGUGUUCCUGCCGGCAGAGAAGCAACCAUGGCCGAGUUACUGAUCGGGCCACUGAUCUCCAUGGUGAAGGAGAAGGCAUCCAGCUACCUGCUGGACCAAUACAAGGUGAUGGAAGGCAUGGAGGAGCAGCGCAAGACCCUGGAGCGCAUGCUGCCAGCAAUCCUGCAAAUCAUCCAGGAUGCGGAGGAGAAAGGAGCCUCCCGAUCUAAAGUUGCAGUUUGGCUUAAAGACCUCAAGACAGCGGCCUAUGAGGCCAACGACGUCUUUGAUGAGUUCAAGUACGAGGCGCUUCGGCGAGAAGCCAAGAAGAAGGGCCACCAAAGCAAGCUUGGAGCGGAGGUAGCAAGACUCCUAGUCCCCGCUCGUAAUUCCAUUGUAUUCCGUUACAGGAUGGGCAAGAAGCUAAGCAGGAUUGUGCAGACCAUCGAGGCCCUGGUCACCGAGAUGAAUAAAUUUGGUUUCAGACACUUGCAGCAAGCACAGCCAUCAAGGCAGUGGCGACAGACAGAUUCCAUAAUCAUUGACUCCGACACAGAUAUUCUUAGCAGAUCUAGAGAUCGGGAGAAGAAGAAAAUCGUGGGGAUGCUCCUUGAUCAAGCUAGCAACAUGGAUCUCAUGGUUCUUCCAAUUGUUGGGAUGGGUGGGAUGGGCAAGUCCACCUUUGUGCAACUCAUUUACAAUGACCCUGCAAUCGAGAAGCACUUUGAGCUUCGGAGGUGGUGCUGCGUGUCAGAUGAUUUCGAUGUCAGUACCAUUGCAAGCAACAUCUGCCAGACCAAUGAGAAAUAUCGUGAAAAAUCAUUGCAGGAGCUCCAGAGUACAAUAAGUGGAAAAAGAUACCUCAUUGUGUUAGAUGAUGUAUGGAAUCGGGAUGCUGAUAAGUGGGGAAAACUAAAGACCUGCCUUAAGCAGGGUGGCAAGGGCAGUGCGGUACUAACAACAACUCGUGAUGCAGAAGUGGCUCGCAUUAUGACCAUGGGUGUAGCUCAAGCCCAUAAUAUCGAGAAUCUGAGUGACGAGCAUUUAAAGGAAAUUGUCCAGAGCAGAGCAUUCAGCUUGCAAAAUCCAAAUAUGGAAGAGCAAGAUGGCAUUCUCAGUGGAUUUGUUCGUCGAUGCGUUGGAUCUCCCUUGGCUGCCAAAGCCUUUGGCUCUAUGUUGAGUAACAGGACUAGUGUAAAUGAAUGGAAGGAUGUAUUAGCUAAAAGUGACAUUUGUAGUGAGAAAACCGGAAUUUUACCGAUCCUCAAGCUCAGUUUUGAUGACCUAUCCUCAGAUAUGAAGCAGUGCUUUGCAUUUUGUGCUUUAUUUCCUAAAGAUUAUGAGAUUGAUGUGGACCUCUUGAUUCGACUGUGGAUGGCACAUGACUUCAUACCUGUGCAGGAGGAUGACAAUCUAGAAACCAUAGGAAAAUAUAUUUUUGAGGAGCUAACUCGGAGGUCAUUCUUUCAAGAUGUCAGGCAAACACUUCAAUUUGACUAUUUUGGAAGCAGGUUGUCGCUUCGUAAGUCAACCAUAUGCAAGAUACAUGAUCUCAUGCAUGACAUUGCUCUAUCUGUUCUGGGGAAAGAAUGUGUCACUAUAGUUGGUAAGCCGAGCGUCAACAAGCUGUUGCUAAAUCCGACCCGCCACGUCUUCUUAUCACUAUAUGGUUUCAAUCCUACUUUCUGGAAAGAACAGGUUACAAGUCUACUAGAUCAUCUAUUGAAGAAACAAACUGCAAUGCUCCAUACGUUGUUUAUCAAAGAUUAUGGUCAACCCCUUGAUAUAUCAAAGUACACUUCACUGCGAGCAUUACACCUUCCAGCAAAUGAAGAGCUAAGGUAUCCUAAUCUGUCGCCACAUGAACAGCUUACAAGACACAUACAACACCUAAGGUAUCUUAAUCUGUCAUCACAUUGGUUCGAGAAACUUCCUGAAGGUAUAAGCAUUAUGUAUCAUCUACAAACGUUGGACCUCUCUCAUUGCAAAUACCUUCGUCACCUUCCAAAGGAUAUGAAGUAUAUGGCAAACCUCCGACACCUCUAUACCCAUGGAUGCAUAUCAUUGACAUGCAUGCCUCCAGGACUUGGACAGAUCACUUCUCUGCAGACUCUAACAUAUUUUGUUAUUGGUGAUGGCUUGGGAUGUAGUACUAUUGGGGAACUUCAAAACUUAAACCUUGGUGGAGAGUUAGAGUUAAGUGGUCUGCAAAAUGUAACAGAAGUGCUUGCAAAAGCAGCCAGUCUUGAAAAUAAAGAGAGACUCACACACUUAUCUCUCGCGUGGAAUGAUGAUGCCCGUGAGAAACCAGAUUCUCAUAAUGAGGUGUUAGAUGCCCUUAAACCUCAUCACCGGCUAGAGAUGCUAAGAAUAAAGUCCUACAAAGGCACCAAAUUACCGUCAUGGAUAACAGAUCUUAGUCUGUUGCAGCACUUGACUGAGCUCCAACUGGUUGGUUGUAGGCUGUGCGAGGAAUUUCCUCAAUUCUGCCAUUUCAAAGCCCUUGAAGUUCUGUAUUUGAAAAAGUUGGACAAAUUGCAAAGCCUAUGCAGUCAUAUGGUGUCUACGCCAUUUCCAGCACUGAAGCAACUCCAGUUACAUGAUUUGGAGAGCUUGGAGAGAUGGGUCGCAACAGAAGGAAAAGAAGAUGAAUUAUCCUUUCCUGUACUUGAGGAGGUUGAAAUAGAGAACUGUCCAAAGUUGACUAGCCUACCUGAAGCACCAAAGCUCAAGGUUGUAAAGCUGGAUGAAGGCAAGCCGCUGCUCUCCUUAGGAAUAGUUAAAUCAAGGCACAUGUCUUCAAUUUCUAAGCUACUACUGCGUGUCCGUGACACAGAAGCACUGCCUCAGAUAGAUUAUAAUUGGGAUUCAUCACAGAAACUGGAACUAUCUUUGGGUGGCACAGAAGCCGCACCUCUGUCACAACUGAGCAUAUUUGGCUGCAACUUUUUAUUCGUAUCAAGCCACUCACAGCUAACACCUGGGGUCUGGAAAUGGUUUGAACAUCUUGCAGUUUUAACAAUUGCAAAAUGUGAUGUGCUCAUCUACUGGCCAGAAGAAGUGUUCCAAAGCUUGGUAUCUUUGAAGUACUUGUUCAUUUUCUCCUGCAACAAGCUAAUAGGGCCCACACAAGCGAAAGGUGACAAACCUACACAAACAACAGAUCAAGUCCUGCCACAUCUAAACAUGAUACGUAUACACAAUUGUGAAAGCAUGGCACAGCUCUUCAUUCUUCCCCCAUCUAUCAGAAUUAUUCAUAUUUUUGAGUGCCCUAAGCUUGAGUUCAUAUGGGGAAAAGAGGAGCAUCUUGACACAUAUGCAUCGCUGGAACAUUGCCGCGACCCUGCAUCCACCACUGGUAACCUAGAGCAAUCGCCGUCUCCAAUUAUUCGCCGUCCAUGCCUUGUAGAUCUAACUAUAAGAGGAUGUGAUAGCCUGGUAACACUUCCAAAUCUACCACCGUCCCUCAAGGAAUUAUUCAUCCGGAAGUGUGAGAAGCUCUGCUCUGUGUCAGGAGACCUGUGUGCACUCGAGACCCUACAGAUUGUUAACUGCAAUAAGUUACAGUCAGUCAAUUCCUUGGGAGACCACCCAUCAUUAGAAACACUGUUUCUUUCUGGCUGCCGAUGCCUUGCAUCUUUAGGAUGUGAUGGUGGUCGUGGGAGUUACUCUGCUCUUCAGUGCCGUGAGAUCGAAGACUGCCCAGCCAUAGAUAUGAAGCAGUUUUACUAACGCCAUCAAACAGCUGCUUGACAGCUUUGAAUAUGAAGACGUAUCACACGUUCAUUCAAGCAGCUCUGAUGAAGGUACGACCUUUCACUUUCCUCUUAUUCAAUUUGUUUCCUUCAAAUUUCCCUUCUUUGCAUGCCCUCCUAUUUUGUUGACGAUCUGGUUUAUAGAUGGGCUUGCGGGGUGGGAUUUUGGGGUUUCAUCUUCGUUCCGGCUUUUAGACGGUCCUUUCUCACUGACGUGACCCCACAUAUAUUUUAGUUUAUACGGCUAUUGGUUUUCAGUCUUCGAUGCAGUUGAAGUGCAUAGGGAAAUUCUGGAAACAUGUUCUAUCCCUUGGUGUUGAGAUCAGCUGAUGCGGAAUCACUGAAGUACUACUGAAACGAGAUCCUGAUCGGUCUCAGUUGUGGAGAGCAAUUUGUGAUGAAUGGAAGCAGUCCCAAGGCUUCAAGAACUCAUGGAGUCGUGCUGUACCAUUCUCCACUGCCAGGGCCUAAACUAGGUACAUGGAAGGCGCACAGGUUGGGAUAGUAAAAAACCAUACCUUUGUCUGUGUUAGAGCAACUCCAAGAGGCUGCUAAUCUUACCCCAAUACCUUUUUUAGGAAAAAAAAAGAGAAAAAAUGAACUCCAACAAUCCACCUAAACCUUCCCCAAUUUUUUAGCGACGCUAAAAAACAGCCUGCCAUCGCGUAUAUUUUAGCGUUGGCGUUCCUUCCCCAAUCCUGAUUCCCGCACACCCGCGCGUCCCUUCCGAUGGGCCCAAUACGAUGACGUGGCCUGUGUUUGAAAUAUUGGGGGCUAUUUAUUAGCGAUCUGUUGUGGACUGAUAUGCUUUUGGGGGAAAUUUUUUUUGGGAGAACCCCCAAUACAUAGUUUUGGGGAAGAAUUUUUUAGGAUACUCUUGGAGUUGCUCUUAGAGCAUCUUCAAGAGUCUGCCAAAAAACUCUUCCCCAAAACCACAUCAUCCCACAAUAGAUCCCUAAUAAUAAAUUUUCCAAUAUUUUAAAAUUUGCCACAUCAGCAUGCGUGGACCCUAAGCUGGGCUGCCCCCUUCCCCCGCUGGAGCGUUUUCGCGCUUUCGCACUGUGGCUGCCUGAGCAGGGGUUGGUCUGUGCUGAUUUGCUGAACCAUGCAUAUUAUAUGCACUGGGACUGUCAUGCCCUCAGAAAAGCAUCAUCAUCUACUGGUAUGACGUCAAUUCAGCCUCAAACUCUCAACACUGAAGGCCUUCGAGGACUAGGACUACGCCAGCGCCACCCAUUGAAUCCCAUCCCCAUCUCGGCCACGUGCCAUGCCAUGCCCAGCCGUGGGGCACUGGGCAGCCCACGUGCAGCCACUUGUGGCCACGGACGCCCAGCCAGACCAUCACCCCCAAGAGGAGGAACGCCUUAUCUUUUCACCAUGAGAAAGCAGAGUCUAACGGUCCGUGGGCAAUAGGAAAAUCAGCACCGGCGGACUCCUGUGUUCACCUUCAUAUUUUUCGUGGUCUAUAUUAUGCGAGUUAUAGCAGUCCUAGGGAAUUUGUUUGGUGUCUCGGAGUUGUCAUAUUCCUAUUAAUGAUUGUGACAGCUUUUAUAGGAUACGUACCACCUUGGGGUCAGAUGAGCUUUCGGGGAGCAACAGUAAUUACAAGCUUAGCUAGCGCCAUACCAGUAGUAGGAGAUACCAUAGUGACUUGGCUUUGGGGUGGUUUCUCCGUGGACAAGGCUCUUGGAGUUGCUCUUAAUCAAUUCUCAUUUAGCACUCUGUUGUUAACAUGUUACCCCCAUGCUUUUCAUUUUUUCUGUGCAGACAUGACCCAUUUAUCCUUAAAAGGCAUAAAGGAGGGCACUCACAUGUACGCACGACUGGCAACUGGAAGCUUCGUUGCAAGCCUCUGCUAACGACCAAGUUUGUUUUCACGCCACUAUACCAGCUGCUGGUAAUUCUCUUGUCACUAAUGUCAUCCUGUCAUCCAUCAAAGCCGUGGAGAAUAUGAUGCCACUCUGAGUCCUUCAGUUUGCCACGUGAGCCGAUGAAGCAGAAACAGAUGAUGAUGAUGGAUGAUAUAACUGCGGGGAUGCAGACUUGCUUUCAACGGUCGAAAUGGAGCUACAAAUGAUUAGUCGUAGUCGUGUGUGGUCCUUCCAUCACCUUGUGUUAUUGAUCCCGUUUGUAUGUGUUGCGUUCUCUAUAUCCCUCCAUAGCUUUUCAGUUGUUGUCUCUUUUACGACUAUUUUGAUUCCUCUUUUCCUUUUUAUUAAUAUAACACAAAAAUCCUCUUGCCAUGUUUUUGAAAAAACAAAAUCGUGAGGAUGCUGCUUCAUGAAGCUAGCAACAUGGAUCUCAUAUGGUUCUUCCGAUUGUUGGGAUUGGUGGGAUGGGCAAGACCACCUUUAAUUUGUGCAACUCAUUUAUGACCCUGAUCGUGAUGCAUUUUGAGCUUCAGAGGUGGUGCUGUGUGUCAGAUUCGAAAAUGUUUUUUGACUCUUUCAUCACCGCCUUCAGUAGCUCAUGCCGGUCAGGUCUUCUCCAGUGACCAGUUCCUUCACCUUGGUUGCGCACCCCCUCACCUGGGCUUGCAGCUAGGUCAUAGCCUUGGCAUUCCGCAUCAUCUCAGCCAUGGCAUAGUCUAGUGCUACGUAGGUUGUGUCCGUCCCGGCUUCAAACAUGUCCUUCAUGAACAUAUCCGUAGAACUCCAAUCAAAUUUAACCAAACUAGUCAUGAAACAUGUCAUAUGUACCUCUUGUGAGAAUUAAAUUGGAGGCUUAAAAUCCUUCAAUUAGUAACAGUAAGAAAUUAAUUAAAAUUUGGAGUUUUGUUGCAUACAAGUUGCCAGUCACCAGUACAGAAAUGACCUUUAGUCCUGGUUAGGAAACCUUGGGAAACCUCAAAGAGCUCGGUUUUCCCGACCGGGAUUAAGUAUUCGGGAUUUAGUCCUGUAACACCAUGUGCUUUGCCUUAUAAUGAAAGCCACUAAAAAUUCGAACUUCUAAAAUUUUCCUAUAAACUAAAAUGUGCCUUGCUAUUUCAUACCUCAAAACCCUUUCAAAAUAAAUUUUACAAAACAACCUUCAUCAAAAUUCACCAUAUGCAUUUUAUUGUGCUUGUUUGAGUGUUGUUUGCUUGUGUGCUUUGUUGAAUCUUUUGGUGGCAACCAACCCCUUGACCUCCUUUCCAAAUUUCCCACAAAUCCUUGUUAAACAUCCCUUCGAAUUCCUCAAAUCCAUUCAAACUCCAUUUCAAAUCUCUUCCAAAAUUAUUCAAACCAUUUCCUUGGGUGCAGGCUCAAUUUCCCUCUCCUCUCCUUUCGGCCUGGCGUGGCUUGCUUCUCCUUCUCCCUUUCAGCCCAGCUCGGCCCGCCCCUCCUCGCCUUCUUCUUUCCCGAGCAGGCCACCUCCUCCUCCUCCUUUACUUCCGCACGGCCCGGUCCAGCCCACAACGGCCGCCACCUCUCUCUUCCUCUCCGCACCAGCACCGCCCAUGAGAAUGGCCCGUGACGACCCGGCUCCCACUCCAUGUCAGCAUUGCGUCCGCACACAGCCGCUGAUGAGUAGGUCCCACUCAAUAGCGUCAUCCCCAACCUCGUGUCGUCUUCCCCAAUGCGUCUCGUUGCCGCCGCCUUGUCCCAUCUCCGCCCGUCGCCUAUGCCGUCGUGCCGGCCCCGAAGAAAUAUCUCGCCGCUCCAUCCCAUCAUGGCCCCACCUGUCAUCCCGCACGGUCCUAAAAGAUCUCCGCCGCCCGCUCCACGGACCUCUGUGCACAAUCGACCUCUCGCGGCUAUAAAAGCUGGCGAGCCCCGCCAUCGCUCCCCGCACCUCAAGCUCGAGCUCCCUCCCUCUUCUUCUGCUCGAGCUCGCCUCCUCCCUCUUUAGUCCUCUCCUCCCUCCACCGGAGCACGGCUUCCUCCGAAGCCACGCCUCGCCGAGCCCUGCCCUUCCCUCUUCCUGUCUAGCGCGCCACCGCACAGAACUGCCAGCCAAGCACUAGCGCCGCCACCGUGACAAACUCGAGGAGGACAAAGUGCCGAGCGACGUUGGAUCGGUAACAAGCGGCCCUGAUCUGCCUGAGCUAAUUCGCGUCCCACACCCGAUGACAAGUAGGCCCGAGUCUAACGCCGAAAAUGCCGUCUGUUGGUGACCAGUGGGCACCACAUCAGCAAGCAAGCUCCCAGACAUCACCAUGGCACUGGGAGGGUGCCUCGCAAGCACCACGCGGACACACCCGUAGCAAAUGACACGUCAUCAUGGGUCCACAUGUGAGUUACUGUGUGACACUGUGCGGUCAACAGUCAACACUGACCAGGGACACACCUGGAGUAACUGUGUCGACGGUAAAAUUACUACGCGUACUCAGGUUAGUGUACACGGAAGUCUCGUUUACCCCUUUCCUUGCACAAGCAAGCUCCCAGACAAAUUGUCACUCGCCAUGGCACUGGGAGGGUGCCUCGCAAGCGCCACGCGGACACACCCGUAGCAAAUGACACGUCAUCAUGGGCCCACAUGUGAGUUACUGUGUGACACUGUGCGGUCAAUAGUCAACACUGACCAGGGACACACCUGGAGUAACUGUGUCGACGGUAAAAUUACUACGCGUACUCAGGUUAGUGUACACGGAAGUCUCGUUUACCCCUUUCCUUGCACAGAAAAAUUUCCAAAAAAUUCCUAAAAAUACUAGAGCCACCCUAUAACCCAUCCAAACCUUUUGCACCCCAUUUCCAUCAUACAAAAUUAUGGGAAAAUAAAUUUCACCACUCAGGCACUCAUAAAUUCCAAUAAAUCACAUAAAUUCCCGAUAAAUUCCCAAAAAUCAUCUCUCCUGUCAAACUCCGUUUCUGUCAAUUCUUCCACCAAAAUUCUUCUAAAAUUAAAUCCUUGAUAUCCCUUCCGGUGCCACCAUUAGUUUCUUUGUUUGAUUCUUGAUUUGUUCAUGUAUUGCUCUUCGACCUGUUAGUCACUAACAUCACACAAACCCCUUAUGCUCAUGCAUGCAUAUACACUGUAGCAUGUAUACAACUAUAUGAGUAUACAUACACCCCCCUUCACACACCUACCACCGAUACUUUUUUUAUUUUUGUUUUUGCAAAAAAAAAAUCAAAACUAUUUAGUCCCAGUUGGUAAUACCAACAGGGACUAAAAGGGGCGGGAGGUAGCCACUGGCGCCGUGAUCGUUUUCUUCCGGUUGGUAUUACCAACUGGGACUAAAAGGGGAUAUUAUAUCCCGGUUUUGGGACCCGUGAUAAAAGACCCCCCUAUCUCGACAAGUUAAUCCUAGAUGCAUUUUCGGAAGAUAUGCACCCUACAAACCGGUACUAAUACCGAAUUUUCUAAUAGUGAAUGGUGCCGGUAGGCGUCCCCUUCAGCUGCAUUCUCUUCCAACCUGCAUACAAAGAGUCACUGGAGAUAGCGUGAUACAACCUCGGUUAGUCAGGCGAUCAAAUGAUAUAACCUCGAGUUAAUCUAGGCCGAAGCCAAUUAGCUUCCGUGUUUCUAUCUGAAGCUGGCAGAGUUAGCGCCUUGUCUGGGCGAGCUAAGACCCGGGUUAUAGGCGAAGGGGAUGAGUUUUGGACAGAUCCCCAACAUCUCGAAAAAUUAAUCUCGGUUGGGCAUUGGAGAGUUAUGCUCCUUCCCAACCGGGACUAAUAGUCAGUUUUCUACUACUGGUUGUGUAGAGGUGAGGAGGCGAGGGUUUUAGGUGAGGACGAUGAGGUGGCACCGCUCCCUUUCUCCGAUUCAACUGUCUCUAUAAAAUUGAUAUGGUUAGAUAUGUCAUAUUCUGUGGUACCACCUCGCGAUCACGAUGUGUGUGCCUCUAUAUAUGUUGUGCCAUUGCAGUCCAUUCGAUCGAGGGAGUACCAUAGCGUGACUGAACUACUGAAAAUGAAAAGCCUACACUUCUGCAACAACACAGUCUACCCCUAUGUUUACAACCUGACUUCCUCCUACAUCGACCAGAACAAUGAGGCCACCAUGGUGACCACCACCUUGGUCAUGUUUAUGCUGGCCGUGUUCGUCUUCAACCUCAACCUCUUCAGCCGCUUCUUGGACGUGAGCGCGAUUCUCAACCCUAGCGUCCGCCUCUUCCUCUCCACCUCCCUGUCCCUCUUCCUGCCGGUCAUGUCCUACCUCUUCUCCGAGGCCAAGAACCAAGGUGCAACGACGACCAUGGCUGCUAGUACUAGUAGCUCCAGUUAUGGCGAGCUCGGUGACGAGCUGUCACUUCGAGCUAGGACGAUCCUCAUGUGGAUGCUUCUUGUGGAGCUCCUACGCAAGAAGGUGGAGGCCGUCCUGGUCAACGUGGGCAUGCAGUGGUACUCAGGCGCCAUCGAUCGCUUCGCCCGCAUUGUUUGGCUCUGCUAGCUCGUCUUCUACAAUGUCAAAAGCCCCGGCAAGAAGGCGAUCUACGGCACCUUAUGGGUCCUCACUGCUGCCAAGUUCCUGCAAAGGGUCGUCGUCAAGAUGGUGCUGGAGCGUUCCUUCGCCUACGGAAGGAACACCCAGCUGCUCAACUCAUACAUGGCCCAGAUCAUCCAACAACAAGAGCAAGAGGAGCACUUGGGGUCAUCGUAGGCGGAGCUGUUGAAGAAGUGCGAGUACACCGUGAUGGGAGAAGACAACCUGGAGAGGACGGCUGGCCGGCAUGCAUGGCUACCAGGUCGAGCUGAACAAGGCAGCCGUUGUCACCGUUGGUGACAUUUGGACGCAGGCAGCAGCCGAGCCGGACAGCCUCCUCCGGAGAGAACACCUCAGAAGGCUCUGCCUCUCCUUUGUUCUCUACAAGCUGCUGCGCCGGAGGUUCGAGGACAUCCCCACAACAAGGGAGGAGACCCGGAACUGCCGGAACCUCAUCUUCAAGGGCAUGUUGAAGGAGGAGGCGGAGCAAGGUGCCGAGGUCGCACUGUUCCAGUCUUCAACGAUGAGACCCAGUUCGUUUGCGAGUACUACCAUUCCGUCCUACCCGUCGUCUUGUCCGACCCUUUCUUCUUCAUAGCCAACUACAUCUUGUUUCCCAUUGUAGUUUGUGCCUUCUGCCUCCUAACAUUGAUCAUCUGCGGCAAUGGGAGCGUCCACUACGCCUACCAGAGCAUCAAAAGUGACAACUACAUCAUAUACACUGGCGCGACGACGCUGACCAGAUGCCUCCUGAGAAACAUCGCCCAUUCACCCGAGGUGCUAGCUGUUCGCCAGCAUCGACCUAGGCACCACCACUCUGCUCAUCCUGGCCUUCGUCUACGAGGAAGUCGUGGAGGUCCUCGUCUUUAUCCUCUCCAAUUGGCUCAUCGUGUCGCUCAUCUGUCAGUACACCGCCAAGCUCCACUGGCGGCAGAGCCGCAUCCUGUGUCGGCUCAUCCGCGGCAUCCUGUGGGUGCGAAGCAUGCUAUAAGCCACCCUAACCUCUGCUUCAAGCAGCUCUCCGUGCUAGGGUUCUUCCAACUGUCGUCGCCUUCGCCGUUCAUGGUGCCAACCAAGGCAGUGCCCAAGGAGGUAAUUAAAGAUUCUUCAUCGGUAAUGUCGCGCGGUUCUUGGUUUCAAGUACUGCCUGUAUUUUUUUUAUUUUUUUUUUGCCUUGUCAUUUGGUCCGUCAGAACUAAGUUUGUCGAAUUCCUUCUGAAUAAGCUUGAGACGCUGGUCGUGCUUGUUUGUUGGUGUGCCUACGUGCCGCGUAGUUGUCGUAGCAAAUACUUUCGGUUCCAUAUCGCCUGUGACAUUCAGCAUGUUGUCUUUUUUUUUUUGAAGCGCAUUCAGCAUGUUUCGCAGAUGUUUGGAAGGAUGAUCCAAAUUCUGAAUGCACAGACCAUGUUGGGAAAUUGAUUUCCCCACUGCGUGUCUGUGUUUACAUGCAUCUUCUUACUGUGGUUCCAAUGGCCCGUCUAGGCCCAUACAGGCCUAUCAGGUGGAUGGGCCGGCCGGCCUCCUGGAUCAACAAGGCCGGUAUCCCUUCUUGCCCGUCCGCCCCCGCUGUAGAAACAAAACCAGAACCAGCAGAUCCCCCGGGCCCUGAAGAGAAAGACGAUGGCAACAGAAGAAAGAGCUCGCGACGAAGCCGGCGAAAGCCCCCCAAACCCUCCCCAGCCCAGGCAGCGGCGGCGCGACGAGAUGGCCGACGACCCCACCGCCGGCGGCGGGAACACCGUCGAGGACGUCGUCCGCGCGGAGGUGAGCAUCCCCGGCCGGCCCUCGUCCUCUUUGCUGCGAGUGCCGGGGAAUCCGAUCUCCGCCCGUGCCGACCUGGCUCUGCUCGGCUGCCCCCGAUCUGCCCGCGCAGGUGGCGGCGCCUCGCCCCCAGUUCGGUUUCGGGUUAGAGGUGUCCCAUCGUGGUGUCUGGGCGGGGGGAAUCCGGCGACGAGGCGUUCUCCCUCCCGUUGGCUCGGUUGGCGCGGACGGACGCGGUGGGCCUGGUUGGGGAAUCUGUGCCCGUUUCGAUUUGGGUGUAGAAUAGGUAUACGUCUGCAAAAUUGAUAGAAUUAGGCCCGUUUAUAUCGGUCCUGGUACUUGGGCCAUGACGCUUUGGAUCGCCCACAAAAAUCCACAAACGCAGGCAGGGCCGGUCAUCCCGGAUAAAUCCAAAAUGAUUUUUACCGGUUACCGACCCCGGCGGUUUCGAUUUUUACCGAAAACCGGUCGGUAACCGGUAAAAACUGGACGAAUUCAAAAGACGAAUUGCCAGCGCAACUGGUAAAAACCGCUCGGUAACCCGCCCGAAUUCAAACCGCUUGGUAACGGUAAAAACCGCAUAGUAAACUGCCUGAAUUCAAAAUUUGAAAAUUUUGAAUUCGAGCGGUUUACUGUGCAGCUGAACCGGUGCUGGACCGGAGCGGUUGUUUUCGUCGGUUUUGUAAAUCCUAUUUGUGAUUCGGUGGGAGCAUUGCGCUAAAGACUCGGGCAUAAAGAUAGAUAAAAGCAACAAAAGAAACGGUUUCCCAGCUAAAGGUGGUGGGCCAAGUGACAGCUAGCAGUGGAGAGGGGGGCAUUCCAGCGGCCUGCAAGGCGGUUUCCCAGCUGGCCCGUCCUCAUUUACUAAUCCCCACCAAGCUUAGGGGGUGUUUGGAUCCCGGACUAAAUUUUAAUCCCUGUCACAUCGAAUGUUUGACACUAAUUAGGAGUAUUAAACAUAGGCUAAUUACAAAACCAAUUUCACAACCCCUAGGCUAAAUCACGAGACGAAUCUAUUAAGCCUAAUUAGUCCAUGAUUUGACACUAUGGUGCUACAGUAAACAUUCGCUAAUGAUGGAUUAAUUAGGCUUAAUAGAUUCGUCUCGCGAUUUAGCCUAGGGGUUCUGCAAUUAGUUUUGUAAUUAGCUCAUGUUUAGUCCUCCUAAUUAGCAUCCGAACAUCCGAUGUGACACAGACUAAACUUUAGCUCCAGGAUCCAAACACCCCCUUAGCAUCUUUCCUUUCGAUGAAAUAAAAAAAUUGUUAAUCUCAACUGCUCCUCGAUUACCGCAUAGAUUAACACCUCUUUAGCCUUUGUGGCACGGCACCUAAGGCUCCGUUUUCUUCCAUUGACUUAUUUUUAGCACCCGUCACAUCAAAUAUUUAGAUACUAAUUAGGAGUAUUAAACGUAGACUAUUUACAAAACCCAUUACAUAAGACGAAUCUAAACGGCGAGACGAAUCUAUUAAGCCUAAUUAGUCCAUGAUUUGACAAUGUGUUGCUACAGUACCAUAGUGUCGUAUCGAUGGCAUUAAUGAGCCUUAAUUAGGCUUAAUAGAUUCGUCUCGCCGUUUAGAUUCCACUUAUGUAAUUGGUUUUGUAAAUAGUCUACGUUUACUACUCCUAAUUAGUAUCUAAACAUUCGAUGUGACACGUGCUAAAAAUAAGACACGGGAAGAAAACGCCCCCUAAUACUUUCCUCACCUUUGCAGUGCCGUGGGCCCGCCACUUCCCUUCUGGCCCACAAGUCAUGGAGGCGCGCGAGGAGGGGUAUCGGUUUCACGAUGAUUAAUAAAGAAAGACACCGGCACACCGCACCGCAUGCACCUCCACCACUUGCGUUGCCUUUGCCUUUGCUUUUCCCCGAGCUCGCCCGCCUAGGAGCUCCAGCAGCCGGUCCGCUCCGCCACCGGUGCGGCAACCACGCCGCCGUCAGAUCGCCUCGCGCGGCCACCGGUCGUCCCCGCGAUACACCGCCGCCGGUGCGCCGUGCGCGGCGGCGCUGUCCCGCCGCUCCUCCGCCUACCGUCGGCCUGCGCCACCACCAGCGCACCGGCAGCACCGCGAGCUGCCGCGACGCCCCGACGUUGGUCCUUCCUGAGCCCGGUGUCGUCACCAGCGUAGCGGAGAAGCUAAUUACCUGAAGCAAUUUGUAGAAACGAAUAGUACUGGUUCGUUCACUUAUUUCUUUGCUCAAACUUAAUUUCUGCUUAGAGUUUGUGCCUAAAUUAGCUGCUUAUUCUGCUGGUUGCACGCAGGAGAUCGAGCUACGGGCGUACGGCCGGAUCGGAGGAGGACAUAUCAGCCGGGUUCCUGUUGGUUGUGUACUUGUGUUCCUGCCGACGGAGAAGCAACCAUGGCCGAGUUACUGAUCGGGCCACUGAUCUCCAUGGUGAAGGAGAAGGCAUCCAGCUACCUGCUGGACCAAUACAAGGUGAUGGAAGGCAUGGAGGAGCAGCGCAAGACCCUGGAGCGCAAGCUGCCAGCAAUCCUGCACAUCAUCCAGGAUGCGGAGGAGAAAGGAGCCUCCCGACCUGAAGUUGCAGUUUGGCUUAAAGAC
rnacentral:lncRNA from 1 species